AGAACGGUCGCCGCGUCGCCUCAGCACGGACCUCCAGGAAGCUCCUCAGCAAGAUCCUGCCAGGGCGCCCCUCAGCGUGGCUCUCCCCGGGGUUCCUCAGCGCGAUUCUCCGGGUGCGCCCCUCAGCGCGGUCCUCCCCGGUGCGUCCGUCAUCGUGGUUCUCCCCGGCGCGCCCCUCGGUGAGGUUCUCCUCGGGGCUCCUCAGCGCGGUUCUCCCCGGGGCUCCUCAGCGUGGAGCUCUUCCAGGGGCUCCUCCCCGGGGCUCCUCGGCGCGGUUCUCCCCCGGGCUCCUCGCGCGGUUCUCCCCCGGGGCUCCUCGGCGCGGUUCUCCCCGGGGCUCCUCGGCGCGGUUCUCCCCGCGCCCGGGCUCCUGCGCGGUUCUCCCGGGGCUCCUCGGCGCGGUUCUCCCCCGGGGCUCCUCGGCGCGGUUCUCCCCUGGGACUCCUCGCCACGGUUCGGUUCUCCCCGGGGGCUCCUCAGCACGAUUCUCCUCCGCGCGGUUCUCCUUGGGGCUCCUCAGCUCGGUUUUCCCCAGGAGCUCCUCAGCGCGACUCUCUGGGGCUCCUCAGCGGGGUUCUCCCUGGCGGCUCCUCAGCGCGGCCCUCCCCAUCUCUCUGGGAGGGUUUGAACACGGUCAGCACGGAACUGGGCGGACGGCGUGGGACGGGUGAUCACUGGCGUUGCUGAGGUGAGCUGUGUGCCCCGCGGCCGUCCCAGAUCACAGGCGUCAGCAGUACAGCCUGGCCUGGGCAGUGCGCUCCCAUCUGCACCUUAUGGACAGCGUGGCCAGGGUCCAGGUCCGAGUUCCUGGCCGCGUCCCAAGAAUCGGAUUCCAGGUCUAUAGUUCUCAUGGUGGUUCAGAGUGGGCUGAAUUGGGAUUGGAGUCUGGAAUCCGCAUCGUGGUUCUGAGUCCGCGCUAUUGGGAUGGAAGUUGGGAAUCCAUGUUGUGGUUUUGAGUCAAAGCCCGAAUUGGGACCGGAGUCGGAAAUCCACUUAGUGGUUCUGAGUCAGGGCCCGAAUUAGGAUCGGAGUUGGGAAUCCCCGUUGUGGUUCUGAGUUAGGUAUCCUAGUUGGGAUCAGAAUUCGGGUCUAGGGUCCACAUCCUGGCUGGGAGUUUGCCUGAGUUGGGAUCUGAGUAGUUGGGGUCCCAGUCAGUCCAGGUCUGGAGUCCGCAUGGUGGUUUUAGGUUGGGCCUCAUUAGGGACAGAGGAUCGGGAGUCUGAGUUGGGGACCUGAAUCCCUGUCUGGAGUCUGCAUCAUGGCUCUGAGUUGAGAUCCAAGGGAGGUCCGAGUUGGCGACUGGAGUUAGGGUCUGGAGUCUGUCUUUGGGUAGAGGUUCUGAAUGCGGGGCUCUGAGUUAAGAGAUUGGGAUUGGGGUUAGAGGUCUGAGUGGGGUAUGGGAGUCAGGAAUUGAAGUCGAAGUUCUGCAUCUAGGUGGGGAUUCUGAGUCAGGAACUAGGGGGCGAAGUAAAGGUUACAGUCUGAGUUGGGGGUGGUGAUCACCUGCCAGGUGAGAGGUAGUGGUAGAAGUCUUGGUCAUAUUGGAGAUGAGAGUUGAUUGGAUGGUGGUCUCAGUCUGGGUAGUAGGCUUGAAGGGCCACCACUAUGUUCAGAUCCCAGUGCCCCACUGUGGUCCCUGAGCAGGUCAAAUAGCCUUUUCUAUAAAAUUGGGGGUAAGAGUGCCUUCUCACAGAACUGUUCUGGGUAUAAAAGAGAAUAAUUCAUCCAGGUAGAAUAGUUCUGUCUUAGAUUAUCACAAAGUAUAAAAACUUUCCUGAUAAUAUCCACAUUUGAUGUGCAUUUACCAGUUCUUUCUUUACUGUGGUGCCCCUCUUGCUAGACCAAAAGCUCCCAGGGAGGAACUCUGUUUUGUUUUCUGCUGCCUGCUCUGUAACCAGCCAAGAGCCUGAUACACAGCCUUACUCAGUCAGUACUUGAAGGAAAGCAGGCAGGCAGGAUUAACCAGAUUUCUAUGGUGUCUCAAAUGAUCCAUUUCUGCACCUGUUUUCCAGAUACUCACUAGGAGAAAAAUUUAAGGAUUGAGUUGCUUGAUUAUGGUUGUAUUUUAAUGUGUUUCCUAACAUGCUGAGGAGAAAAGUGGGUCUGUUUCAGGAUUUAUGCUCCAGCUAGAGGGAUUUUUUAAAAUUGCGAAUCAGAGCAUGUCCAAAUUCAGAUAGACAGCACAAGAAAACUAUAAAGAAUUUCCCUUACGAAUGUAGAUGCAGAAGUUCCGUGUACAAUGCUAGCUAACUGAAUCCAAUAAUAUAUAUUAAACAACAAUUCUUAAACAAGUGGGAUUUCUCUUAGGAAUGCAAAGAUGAUCCAAUAUCAGAAACUUUAUCCAUGUAAUUCACAUUAAGAGGCUACAGGAGAAAAACCAUAUGGUUCUCUCAAUAGAGGCAGAAAAAAUGAUGUGAUAAAGUUUAACGCCUAUGUGUGAUUUUGGGGUAGUGGAGGACACCACUUAGCAAGCCAGGACUAGAGAGGAACUUCUUCAACUUGAUACAAGUUAUAAACCAAAACUUAACUUUUCAGUAAACUUGAUAGAGAAAUUAAAAAUGUAUCAUUCUCUUUAAGAUAAGGAGUAGGCCAAGGAUGUCAUCCUGGCCAUACCCUAAUACAAGAAAAAGAAAUGGAGAUGUGAGGAUCGGGUAGGAAGUGAUAAAACUUAGUGUAGCUCAUAGGAUUGAUGGUCUCCAUAAAGGUUCUCAAACAUUUUGGUGUUACGACUUGUUGUAUUCUUAAAAGUUAUUGAAACCCCCAAAGGGCUUUUCUUGAUAGAGAUUCUAUCUAUUGAUAGUUACCAUCUUAGAAGUUAAAACUAAGAAAUGUUUAAAGCAGAACUAUACAAGCACAUAUUCCAGUGGGGUCAUGGUGUGCUGCCUCUGGAAAACUCUUUAUCUUUGUGAGAAUGAAAGAAAAGGCAAAUAAUGUCUGAGUAUUAUUAUGAAAAUGUUUUUGACCUUUCCUGAAAGGGUCUGGGGGACUCUCUGGAAUCCCUAUACUACACUUUGAAAAUUACUGGGCUACAUGGAAAAAAAAAUUAAGGAACUUACAACUAAAGAGAGAUUUCAGAUUUCAGAGAGGUUUUGGAUAUAAGAUCAGUGUACUCAAAACAAAAAACAAAAACAAACCACAUUUCUUUAUGCCAAUGGCAACUGACUAAAAAAAAAAGCAUAACAGAGAUUAGGACAGCAAUCAGAAUAGCAACAAAAUUUAUACCAGUCUAGGAAUUAAUAAAGACGAUGACUUUUAUGGAAAAAAUUUUAAAACUCUAUUGGAGGAUAUAGAGGGAGAUCUUUCCAUAUGCAGAGACAUUUUAUUUUCUUGAGUGGGGCAACUUGGCAUUAGAAUGACGUCAGGAUUUUCCAAAUCUGUAAGUUCAAUAGGACUCCACUCAAACUUCCAGUUGGAGGGCUUGAGUAAUUUAACAAACAUAUUCUAAAAUGUAUGUGGAAGAAAAAUAUUUGUAAAUGCCAACUGAACUUUUGAAAAGGAGAGCAGAGGACUUCUGCUGGCAGAUACCAGGGCACACGCCAAGCUUCAGCAAUCAGAGCGGUGUGGUGACAGAGGCCCACAAGAGAGCUCAGAGGUAACUCCAAGUCUAGAGGAAGGGGACAUGUGAUAAAGGUGGCACCACAUAUCAGUGGGGACUGUUCAGAAGAUGAUGUUGGAAAGCCAGCCCUAAAAUGGAGGAAUAGGAAUAUGGAUUCCUAACUGAGCCCCUAGGAAAAGUAGGCUCCAAAUGGACUAAAGAUUUGAAAGCAAAAGGUAGUUGCCAUUUGUUUAAUAGUAGAAAAAAUGAAUAAUCUCCAGGGCCAGGGUGGCCGUGGGGUUCUUAAACAGGAUCCAGAAAGCACAAACCUCAAGACUAAAAUGUAUGAACUUGAAUGCAUUAAUGAUUAUGGAUUAAGGAUUUCUGUUAAAUAAAUCCAUCAUGGCAAGGGUCAGGACUGUUUUCAUAAUAAUACUAAGGAAACGAUUUGCGUUUUUCACUUUUACACUCAUGAAUUUAACUUUGCCAUGACUAGUUACAAGAUAAUUUGAAACAAAGCUGAGGAGGGAACAACAGCUAAAAUAUACCAGAAAGCACCACAAAUCAUUAAGAAAAAGGUAGGAAGAUUGCCAGUUUGCAGGAGGGUUAACAAACAGAUGAAAAUUUGCCCAAGCUAAUCAGUUAUCAGAGAAAUGUAAAUGAAAGCAACAGCUAUUCUUCAUAGAAGCGUUAGAAAGUAGGAUAAGGCCAAGUGUUGGCAGAAGGCAGGGAACAAGUCUCCCUGUGUGCUGCAGGUGGGGACGGAGACAGGCACAGACGUUCUGAAGAGCUGGCCAACACUUCUUCCUCAAAUAAAAUAUUUUAUACCUGUGGCCCAGCAGUUUCCCUCCUAAGUAAACAUGCUGGAGCAGUUCUCACCCAGAACAACGAGAGGCUGUGUGUGUGCAUGCUCAGGGCAGCGUGGCCCAUAGGGGUGGGCAGUUGGAGCUGGUCACUGUGGUUAGGAGCAGGGGACUAGAUGUACACUUCACAAGAUAGAGACGUGUGGAAACACAGUGCUGAGUGACACAAAUGCCAAACAGAACGAGGGCCUCAGUACAUGACUGUGUAUUUAAAUUAAAAUUACACACCACCCAGACACGCAGUACUAGGGAGUGCUCGUGAGUGCACACACACACAAUGAUAUAAAUAAAUUACCCUGGAGCAGCUGUUUGUGUAGGGAGGAGAGCAAGGAUAGAGGAUAGAGAUGAAGUGGAAAAGCAUGGAGAGGAAGAGAGCAGCGACUUUAUGCAGACCCUUACAGGGUGACAGUGUUUCAUAGGCUGAGGGCUGUGAUCAGCUCUGUGCAGAGUCCCAAAAGCCAAGAACGAACGAAUGAAUGUGCCUCCAUGACUCUCCUGCCAGAUACCCUCUAGUGGCUUCUAUUUCUAGGAAAUAAAAUUCAAAUUCCGUCAGGUUUUUACAAGACCUGCCCUGCUUACCUCUCUGACCACUGUCCUCCCUCACUGAGCUUUGGCUCUGCCAGCCUUCUUCUUCUUUGUUAAAUCUGCCAAGUAUCCCUCCUGCCCCAAGGCCUUCACCACCUCUGCCUGGCUUGUCUUUUCUGGUGAUCUUCCCUUGACAAUUCCUUCUUAUUUAAAUCUCACAGGAAAUUUUGCUCUGACCUGCCGUAUCUGUCAUCCCUUUCAGUCACUCACUAGCUGAGGACUACAUUUCAAGUCUCUGCAAAGCACAGGCUACGCUUUUCUAGGCAUCUACUUAUUUGUUGGCUGCCUAUCUCUUCUACCGGAAGGGAGGCCCCAAGAGAGCAUAUCUGUCUUCUGUAUAGGGUCUGCACAUGGUGGGUGUGUCACAGAUUUCUGUUGAAUGGUUUCAUUCAUUUAUUGAAUGAAGGAAGAGGCCAGGCCAGGAAAGUGUGCAUCCAUUUUCACAACUCAGUGAGAAAGCAAAUAGCAUGUCAAAAUCUGACCCCUUGCAACCAGGGUUUCUUAGCCAACCACACUGGUAAUGCUUGGGACAGGAUGUAUCUUUGUUGUGAGGGGCUGUCAUUUAUAUUGUAAGAUGUUUAGCACCCUGCCUCGUCUCUACCUAGUAGAUAUUAGUAAUUCUCCCAUAGUUGUGAUAGCCAAAAAUGUCUCCAGAUAUUGCCAUAUGUCCCCUGGGGGGCACUGCAGAUGACAACCACUUCCUUAGACCAGCUCUUGGGACUGGGAUGGUGUCUCUGCUCUGGCUCUUUAAAGGCAGCAGGCCCUGGCUUGCAUCCUGCCACAUCUAACACCUAUAGCCUCACCACCUCUGUGAGAAAGACCCUGGCCCAGGCCUGGCCAAUCAGAGUACCCUCUUCCCUGGUCAGCAGUAUAAUUUGAGUUUGGCAAGCACUUCCAGUCCCACAACCUAUGGGUUGCCACCCAGAGGUUUAGUUGGAACUACGUUUCAGCUGCAGUCCCUCAGCCAUCUAUGGCAUGGGCACCUGUGGCUUGACCAAGUUGGAGGUGGCCUAGAGAGGCCGGGCUGGGCCUGCUCACCUUCUCCAGUUAGUGCAGACUGAUGAAUGAGUGGUUCUCGGCGGAUACCAGAUCCAGGUUUGCAGUACACUCCAGGAGGAGGACGAGAAGGGUUUCUCUCAGAGCAGGCCUGGAUGGGAGGGCAAGGGGUGGCCUCUAAUACUGCCUUUCCUUCCGGUGCCUUUAUCAGCCUGUGCCAUGCUCCUCUGAACUGGCCGGCCCCAGCAUGUCCAGGUUACUGGCAGGAGCCUGGAUAACCCAGGGUUCCAGUCAGACCAGCCAGGAAGGCCCAGGAGGCUAGAGCGCACCCAGUCUCUGGCUGCUCUGUCUGCGGAACUAAAAGCCUUUCUCCCAGAGCCUUUCGUACGGCUGGGCGAGGCUCUUGUUUGCAAUUUAAAUGUGGCCUCAUUUAUGGAAGACUCCCUGCUCCUCCGAAAAGCCUUGGGUUCAACCUCCCUAGCAGCCCGGGCCUCAGCCAGGAGAAGAAAUGGAUCUAAAAGGCCUUUCUCCUGCUAAUUGUAGCAAUUAGCAUUAGAGAAUGGGGACUCGAUGGGGGGCCAGCGCCUGGCAAAACAAGCUUAUUCCCAGCUUAGGCCCAGGCCCAGCUCCACACACUGCUGCUUGGCCAGACUCAGCCCCCACCCAGGGUCUGGCUGGCUUCAGGGCAGGGAGAGAGGGCCCAGGCCUGCGGGUGCUAAGAGCAGUUGUGGAGGGCGUGCAUCUGAGUUGUUAAGACUGGUAGCUGUACAGGUAGCCCUGGGCUAUGACUUGUGGUCCUCUCAGAAAAGGGCCUGACUGGAACGCAGAGCCAGACCAGAUAUUCAUGAGUGGAUCAUAGAGUGCAGACUGAGGGCUAUCUGGUGAUGUGACAGAAAGUAGUCUUGGAGCAAAUGACUCUUAGAGAGUAAGGAGCCAUUCCCCUGUAUGGCUAACUGGAUGCCUUUCUCUCCCCCUACUCCAGAAAGGACUUCCUGUUCCUUCACUGAGUGUGCUUGCUUAUGAGGCUUCUGAGAACCAGGAGAGUUCAGUGGGCCUCAUUAUUGAGCGUAUGGGCACCACAACCUGCUUGAGACAUAGGCCAUGCUACAGUUGAUUUUAGCCAGCUUGCUGCAUCUACACAGCACAGUGCCUUCCCAGGCAGUGAAUUAUGUCUAACAGGCAGGGGAAUGAUCAUUGCCUCAUUUUAGGGAUGCAGUCAUUCAAGAAAUAUUUGUCAAACACUCACCAGGUACUAGACCCUGGCCCAGAGGGAGGGAUUUGAUAGGAGCAGGGACCUGCCUACCCUCCGAGGGUUUGUGGACAAAGGGGAGAAAGACUAACUAAUGUUGAAGGACCAUUUGCACCCUGAGGGGAGUGCUGAGGCCUGGGAGCACAGACGGUGUAUAGCAGGAACCCACUGGAACUAGCCUGGGGUCUGAGAAAACUCCCUUGGGGAAAGUGGCAGGGGCAGGCCAAGGGCCCUCUGGUGGUAGGGAGCCCGUGAGCACCUGGGAUGGAAAGAAGCCAAGCAUCUGAACUACCAGAAAAGCAGCUGCAGCAUUAAGCAAGACCCACAGGUCUCUAAACUUUGAAAGGAUUUCUGUCCACUGAGUAGAUAAUUGAUUGGAAUGGGGCAGGGGAUGUGAGAAUGCCAGUUAGGAGGUGCCUGCAGUACAGAGAAAUGGUGGUCUAUCAGGACAGUGGCAAUAGGGAUGGAGGGAAGCAGGGAACCUCUAGAACUAUGGAUGGGUGAAGUAAGCCUGGCUUGGUGAUGGGCUUGAUGCAGGUGGUGAGGAAGCGGGUGUAUCGGAAAUGACCCCAGAACUUCUGGCUUGUGCCACUGAAAGGAUGGGUGACAGACAGGGGCCUUCAGUAGAGUGGGCUAUAAAAUGAUGGAGGCUGUGGAGAGGAGGUGGGGGCAGGUGACUGGAAUGUGGGUCUGGCUGGGUUGGAGCGACAUUUGGGGGGUCAGGGCAUCACAGGUGGUCUGGAAGCCCUUGGUGCUGAGGGAACAGCUUAGGGAAAUGGCUUGCAUAGAGAAAGUCACUGGCAUUUAGUAGCCACGCCAGAAGGGAAAACCUGCCAAGGAGACUGAGGAUAGAGCCAGAGAGAUGGCAAGAAAGCCAGGAGAACUGGAGGGAUGGAAAAGAGGACCUAGGGGUCAUGGUCCUGGCAGAGGUCACACUGGAUCCAGUGCUUGUGAUUCUCUGAUUGCUGGCAGUGGAUGGCCACUGGCCUGCAAAUGGCCCUAGUGGAAUGUCCCCUGCCUGUGUGGCUCCCUGUGGGCUGCCUUUCCCCUGGACAGAUGGGGAGAGACCCCUUCCCCACCUGGUUCUCUGUUUCACCCUUGGAACUGUGGUGGUAAAGAGGACCUCCCCACAGUACAUGCAGGGAACAAGCUCGGCUGACUCCCUCAGGGAGGCCUCGUCCUUGCUGAGGUAUUUCAUAACCUCACAAGGAUAGAGAAAUCCCCCCAACUUUAAUGCAAAGCCAAGCAAGCUGAAAAAUGGCCUUGAAUAGGCUGAGAUGAAAAAACAAAGAGGCUGUCAACAUCAGAGACUCAGUGGGGGCAGGGAGCUUCAGUGGACUCCCCACAGACAGCAAUUCCUGGGCUUCUAUGCCCGGACCCAGAGGCCUGAGCCAAAGAUGUCAGGAUGGGUGGUCACUGUAAGUGCAGUGGAUUGCAGCUCAGAGGCAAGAGAUCUCCUUUUUCUUGUCAUCUCUCCUUCCUGAUUAGUGGCUCAAACAGCCUUCCGAGACUCAAGGGGUUAACUGCAGAUCCUCUAACUCCUCCACUUGCUAAUUUUUAAACACAGCUGAGCUCUGAGCACCCCUCCCAAGGCUGUGAGAGGCCAGAGGCCAGCACAGACUCUGCACUAGGUCUGCACAUCCUCCACCCCUACUGUUGUCAGGAAUCUGCAGGCAUCUAGAACAAAGGUUCCUCCAUUAUUUCCCUCACCCAGCAUAUCCUGAUACCUGAGCCAAGACUUCACCCAGAGCUUUUGCCCACUUCAUUGAUGGUCUGGUGGGCUUUUGUUGACACAUACCCGUGACUCCCAAAUGAACCUUUAAGGUUGGCUUAAAGCAGCUGGGACCUACACAUGACAAAACCCAGAUGGAAACAGUGGCUUACACUCCUAAAGAUACCUGUUCCUAACAGUGGGAGUGCCAAAGCCUGGAAGCUGGAAGCCAAGGAGACAGGGAGCUCCCUCCUGCUGACCCCCUGCCAGGCCACAUCCACCUAAGGGAUUUGGGAUCAUACUCCAUCUUCAACCACUGGGAUCAAAUGGAAAACCCUCAGGAAUUCUGAGAGACAGCCCCUAUACCUAUGUGCACUGACACACAUACACUGACAAAUAUGCAUUCUGACACAUAUAUGAACAUGUACAUACAUGUGCCCCACUCCCUGCCAGGAGGUGGGUUCUGUCUCAUCAUUGACAUGUUACUUCUUGUCCUUCCCUAGGCCCAGUGGCACUUUCUUUGUGAUAGGUGCUGAGACCCCCCACCGACUGGGCCCAGUGGCUGUUCCCAGGACCCAGCCUCUGCUCUUAGCUUACCCAGCUCUAGCUCCCAGGACCCCAGCUUUUCGCAGGGAGAGAGAUAGCUCUUUUGGUCUGGCACAUGUUCCAUGCCAAGUAGUUGAAACAGCAGCUGCAGGGCAGCCUCAGACUUGACAUCAUUUAAUCCUUGUGACAAUCCUACAGGGAGGAAGACACUACACAUACGUGCAGAUGCAGCAAAGAGCAGCUCAGCCACAUGGAAUGACUUGCUUGAGGUCACCGGACACUUGACACAACAGAGUUUAGCCCAGUCUCUGGAGAGACCAGCCUUCCACAUCCUGUCAUGCUGAGGAGGGCUGCCAGCUUUUGUCCCUGCUCCCCCAGUUCUAACCCUGGAAGAGUGAUUGUCCCUGCUGUGCCUUCAGCCCAGACAGAAGCAGGCUAAGAGAGGGGAGAAGAGGCAGGGCUGGCCCUUGGAAGGCUCACCUUCCUCACCAGUUCUCUGCUUGGGCAAAGGUCUUCCAAGCAGCCAAGCUCUGAGGCUAGUCACUGUCAUCGUCGGGUGAGGCAGCCUGGGAGUACCAGAGGUUGGAGCAGUUAGGAACCUUCCCCAGGGAAGGGGCUGGAUAGGCAGGGGUGGGUGCUAAGUGGCAGGCCACAACCAGGCACCUGGGAGGGCCAAGCACCACACUGAGAACGCAGUGCUUCCCCUCCCCUCCUAGGCUGCUCAGGAACCCAUCAGUCUCCUGUAAACAAAUGAGACUAAGUCUCUGGCACUCUUGGCCCAGGUGCAAAGGGCAGCUGCCCCUGCAGCUACUCACUCUGCCCUGGCCCUCUCAGGAGGCUAUGUGACCUCUGCACUUGCUGGCUUGUUUUGUUCCUAAAAUACCUGGAUGCUUGAGAAUCUAGACGACACCACUGCUAACAGAUUUCCACAUCGUUCAUUCUGUGCUUCAUGCUGGGACAGGGACCAUAAAACAAGGUGACCCAAAACUUUCAGCAGAAUGCAGGUAGGCAGAGCAGAGGUCUCUGGGAGUGUCAUUCCAAGGCAGUGUCUUCCUCCUCCCCUAUGCUCCCCAUUUCCCAAGAGUGGGCUUCUUCUACCCCACUCAGGCACCUCUUCCCAAGGCUGACCUAAAGGCCUCAAGCUCUGUGGAUAGGGGCAGUCCUGAGGUGGCAUUGAGUCUUAGGGUUGGAGUGGGAGAUAUCUGUGCAAAGGCUGAUAGGAACGUCCUCCAAGGGCUGACUUCAAAGCUUGGCCUAAACCACUGCAUCAAAGUCAGCAAGCUGAGCUGUUUGCACAGAAAAGGAGGAGGGGCAGGCCCUUGAGCCACCUGUAGCUCUCCUUACGGUCUCAGGCUUUCACACCAGGGCAGGCCUUGGGCCAGACUACCCAACUUCCAGGCCGGAUAUGCCACUGGGGUGGAGGAGGUAACUGCCCCUCAAAACCCUGCAGCCCAGGACUCCAGGAUUCCAACCCAGGGACCUGCAGGCUCCCCUGCUCUCCAGAUCAGACCCCUACUCUCAGAGCCCUAGGCCCAGUGGGGGAACAGCCUGUGAGAGAGGCCUGUGUGGGGUGGCCCUAGCCCCACCUCAGCUUCCAGCCUGACCUUGCUGCAUGACCUCUGGCCCAGCCCUCUCCACCUGGAGUGCCAUCUCUCUUUGUGGGGCCAGGUGGGUUGUGUGUGGGGGAGGGCAAGUAUAUAGGUGUGGUAUAGGUGGAAACUGCCACAGUACCCAGCAGCAGCUCAGAGCCGGGCCACCCAAUUUGUAUGCCAGCCCCAGCUGGGCCUAGGCACGUGGUGUGUGGAAAUAAACAAAGCAGGCAGCCCUAGGGUUAGGAGGCAGGUCCAGAGCUCACCCAGGCACAGCACAAGAUGAGUGCCUGGCCUCAGCGAGCGAGCACUGGCUGCUAUGCAGCUGUGGUGUGGAACCUUGACACUAGGGCCACUGGCCUGGCUGUGUGACCUCUACCUCAUCACCCAGAGCAGGGCAACCAGAGGCAGAGCCUCAGUGUGGUGUUCUCCUGUGAAAUAGUGAUGGCACAGGCAGGGGCUGGGGCCCAGUGCCUACACAGAGGAUCAGCAAAGGAUGGCAGUUAUUGAAACUUCUACGGGGAAGUUCCCCAGACACGAGAGGAAGACCCCCAUGGAAGCUGUGUGUGUAACGUGCUUAGAUUUUCCAGAGUCUUCAUUUUCCUUGUCUAAACAGAGGUCAUGGCGCCUCCCUCUCAGAUCAAACAGCCUUGUAUGAGUGGCUACAACCUUUGGUGGGCUCAGUGCAGCCCCUCCUGCCCCCUUGCUUGGGAGCUGUCUGUACAGGCCUGGGGAGCUGCGUGGGGUCUUUCCACCUCAGCCUGUCUCCCCACCCCCACCAGGUCCCCUGCCUGACUCCAGCAUACCCAGGCCCUAGAAGCACCAACUCCAUGGCUGCAGCUGAGUGGAGUGUGUGCCUGCCCAAGCCUAGAGGGGUGCUGACCCCUCCCUCACACGAGGAGACAUCAAAGGGAAGCAGGAAGCAGCGGCCUGGCUGACCCACAGCGGGUGGGAGAAGUGCAGCCUCACAACUGCUGGGGAUUUUCCAUCCCACCAGGAUUUCCGCGGGACACCCCAAGUCCAGCCUUUGAGGCUCCUCAGGAACCAGAGUUUGGCCUGGAGCCAGUUGGGGCAGAGGAGGGGGGCCAGGCUGGGUGGCUUAGGGGUGUGGUUAGGCCUGCUAGGGGGCUCCUCUUCUCAGUCUCCCCAUGAUUUGCUGGUUACUGGCUUGAAAUCUGGGCCCAGACCCAUUCCAACACUGAACCCUGAGCUCCCUGAGACCUGGCUGGCAAGGACAGGUCCCAAUUUUUACAGGGGCCUGAGAGGAAUGGAGAAGGGAUCUCUGCCCCUUCCCUUCUCAGUCACACCUCCUUGACAGGGGGUCAUCAGAGUGGGCUGUGGUAGGUGCACCAGGGAAGGGACCAUACAGAGGAGGCUGGUCUCAAAUCCUAGGGUGCCUGGGAUGGCCCUAUUGAAAUGCUGCAGCAGCUCCUGUGCAGGCAGGGAUCUGUAUGGACAGCUGGGUAGACACAGGUGCCUACUGACCUCCCAGAUCCUUCAGCAGAGCUCAGCCCUGAGUGACAGCCCAAGGCAGACCUGGCUACCUUAGCCUCUGGCUCACAACCCUCAGCCAGAGCCCUGAGAGGCCUGGGAUCUCAAAGCUGCAAGGUGGGAGGCCAGAGGAGAGAAGCCCGGAGCUGGUUGUGAUGCUGGCUGAGUGAAAAUUGCACAUGUCCCAACACUGCGAUGCUCCCUAUCCAGCCUGGGCUUUUGGCAGACUUCUGUGCUUUGAGGAGGAAGCUGGCUCAGAUUCCUCCCCUCCCUGUGCAGUUGUGUGUCAAGGUGUACUUGUCACACCCAACUCAGGAUAUCUUGCAUCACUUUUUGGGUCCCUGUCCCCCAGAGCUGGGACUGCUGAGUUUUAGCCCUAAGCUCUUGCUCCCGUCUUAGCAAGUCAGGGCCCAGUGUUGUCCUUGCCUUUGCAUCAGGAUGGUAAGCUGGGCAUGCUCUGCAUCACGGAGACCUGCAUGGACCUGGAUUGGGUUGCCUCUAUCUUCAGGCUGGUCACUGGGCAGACACAAACCAGGGCUUCUGGCCAGAGGGGACAAUGGCUCUGAGUUACUUUUGCUGCUCUUUAGGGGUGAGCAGGGGCUGCUUGUGCAUCAUAGCGCAUCACAGGGGAUGCACAUUUACAGUUGAAAGCUACUGGUACUGGGUAGAAGUGGGGCCGAGUAGGACUUCCCAGCCUUGAACAUGGGUUUGUCAUCCAACUGGGACCCACAUUUGAUCCAGCAGCCAUGCUCUGUGCAGCCUGGGUCUGAAGGCAGCCACGCUCAUGUGAAAAGUGCUAGUAGCCAAGCUGCCAUUCUAGUCACCACAGCUGUCCUUGCAGGAGCACACUGCCCAGGGCUGGGAGCUGUCAUUUCCGUGACGGGAGUGAGACACAACACUGGGUGAGGGUGGGGGUAUCUGUUGGGAAUUAUUUCAAAACAGUUGUGGAAACUUGGCAGUGGAGGGGCUCUGGGCAUAGGUAUCCACAAUAUCCCAGUCAGGGGUUGGGGUACCCUGGCUCUGCUGAUAAGCCCAAGUGAGCAUACUCCUCCUCCAGCUUGGAAAAGGUGGGACAGGCCAGGUGACACUAGUGUGGUCUGUGGUCUGGCCUCCCAAGCCAGUGGCAGUACUGGGGUGGCAGACGUUUGCUGUGUGCUAUCCCAAGGCCUAAAGGUCACACAGCGAGGUUGGAGCAGGGUUUUGGGCAGGAUGAGUAGGUAUUGCUGUGCUCUCAGAGAGGUGAAGCAAACCCCAAGCAAGGGGGCGAGACAGGGCAAAGGCCUACACUUUGCCAUCAACUCAGGCCUACUCAAUGCUGGCCCUGUCCCUCCCCUGCCCCUGCCCCAUCAGAUGGUGCGAGCUGGUGGGGCUUAGAGUGAGCCCCCCUGACUCUCCUUGGUGUGGAGUCUGAGGCCCAGAGUAUACAGGCCUCAUCCGUGUGACCCAGCAGGAGGAUGGGAGAGUGGGCCCAGAACUUGGUCAGGCUCAUCCGUGGAGAACAAGUUCUUCCCUAGUCUAGUUGUGGUCUGAGUCCUGGAUGAAGCAGGAGGCAGCCUGGGAAACAGGCUCGUUCUAGUAGGAAUCGCAUUCUCAGGAACGCUGACUGUGCAGGGCCCUUUCUCACUGCCACCUGGGAGGAUGCCUGCCUGCUGGCCAUUUGGGCGGACUGUCAGAGCACCCUCCCUGGUGUCCCAGACCGAAGGCCUGAAGUCCACAUGGGACCCCUGAGCUUCUGGUACCUGUGUGGGCUUGUCCCCUCAACCCUGAGUGGAAUGGCAACAGCCAGCUGCAACCCUCCUAGCUUCCUGUCACGUGCUGUAUGGAAGGGCCAAGAGCUGUAGUCAUCUGCAGAUCCUCCCACUGCACCUGUAGGACUAGCGUCUCCUGUCUGGAUGUGAGCAACUUGCUGGUGGCCUGUGAGAUGGGAGUUGCACUGGGUUUCUGGAUAAGGGCUUCUUAUUCAGGUGACAAUUCUAUGUGAAGGAGACCCAUGGAAACACAUCUAUCCCCUGCCCAUGUACCAGGCAGAGAUGGUACCUGCCCAUGUACCCUCCAUGACAUGGCUGGGUCCCUGAAACAUCAGACAGAUCGAUACUCUGUGUGCAUGUUUGUGGGCAAGACACAGUGGCAUGUGUGCCAUGGAGUUUGGUAAUGGGAGGACUGAGUAGUGCCUCUGUGUGUGAGCUGUCCAGCCAUCCCCACGAAGGGGGCAUUCCAUGCAGAUGGGGAUCCUCUCCAGGCAGCUUCUUCCACACCUGAUUAGCUGUGACCAUCAGACCCCCCUUGCCAAAAGGGGCCCUUCCCUGGAAUCUGUAAUUCUCACAGGCUGUCCCAUACAUUUUAAAUCCAGGAAAUGUGCUCACCCAUGAGACAGGGAUGGCAAGAAGAUAUGAAUGAAAAGCAGCCAGUCCGUAAAGUUGGAAGCCAUUUCACUCCUUACCAGGUACAAAGAUAACAUGCUGCAUGGAUCAGGGACACAAACUUACCUACCUUAUGAUGUAGUGAAAGAAUCUGUAAAACUUUUGUCUCAGCAUACUCCCUGGAGGAAGCCAAUAACAGGAGGCCUUGACUAGGAGACCUCAAGCCUUGGCAUGUGCCCAGACCAGUGGGGAAGGAAGGCUGGGAGGCAGUCCUCCCUUACCCCUUUUCUCCCAGGCAGACCUACCCUGGGUUCUUUCCAGGCCCCUCCGCCCGAGCAAGUGCUCAGUUGGCCACUAGCUCCCUGCAAGUCCAACAAGCCUUUCUUUCCUGUUCCUUCUUCAAGGAAGGCUUAGCCUCAACUCCGGGGCCACAGACAAAGGACAGUCACUCUCCUCUGUCAGAAAGUCAUUUAUGGGACAUGGAGAAAGCAUCAAAUAUAUUGCUUUUCCAACACCUAACAGCGGAAUAGGAGGAAUAGAAGGGGAACUCAGCCAGAAAGUUCUGGAGCAUAGUCUUUUUGCCAAAAGAACAUGUUUUCAAAUGAAAGAGGUGGUGCUGGGGCACUGAGGAAUCAGGGGGAUGGACCCCACUGGAGCUUGUGUCAUGCUGGCAGCAAGUCCCAGGCCUCAAACACAUACCUGGGCCACCUCAGGAGAGAGACUGCAGGGAAGAAAUGAGUUGCAAUGCUCCAGCCUAACCAGCUCCCCUUUUGUUAAUCCAAUCCCAGAAAGUACUGGGUAGGGUCAGUUAACAGACAGCUGCCUGUCUCCUGGCAGAGUCUGACCAAGCCCCAGUGGGCGCUUCUCUUCCUAAGUCCUCUGGUGUACCCCAUUCUUCAAGGGAAACGGUCCCCUUAAGAAUCUAUGUGAAAGGGUUCUGAAAUUGCUGUACCAGUUAAUGAAUUAUUUACUCUAAACAAUGUCUUGAUAAAGGGGGAGGAUGAAAUUAGCUGAUGUUGACUAAGGAGAGACAGAGUUGCCAAGGAAAUUCUUCUAAAUGAAAAAAAAAAAAAGUAAAAGCAGUCAGCCGGUUUUGUCUGACUAUGAAACGUGUCAUAGAGCAUGCACCUUUGGCCAUCUUUCGCAUUUAUGAUUUGGAAGAGAGAUGUAGCAGUGAGUGUGGGGCCAGGGAGGGGAAUCCAACAAAGCCAUUCUGCAAGCUAGUGGCUGGGAUUUUGGGGUAUAGAGUAAGAGCAGCCAGCCUUAGAGGCCCACGUCAUCUGGGCUGCCUCAGAGCUAAAGCUAGGUAACCAGAGGGAGUAAGGAAAGGCCUGAGUCCCAGGCUAGGCUUUUCACAGUUGUAUUGAGAUGGGAAAGUAAGGGAUGUUCCUUGCAGCAGAUGCAGGGCCCAGUUGGCUAGAGUAGUAUUUGAAAUAAAUUGGCAUUUCAGGGCAGUGUUUGUGAUGCCAGUCAGUAGGUAGGGGCUUCUACCCCUUUUUUAAGCCUUGCUCUAUGUUAUAAUCUCUACUUCUUCUCAGAAGUUUGAAAUGUUUACUCUGAACUAAGCUCUAUGCUUUAACAAGUUAUGUUUUAAUAGGAAAACUGUCAUUGAUGGAAUCAUAUGUAAUUCCUACAUUUUUCCAGUUACCCAUUCCUGGGGAAAGCUUAGCCAUUGGACAAACCACCCAGAGCCCCAGGAACCUGCAUUUGCAGACAGCAGUGGCAGGCACAGUGGUCUAGUGUUGGGCGGGGGAAACCUGGCCUCUAUGUGUCUGGUUUUGCAAACUAAAACUCCAUUGCCCAUACUCAGGCUGACAGGUUCUGGAGGUGCCAGGGACUCCUGCUCUGUAUCUCACCUCUAAUUCCAUCACAAUGCAUGAGCUGUCAGUGGGAGCCUUUUAAUGCAGAUGCUAAUACCCAUUCCUAAUGCUGGCCCAUUCCCACGCCUCCUGAGUUGGUGCGAUAUAUCCUGGGAACAAGAAAAUCUGAAGGCUCCUGGUCCUCAGGCUAGCAAGAGCCUUGCCUGUAAGAAGUGGGAGAAGGUCACCUCUCUCAGGAGGCAGAACUAAGGCUGCACAGCACAAGGGAGAUGUCUGAAUGCACAGUCUGGGUGGCAGAAGGACUCCUGUCCUUUCUUCCACACAGACCUGAGCACCUCUCCAGGUGCCACCAUUUUCUGUCUGGUAACAUCUGCUAUCCCCAAGCCUCAGUUUCCUGGUCUACAAAACUGAGAUGGUCUCUUCUAUACAAGGCCCCAGGAGGAUCACUGCAAGUCACUGCAUUUCAUGGUGCCCAGAUUUCCCUGCAUUUCUAGAAUGUCAACAGAGAUGAGUGGGCUCAAGGGGAAGAGAUUCUUUAUGACUAGAGAUAUUCUGGUCGACUUUGGACCCCAGCUUCUAUGGACAAUAGCAUGUGGACAUGAGUCCUGGGGAAGCAGGGAUGACUGAGCCUGAAGAAGAGCUCUCAAGCCUUACACUCUCCAGACCAGCCUUGGGUUGCCUGAACCCCAGCAUAGCCUUAUGGAACCCCUGCCUGGGUCCUAGCACCUGGUUUGACCUGGGCACAAGUACUCACUCACUCACUCACUCACUCACUCAUCAAACAUUCACUGAGGGUCCGUGACAGGCUCCAUAUGGAUUAAGCACUGAAGAUAAAACACUGAAUAGAAACAGCCAGCCUGUACCCUCAUGCUCCUUGAAUGUGAUAGAAGGAGCCAGCCAGUAAACCCUUUACCACAAAUAAACACACAGUUACACAUUAAGAAUGGGAGGGGAGGUAUGUGAUUUUUUACAGCCCAGUCUUAAGCUUUAGAAAUUGGCUCCUCUGAGGAAGGGACAUUUCAGCUAAGAACCACAGGAUAAGACAGUCCUAGCCUGGGGAAGGGGAGAGAAGGUCAGGAGAGAGCUUGAUAUGUUUAAUACUGAAAGAAUAUUUGAUGAGCUGGGACAUCUCCUGCAGAUCCACGGCUCCCUAGCUUUGUGACCCUGGGCCCUAGACUCAAUCCCUCAACCCUUAGGAGAUUAUGUAUAAAACAGGAAUGAUAAUAUUCUUGUGUUAAAAGCUGCUGUGAGGAUUAGUGAAAUGAUGUCUAUAUUUGCCUGGCAAACAGGAAGUUUAAGUAGUAGUAUCAUUUGAAGAUUAUUCUUCAGCCUAAACGUGUGUUCAUUAUGGCCGGUGUGUUUUCUCCCCACCUAGAUGGUAGUGCUGGGCCUCCUUUGGAGUACCUUGAUUCUUGGGGAGCAUGGAUGAUAUGACCAUAACCUGAGAAAGCAGGGACUGUACCCAUUCUGGUCCUCCCGGGUCCCAGGGCCCCCACAGUGCCCUGGUGUGUGAUCAGUGCCCACAAUACUGAAUAGAGGAACAGACACAUGGGAAGCAACGGCAGUUGCCUGGUCUUUAAGGGUGAGGGAGCACCUUCUCCUGAGAGAGGGAGAGAGAGGUUGGGGAAGGUUGGGUGGGGGUGGGGAGAGCGAGCAAGCAAGCAAGCUAGAAACUUCCUGAAAAGGGAAGUUACUCUAGAAAAGGGUAAGUUCCUUCCAGGCAUCAUGGGCUGGCUUAACCUGGACCAGUUUGACUUUACUAAGUCCCAUUUCUCAUCUAGGGAGCCUGAGGCCAUUAAGGUUAUCUGGUCCCAAAAUCCCCUGGAGCUGUCACAGGGAUCCCCAUUCUUUGCCUUUAGUCACCCCAGCCCCAAGAGCCAUCCUCCACAUGGAGUGAGCAGGGAGCUACGAGGAAAAGACGGUCACAGUUGGAGAGAGACAGAGAGAACCAGGUGGGCUGGUAGGACAGGAAGAUAUAGGCAGAAAGUAAAGCUCUCUCCUGGGGAGGCAGGAAUACUCUCCUGCUUCCUUCUACCUGGCCUCCUUCUACCCACUCUUCAUAGAACACAAACACUGCAAAAAUGACUUUUUCCAAACCCUCUUAGCAUUCAGAAGUAGAAUUGCUAUGUAAGAAUUUUUUCAUAGGUGCUUUUUUGGGGGGGGGGUAUCUAUUUAAAAAACAACCACAUCAUUAGUGAAAUCUUCCAAAGUCUCUUUUUGGAGCCCAAAUUUCACUAAUGUCCACAUCUGAGGAGGCUUUCAUAAUAAAAGAACACAUACCUAUUUCACCUAUGAUGGUCAGUGCAAUCUUGAAAACACUAGUAAAUAGUGUCCAUCAGCUUUAAAAAUACAAACCCAAAUUGGGUCAUACCAAAAUGCAAGGAUACACACAAUAACCUGGGUGAAUCUUCAGGGAAUUGUGCUGAGUGAAAAGAGCCAAUCCCAAAAAGGUGAUUUGCUUAUGUGGUUCCAUUUAUAUAAUUUUCUUGGAAUGAUAAAGAAAUGAAGAAUAGGUUAGUAGUUGUCAGGGGCUAAGGACAGGGUAGGGUGGGAGGGAAUUGGGGGUGGCUAUAAAAGGGGGACAUAAGGGAUUCUUGAAGAGUUAGAAAUGUCCUGUAGUGAGACUAUCAAUGCAAUAUCCUGGUCAGAAUAUUGUACUACAGUUUUGCAAGAUGUUACUAUUGGGGGAGACUAGGUAAAGGAGUACGUAAGAUUUCUCUGUGUUGUUUCUUAGAACUGCAUGAGAAAUCUACAAUUAUCUCAAAAUAAAAAUUUAUUUUAAAAAAUCCCCAAAUUUAAAAAAAUCAGUAGUCCUCCUAAAAAUACCCAGAAAUGAAUUUUAGAAUGUCCAAAAUCCAUACAAAGAUCUAAAAAAUAUGGAAGGAUGUUGCAAUGGAUUUGAACAUGUGGGUAAACUGCUUCUAUUUAUGGCUGGAAAGACUUUUUUUUGAGGGGGGGAAGGCAAUUCUUCAUAAGUUAAUCUAAAUUGAACGAAGUUUCAAUAACAAAUGCCAAUGGGAUAUGGAUAUGCACACAGAUAGACAACUUUUUUUUUUUUUUUUUUUAAUUAGGCAAGCUGAGGCCAGGUGCGGUGGCUCAUGCCCGUAAUCCCAGCACUUUGGGAGGCUGAGGCGAGCAGAUCACUUGAGGUCAGGAGUUUGAGACCAGCCUGGCCAACAUGGUGAAACCCUGUCUCUAAUAAAAAAAAAUUAGCCAGUCAUGGUGGCAGAUGUCUGUAGUCCCAGCUACUAGGGAGGCUAAGGCAAGAGAAUUGCUUGAACCUAGGAGGCAGAGGUUGCAGUGAGCCGAGAUUGCGCCACUGCACUCCUGCCUAGGUGACAGAGUGAGACUCUGCCUCAAAAAAAUAAUAAUAAAAAUAAAAAUAAAAAAAUAAAUCAGACAUGCUAGUUCUAAGUUUAUAUGAAAAAAAAUGUAUGUCCUGUAAAAUUCAGAAGUAGCAGCAGUCUGGCCCCUUGUGCUCCUCUAGCCCCCAACUGGCCUAACAGGCCCUAGUGUGCAGCAGGGACCAUUUUCCCAUCACUGUCCACAGCAUCUAGACAAGAAUGCAGAGAACGACAGAUUUCAAAAACUCUAAUCUGGGAUCCUGUGCAUCCUAAAUAAUCUUAUGAGGAUGCACUUGUAUUUUUUCUGAUGCUGAUAACAUUCAUUCCAACUCGCCUCCCCAUCAGCUUUGUCAGGCACUGUGAAUUGCAUGGUACACAUGAUUACAAUGGAUGGAAUGGCCAUCAUGAGGUAUAGCAAUACAUUUAAGUAACACUGUGUCACUACUAUAGGACAGGCACCUUUCUGCAUACUUUAUAUUAUUAAUUUGUGUAAUCCUCCUAACAACCCUCUGAGGAAGGUACUCUUAUGAUUCUCAUUUUACAGAUAAAGAAACUGAGACUAAGUGACUCACUCAAGGUGUAGCAGGUAGAAAGUAGUAGAAUUAGGAUAUGAGUUUAGACGCUAGACCCUGCUAUUAGCCCCUGUCUUUGGCUAUGGAUUAGUAAAGGAGAGCACAGCCAAGGGUGGGACAGGCAGCUGUAGUCCUCUGGACCAGCUUCUCAUGGAUGGGGCUGCAUUGCUACAGGUGGCCUAACUCAGACAUGGAAACUGAGUCGCUGCUGCCCAACUCAUGCUAUGAAACCAUUUUGGCCUGCACAGCUUAUAAUAGCACUCUAGCUCUAGCUAUGACACUUUAUGGUGUUAGUGGGUUUUUUUGGUGGUUGGUAUGGAGGAGGGGCUGGGCUACAAGUUUUAGAUUAUGCUUCUUAUUGCGGGUUUUUAAAAAUUCUUGAAUUAGGCCUAUUUGCUCUUUUGUUCUCUAUUGAGUUAGCAAAUUCAGUUUUUCCAAGAUGCCCUGAAAGUAUGAUCAUACAUGUAUAUGAAAUGGUCCUUGGGUCCAGCUGGCAACUCCUGUGCACCCCCGACCUGGAUUCUGCCUUCCUUGAAGUGAGCCUUGGAAGAAACAAGUGCUCAUGCUCCCUGACAUUAUUAGCUGCCAAGAUGAAGCCUCAGUCCCAAACACCCCAGCUUCCUGUCUAACUCAAGAGCUAAUCGUGUGUUUAAAUCUUAAGAGUGUUUAGAUCUUAGGCCAUGCCAUGAAUUCCCCUGGUUGACUGCAUUGUGAAAAUGAGCUUCCUAUUAUUGGCUCUUAAGUAAUGGAGAUGAGGGGGAGUCCUGCUACACAGAUAAGUGCAUCAUAAAGUUACAUAAUUAAAAUAACUGAGCUCUGGCCUAUCAACAGACCCAUCAGCAGUCCAGAAUAGAGUCUAGAAAUGGACACAAAUUAAAUGAGAGUUUGAAAUAUGAUAAAGGUAGCAGUUGAAAUUAGUAGAGAGAUGAUGAUGUACUCAAAUAAAUAGUGUUGGACAACUGGACAAACAUAUGGGAAACCAAACUGGAUUUAAUUACUAUGUCAAAAUCCUGAUAAAGCAAGGAUUUAAAUGUAAAAAAUGAAAUAAAAAAUGAUAGAAGAAAACAUGGAAGAAUUUAUUAAAACAAUUUCAGGAUGAGGAGGUUAUUUCAAAAUUUAAGAUAAGGACCUCAAACCAUAAAAGACUGACACAGUUGACUAUGUGAAAUUAAAAAAAUUCUGCCACCAGAAAAAUAUUAUAGAAAAAGCCAAAACACCUAAAGAAAAUUAAGAUAAAAUAUUUUCAAUGAAUAUGACAAAGCAAGUUUCUACAAAUCAAUAAGACAAGGUAUUUUACAGAGUCCAAAGGGUAUGAAGAGAUAGUUCACAAAAAAGAAAAAACAAAUGAUUUUAAGCGUUUGAAAAGAUAAAAACCUCAUUUCCAACAAAAGAAAUGUAAAUUAAAGCUCCAGUGUACCAUUUCUCAUCUAUGAAAUGAAUGAAGAUAAAAACCUGCAUAUACACUUGGUAAGGGUGGGGGAAGCAAGUGCAUUUGUGCAGUCAAAGUGAUGUAAAUGGUACAGCCCUUAUUUGGCAGUAUCUAUCACAACAUAAACAAAUAUUUUAAUUCUGCUGGAAAUGGGGGGAAAGGGAGGCUCUCUUAAACUAAAUCCACUGAAAAUGGAGACCAAAAUUUUACAAUAGAGAUAUUUGAUUGGGAAGUUAUUUUGAAAAAUAACGGUAGUUAAAAUAUUAUUUUAUCUCAUAUGUAAUAACAGUUGUUAGAGUUACAAUUAUAUACACAUUUUAGAAAAAAACAAAUCCAGCGGGGAUUUUGGUUUGUCUUUUGUAAAACAUUAUAUAGUAACAUCUGAGGGCAUCUUUUAUAUUUGGCAGAGGAUGUUGGCAGCACUUCCACAGAGAGGAUCAUUUUUUGUAGAAGUAUGGCAUGGUUUCACUGCUUGACCAAGAGGCCACCUGCAUCAAUUAUCAUCUCCCCUGCUGUCCUCUGAAAUGCUUAUCUAGGCAUCAAUCUUGGUUUCCUCUUCAACUGAUUAACUAACUGGUCUACUCUGCCCAGUCUCUAUUUGAGAAAUUAUUUGAUAUCAUUUUCUUUAACUUGAUGAAAUCUCCUAUUUUGGCAAGAUUUACAGUUCCUCUUUAUAAGUUCCUCUUUACUUUGUGUGUGCUUUAUAUUGUCUUUGGUUGACAAGAGACAGCCAAAUAGAUCAGUCAGCAGAGAUACAAGUAGGGAUAAGAUGGAUAAGGAGAAACAACAGUGUUCAAUAGGGAGGGAUGUUUCAGGGAAACUAAUUUCAUAAGUGGUCAUUUCAGUAGUGAAUAUAUUUGAAUGGUUAAUGGCUGCUGUUUUUUAGCUGCCCUACAUACCCAUCAAUAGAGGAUCUGUUCCAUAAAUCAUGGCACAAUGAAACUCUGCAGCUGUUAAUGAAGAGGAGAUUUGCUAGAUGUCUUAAUACGGAUCCAUCUCCAGAACAUACCAGUGUCUUCCUUUUAAGUGGUGCACAUUGGGGCUGAACACUUACUAAGAAAUGAAAGGGCUCCCCAGUCAAAGCUGACAGGUGUCAUUACAACAUGACCCCUGUGAUAGAUCCCAGCACAAUACACUGGCCAUCACUCCAUUCUCUUCAAAUGUCCUGGGGUUGCUUCAUACAGCAGACCAUCAUACCCAAAGCCACUAUGCAUGUAACUUGGUUAUCUCCUGCCAGGCUGUAGUCCAGUUAGUGCUCCCUUGGAAAUACUCAAGACCUUAAUGAACUAUCCAUCUGUGAAUCUGUGAAGCUACCCAUUUCUUAGAGGCCUCUUUGGAGAGCUGGCUGUUGAAUACCCAGUAUGAUGGUCCUUAGCCGCCUUAGAUCUUUCCUGUACCACUACCUCUAUGCCUUUUGCCAAGUCCAAGUGUUCACUAGAGAUGGAACUGAUGCCAGAAAGACUACAGCUAACAAUCUGAGCAGAACAGUGAGCAUGUCCUAUCUGGGAAAAGCCCAGCCCAUUGGGCUAAAUCUCUAGCUGAACACAGAGACUAUGCUCCUUCCAAUUAUACUGGAAGCCCAACCAUGAGAAAACAACACUUCAACUACACUGUUCAGAGCCAUCACCUCUUCACAUGUGUGCCUGUAUACGUGUACACACACAUUUUGCAAUAAAAAUGCUUCUCAGAUAUACUGCACCAUAAUAAAUCAGCAUUGUAUGUACAGCUCAAAAAGAAGUAUGGCAUACCUAUGGAAGAAGUCAAAGGCAAAGUGUAGAAAAAUACAUACAGUAUGUUACCAUUUGUAUAAAAAGGAGCCGUAUCUACUAAGUACAUGCACACACAGACACACAUAUAUUUGUUUAUAUAAAAUAUGUCUGGAAAGAUGCAAUAGGAAAGUGUUGAGUGGUAACCUUUAGGGAAGGAAACUUGGAAUUAGGGUUGGGUGGGGAGAGUGUUAUUUUUCACCCCUUUUGUACUCUGAAUUUGUUUUACCAUGUGUGUAAAGACUGUUCUAUGAUUUUUGUAGCACAACACUUGAAUACAUAAAGCACGACUGGCUCCCCAGAAGGCAGGUGUUGGCCAGGCAGUGGAUGCACGGUAGGGCAGUGUGCAGCCCUGCGUGCACGUGGCUGGUAUGCCCUGCGGGCAGCAGCUCCCCACACACAGUGCUGUGAGUCUCUGGUUCAUGUCACUCUGUGGAGCAGGGGCUGCUCCAGCACAAAGAGGUUUUUGACAGGGAAAGGCAGAGCCAGAGUCAGGGCAGGCCCUGGGCGGGCUCCCAGAGAGCCCAACCACCCUCUAAUAAGGGGUGCUCUCCACCCUAUCUGAGGAGCAAUUGGGAUCUCCUAGGAAGUGAAACUGUUACGUAUGUCUUAUUACAGAAUUUCCAGUGGAGUGAUUCUGAAAGAAAUGUGUAUGGCAUGUUGUGACUGCUAUGUCUCAUGAAAUAUUUACAUUUUUAUGUAACUUUUUUCCAUUUUCAGAUCAUCUUUUAUUUUAACGCAAAAUGACAAUAUAUUUUUCAAUUCAUUUGCCCAAUGUCUGUGUUUAAAUGUUUUCUAAUGCACACACGUGUUUUAAACUCAUUAAAAAAAUAUGACUUAGAUCCCAUCCCACUUUCAUGUUUUAUAUUGCCAGAACUCUGCUUUUGGGAGGGGUGAGUUAUCUUCACUUCUGAAACAGUACUGCUUGGGAGCUGGUUUGGCCCUGGCUAUUCUGGGGAAAUGACACAAUAUUGACCUAGGAGGGGCCCUAAUCUUUCCCCACUAGAGCACUACCUCUAAUAGGGGGAAGGAUGGGAGAAAGAGGCUAGUGAACCCACCUUCAGGCCUGUCCACUCAGGACAUGCCCACACUAGCCUCUCCAGGGGCUCUGCCCUUGGCAUCCCCGUCCCCCACCUGGGCUCUGGCAGAGAAGUCGGGCGGGAAGAAGCCGGCUGAGUGCCCGCCACUGUAAGAGGAAACGAAGAGAAACAGCUCCAGUCAGCCCCAGAAGCGAGGCCUGGAAAAACUCUGCAGCUGGAGCUAACACAAAGGACUUUUCAGACCCUGCAGCCAAGGUGCCCAGUGAGCUUUUUUUUUUUUUUUUUUUUAAAAACAGCUAUUAGGGUGACAAGCCUUUCCAAAGGCCAGCAGUUGGCGAGAGUUUCCAGGAAGCUGGUCUGGCACUGGGCUGGGAUUGGAGCAACUUUAACGAGUUAAGUUCAGAAGGAAGGAGUCAUCAGGAAAGGUUUAAGGUUCAACAAACUUUUCAAAUUAUUUUGCAAAAAGUUCUGGCUUUCCAAUUCAAAGGCAUGUUUCGCUGUGACUGUUUUAAGCCAGAGCCUAUUUAAAAGGCAACGCAACUAGCACGCUUCAGAUUCACUCGCUCGAGGUAUUUGUCUAAAUCCUCCGAAUGGGCUUUAUAAGUGCCAUCUAGUGCCUGGUAACACUGGGGCCAUCUUACACAUCUUGACAGGCAGCCCUCCUCCCCACGUGCCUCCCCCCAGUCUCUGUGGUCGUGUGUGCGCGCGUGCGCACACACACAUACGCACGCGUGCACCUUCCCUAAGCAGGAAGCUGCUCUUUGCCAAGAGCGAAUGGAAUUCAGAUUUCCAGAGGGUGUCCUUGGCCUCCAGCUCUAUGGCUGCAUGAUGAAGAAAGGUCCUAGUGUGUGUGCUGGGGGCUGGGAGAGAGGGGCCUCCAGCUCUGCUCACAUCUAUCUGGGCCCCAAGAAAAACCCACAACUGGCUGUGCUCUCCCCAGCCACACCCAGCCUUGGUCACAUUCCUUCCCUUCCUGAGCCCACACUGGGUGGCCCCGGCAAACCAGCUUCCACACCUUCCUCCCCACCGGCAGGGAGACCUAGCCCAAGCCCCCAUGGGGCAGCCAGCAAGUACAAAUGAGGGGCUGCACCCCAGGCCCAAAGAGCCAGAAAGCACGGAGGGCCCUCCCCCCACCCCACCCCCAAUGCUGGGCAUCCCGUUGUGGCUGCUGUCACUCAUGGGGAAAGAGACACACUCCCUUGUCUAGCACCCGGUGGGCUGAGCUCCCAUCCCUUCCUGUGCCUGCUUUCAGGAAGUCCCUCUUCAUAUCCAACCUUGACUCUCCUGGCCGUGGUGCUUGUGGGCCUGGGAUUGAAGGGCCAUCACUGCCCUUUGCACCAGAGCUUCCCAACAUACCAGCAAGAAAGGACUGUACCCCUUCCCCCGUCCAGUCUGGGCCUUCCAAGCCCUGAGAUUCAGCAACCUCAGGAAUUAAACAUUUAUAGGAAAACACCUAUGCAGACCAGGGACAUGAGUCAGGGUGGUCAUCAGCAGUAGCAAGGUGGGUAGGCUGGUCACGUUUAGCUUCUCUUUAGCCCAAGUAAUAGGGUCUUCCACCUGUGUGGCCAGGGAGGGGAUAGGCUAAGAGCAAUCUUUCUACAGGCUGUCAGCAUCAACAAGUGGUUGUGAUGAGCAGGAGUUUGUAUGGCUUUUCAGGUGUUCCGGCUCAAGGAGGCCCAACACCAAGUUGGAACCUCCAGGCCUGGUACCUAGGCAGAAGGUGGGCUAAACAGAGGCCAAGGGGAGCUCUGCUCUGUCACUUCCCUUUGUUUGCUAAUGAGACUGUUUCCAAAAGCUGGCCUGGUAGCCUGUGGGAUUGUUUCUCUCAAGAUUUCUUCUAGGGGAGAAGGUGGCCGAGGCUUUGCAGUCUGCAUCACCCAGUCCCCAGAAUCUACAGGGGACUCAGCUUGCCUAGUCACAGUUCGGCUUUUGGCCUUGGCUCCAGGGCCCAUUCUGAUCCUCGUGCUUGGGUCAGGGAUGGUCAGCACCCCUGCCCUGAUGCUGCCUGGUGGGGUCUCCUGCUGAGUACCAUGAAGGCCUACUGUGGCCUGAGAAGGCAACUUCACUGUCCCUUUUGGCCAGCCCUAGACCCUAUAUUUGUUCAAGUAAUACAUUGAUUCACUGGCUUCUCCUUUAGGCAAGGCCUGCAGGGGACUCAGCUGGGGUUCAUGAUUCCUUGCCACCUGUGGUGGGCCUGCAUGGCCAGGCCCAAGGCCUCAAAUGCCACAUACUGCUCCCCUGACAGUCAGGUGGCUAGGGUGUGACACUCAAGAAAAUGCCCAGGCAGAACCCAGAGUUGGGGUCACUUGGUCCAGCCCUUCUGAAGGGGACUGGUUGGAUCUGGUGCAGGGAGGAGACAGGCCAUGCUGGACCAGCAAAAAAGCAUAGAACUUGGAGUCUGGAACCUGACAUCUGGCCUUGGCUCUGCCAUCAGCUGGCUGUGUCCACUGGGAAAGGUCCUAUCAUAUCUGGUCUCAGUGCUUCCAUUUACCUAGAGUCCUUCCAUCACCUGACACCUACAGGGAUGCUUUCCCAAUCAAAAUUCAGGCCAUGUGGUUUAAUAAGGCCACCUUCCAAUGUGGAAGACAGGCUGGUAAUGGAGAGGCCUGGGAGCACAGAGCUCCUAGGCACUGCCAUGGAAUGUGGGGACCUUAGGGGAAGGAUAUCUCAAUUGAAGCUCUUCAGGGCCCCUGGGGUGGACAGUUCUGUACUCUCAUCCCCUAACCCAUACCAGCCUGAGCUCAAUCAUACCAUCCUGUGAAGGCUGCCCCACCACACUGCUACUGCACCCACCACACCAGGCCCCCUUGAGCUCCCACCUGGAGCCCACACACCCAGCUGGUGGGGUUCAUGGGGCAGUUCAAAAAGAAAAGCAGAAAAAAGCAUUUGAGUGUUUCAGACUAGAAGGAAUUCAAUUUAACUUAACAAAUCAGGACAUGAACCUAAAGAAAACACUGAAAAACAAGCCCACCUUUGAAGGCCCAAAGCGGGAGGAUUAGGUGGGAGAAGAAAGGUCCCCUUGGGGCAGAAGACAGCUGCUCAGUCCAGACCAGGGACCAGGGGGAGGAUACUGGGCUUGAGUGCAGACCGGGCCAGGGUAGGGAGACAAGCCCAACACACACUCGAGGACUUGAAGUCAGGGGUGCUAGCUGACUUUUUAGCCCACUCUUUCUACCCCAGAUACAGAGACUAGCUGCCUGAGGAAGCAUAGCGGGGCCCGCAGGCUGGCUGCCUGGUGCUGCCCACCACCUCUCCAGGGCUUGGCUCCCUGAGGCAGAAGGCUCAGACCUAUAACCACAGUGGGGUUGCAGGGAUUUAUUUGGGGGAAGAACCCUGACUGGGUCAGAAUGAUUAUGUGCAUGCAUGUAUGUGUGUGUAGCUCUUUGUUCUCUGAAAAGCCUUGCCUACCACCCUACUUCCCAAGUACGAGUACCCUCUAUUGCCUUGCAAAGUCACCCCUGCUCUCUGCCUCAGUUUCCCCAGCAGGGCACCACAGGACACUGCUGUGGCGAGGUUUACACUUAGGGUGCAGUGCAGUCUGAUCUUGUAUAAAUGCUCAGUGCCAAAGACUUAGGAGAUAAGUCAGGCAGAGUCAAAAUUAACCUUUGAAAAAUCCCUUGAAUUGGCCCUAAAAAUAAUCCCUUUCUCAGAUCUUUGUGUAUGUCCCCUGCUGGGUUGCUCUUCUGCCUGCUGAAGUGGGAGAAUCUCUGGGUGGACAUCCAGAGUACCCUGGAAGAGGCAUGCCAGGUGUUCCUGUACCUUUUUCAGGAUAUUCCCAGUGUCAUCUUCAGAGGGAGCCUCUGAGGCUGCAGCCACACAUGGGAAAAGAUUACUUAUGGAGAAGAUCAGAGGCUAAGGGGCUGGGGAUGGUGGGGACAUCUGAUUUUGAGGUCAGACCUGGACUCCUGUCUACCUCUGUCUCUCUACCUUUUAUUUUUCUUUCCUUUUCUCCCAACAAGGCCCUCUUUCUAAGAUGGCACCUCAGACCUCCCAUGGGACCAACCAGGCCUGACAGACUAACUGCCAGACUUCCUCCUGCUAGCCAGUCACUACCAAGGACGUGUGCCUCAGAUACAGCCCCUGCCCAGGACACCUACAUUGUCCCUAACAGGGCCCACAUAUCUAAAGCAUGAAUGCCUAGCUGGGAGUUCUGGGGCACCAUGAGAAGGCAUGAAGCUAGGCCUGCCAGUUUGCAUCCUGGGACGGCAGGUCAGCCGUGUCCAGGCAAUCCAGGAGGCUUCCCAGCAGCCCACUGGCCAGUGAGGACCUUUCACCUCCUUGGCUGGUGGCACCAGGUUUAUGAUGCACAUAGACGCUGAACUUGAAGAAUUCUUAUUGCAGAGGGCAGCCACAAGAGCCACUGGCCAGUGCCCAGAUAAUCUCUGCAGACUGUUCCCUCCUGCUCCAUGGGCCACAGAAUCCCUUUGUCUUGUUACUGCUACACUGCCUUCCUACCAACCUUCAGGGUUCAUCCUGGCCUCUGCCAUGCAUAUCCAGGCUCCCCCAGAGAUUGUGUCUGGGAAUGAGCCCUGGCUUCUGCUACUAUCUCCCAGUGAUACUGGCAAGUCCUUAUCCUUCUUGAGGCUUCAAUUUCCCCUUCUGUGAGCCGGGAGGACAGGCCCACUAGAUGCUCUCUGAAGGACCUACCAAGGAUGUGGGCUGUGUGUCUCAGCCAACAGCAGUAUCUCCUAACCCCAACACAAGAAAUACACGUAGUAGGUGUCUGGUUAACGCUCUUGGAAUUUCAGCCUAUACUAAGCAUCUGAAAGCCACUGAGUCUGAACUCUGCUACCAUAUUUGAGAUUAUCUUUCCAUUAGGCACCUAUGGGUUGCCUAGAGACAAGCUACCAUGGUCCUCUUCCCUCACCCAUCAUGUGCAGGGUCAAAGGCAGGUGAGCUACACAGCUCGCCCUGCUCUUCACUCUGCUUGAAUGUGGGUGCUGGCCUUGGCAGAUGGGCCCGACAGUGAUGAGAACAAAUGACAGAUGAAUACUGGGGCACCUGUGACUGCCAUGAGGCACAGUCCACUUAUUCUGCCUCCAACCUCCUCCCCAGAGCAGAAUAGUGAGUGCUAGGUUUCUGCCUGUACCUCCACGGGAGGCCCAACAGCUCCUGAACCCCAUUCCGAGACUUGAGGUUGUGACUUGGGGACCUCUAGACUUCCCUUCCCUCCACCUGACUCCAGACUGUCCUGGAGUUUGGGACUCUCAGGCCUCUAGGCACAUCUUAUUAAGGACAGCAGCUGACAGCCAUAUGUUGUGACCCCAUUUGUAUCCCAUGGUAACUCAUGACCUGGCAGUCUCAAAAGCUCUCAGGCCAAAUAAGGAAUGUCCCCACAGGAUCUCCCAUCAUAAAGAGACAUUGUAUGCUGGCUAAUAUUUUCAGGCUUUUCCCCGAGUCAGGUAUGUGGCUGGAUGCCUAACACCAUCUCAAGGCCUUACACUAAUACUGUGAGAUAUACUCCCAAUGUAUACAAGAGGAAACUGAGGCUUAUAGAGAUUAGGUGACUGCCCCAGUGUCCUGUGGGCAGGAUGAAAUGACCCAAGCUGGCCAGGGCUCCCUGACAGACCUUGUCCCUGGAUUCAGUGAACAUACACCAAACCAUUAGCUGACAAGGAAUGAAUUUGACAAGCUGUUCAUGACCACCACACUGAAAACUACAGGGCAGGGUAAAAGAUAUGAAAGUCAACGUAAAUAAACAAGGGACACAUGAUGCCAUGUUUCAGGAGCCCCAAUACUAUAAGGAUACCCAUUCUCCCAUGCCCAUCUAGAGUCUGCUGCACCUAGAGGAGGCUUUCCAUGGCAACUGGCAUAUAUAUGGUGAGACAGAAACCCUACAAAGACAGCAAAGCCAGUGAUGGGGAAGGAGAAGCAGCCAGAGCCAGCAGGACCAGCUGUCAAAACCUGUUAGCAAACUACAGUGAGAAUGAAGCAAGGUCCUGGCCACAAAGAACAACUUGAAUCUGACCAGUGGCACCAAAUAGGGUCCAGAAACAGAGCCAUAUGUAGCCAGUGAGCUGAUUGUAAAGACACUGGUACGGCAGGGUAGUGGGGAGAGGAUGGGCCUUCCCAUGCCGGGUGCUGAGCCAGACUGGAUAUACAAGUAGGGGAAGAGUGGACCUUGACCUCGGCCUCACACUGGACACAAAAAUCAAUCCCAGAUGGAGUGCAGAUCUACAUGGGAAAGGUGAGCUAAUAAAGCUUUGAAUAAACCAGAAUAUCUUUAUGACCUUGGAGUAGUCAAAGUUUCUUAAAUAGGACACAAACAGCCCUAUCCAGAGAGGAAAUGUUUGAUUAACUGGACCACAUGAAAAUUAAGACCUUCUGUUCAUCAAAAGACACCAUCAAGAGAGGAAGAAGGCAGCCUGCAGAGGGGGAGGCGAUAUUUGCAAUGUGUGUGUGUGUGUGUAUCUCUCUCUCUGACAAAUGACUCCAGAAUAUCUAAAGAUAUAUAGGACCAUAAAUCAACAUAAAACAGGCAGAAGAUGUAGGCAAUUUAUACGGAAUGAUGUAUCUGACUAAAUGAUAACAUGGAAAGGGACUCAACUUCAUUAGUCAACAGGUUACUGCAAAUUAAAAUCACCAUUUGAUGCUGCUAGACAUUCACCAUCAUGGCUGAAAAGGAAACAACGGAAAAUGCCAAGUGUUAGGAUGUGGAGCAGCCAGAAUGCUGCCUGUGGGAAUGAAAAUUGGAAUGACUCCUUUGGUAGACUGCUGGGUAGUAUUCACUAAAAGUAAACAUAUGCCCACCCAGGACCCUGCAGCUCCACACAUAGGCAUAUAUUCCCCAGAAAUGCAACCUGAUGCUCACCAAAAGCAUGUACAGAAUAUUCUUAAACAGCAACCUACACCAGAAACUGCCUGCUGGCCACAGGUGGUAGAACGGAUGAAUGAUGUAGGCCAUGCACACAAUGGAGCACCAGUCAGCAAGGAGCGUGAGGGAGCACUGCUCCCUUCAGCCCCAUAGAGAGGCUGCCAAACAUCAAAUUGAGUUAGGGACAUUGGACACAAAGGUGUAUGAGUUGCAUCAUUCCCACCGCAUAAAGUUCAAAUGUGGGCAAAGCUGGUCCUUGCUGCUAGAAGUUAGGCUUGUGGUUAAUCUCAAGGUCAGUGACAGGAAAUGGGAGCCUGAGAGGCUUUCUGGGGGUUCUGUUGCUUCCUCUGGGUGCUGCACACAUGGGUCCCAGGGACUGAAGAUGCCUCAAGCUGUGCACUUGAGACCUGUGUACUAAUCUGUGUGCAUGCACGUCACCCUUUAACUAAAAGUUUACCGCCACCACCCUAUACCAGGGUAGCCCAGGUGAGCCUAAUUAGGUGGAUAGCCCUGGCCUUCAGGACCACUAGGCCCAGCCCCAUCCCACUCCCUCACUUAAGGGGACACGGCUUCCAGACUUCCUGACUAGGUCACCUUCGUGCUUCAGCCUCCAGAUGCUCUGCAGUUCAAUCUCCCCUUUCAGGUAUAGGCAGAGCACACAAGAGAUCUAUAUGGGAUGUGCCCCCUGCCCAACCCCGCCCCGACCCCCUGCCCCAACUGCCAGAAGUGUCUCCAUGACAAUAUCAGUGCAGUUGUGAAGUCCUUUGCCCUCCAGCCACCUCUGUGGUGUGAAUGUUCUCUCCGUCACAUCCUCCAACACCACCUGCUUGGCUGAGGACCUGAGCAGCAUCAUGGCUGGGAGUUCACAAGUGGAGAGGGCUGAGCCUGGCCAGAGUGCGCUGGGGCAGGGUGAUUUGGAUGGCCUUUCCCUUCCAGAGGAGAUGAGAAGCCUCACUGCUUUCCUCUGGGCCAUCCACCUAGACAGUGUGGCCCUCUCCCCACAGCAGCAGCCCUAGGCUAGCCGCUUCUUCCUCACAUGCUCAGAUGGAGGAAGUGAAGUUUGGAAAGGUUAGGGGGCCACGGGGGGCCGCCACAGCUGGGCUGAUGCAGGCUGGAAGCCAGAUUGAGGGCAUCUGAUUCCCAAUCCCAUCUCUUUCCCACUGAGCCAUUAUGCCUCGGUUUUAAUUUAAUUAGAAGAACAUUUAAUCUCCCCGUGCAUUUCAGAGACGGGUUUGAGCCUGGCUGGGGCUAUGUGGGGCUCUGACAGGGAUCCUAUGACUCAUGCAGCCCUGCACAGCCCUCCCGGGCGGGCCCCCAGAGGGCUUCCUUGGCACCUCGUGCAGACAGAGGUGGUCUGGAGCUUUGCAGAAGACAGGACACUGGUCUAGAAAGACAAAAUGGUCUCAUCUGUUCUUGACAAGCCCCUCACUCAUCCUUCUGGACACUGGUUCCCAGAAUGGCCUUUCUGUCCUUUCCCACCAAAGUUUACAGGAAGAGAAAUAUGGUGAGGAGCUUAGACACUUACAGAGCUGCAGUGCCUGGUACCCUGGGGUCUGUGGGAGUGGGCCACAGUGGGCCUGGUGUCUCCAAAAUGUCCCAGGCCAAGCUGGUCCCAUCAAAAGAGCUAGCCCCUUGGUCCAUGGAGCCAAAUUUGGGGCCACCCUUGUGACGUUUGCCCUUAUUUCCAGACGGCACAGACUGGCCCUGUCCUUGCUGACAAAUGCAGAAUUCAGGAGACAUUAGUAGUGAUGUGGAUGAAAGCCAGGCCACAGCAGCCUUGCUGGAAAAGAGCAACUUGAAUGUCUUGGCGUGAGAUUCUGCAGGGUCCAGGAGAAAGUUGAAGACAUGGAAAUUCUAAUUAACGCACACGGGGCUGUUUUUGCUCAAGGAUUUGCGAAGCUGUCAUGUCGCAAGAGGCCAGGCAAGCACAUGCUUGCCAGGGAGGUGCUCACAGUCACCUGGUGGGGGUCUCUGCAGCUUUUCCUCUGCCUUCUUUCCACCCCCUCUGCCCAGCCUCGGGGGUCCUGGUCCUCCCCCAUGCCCAUCUCAAUGGGCUGGGUGCUCCCUGAGUGUCCCUCUGGAGAGUGGGACUGAGGGCGGUAUCUGUUAACCUCGAGCUGGGGCUUGCCUGUCUAAGAUGCCAAAACAGAAGAGACGGGGGCCCUUCAGAGAAACCACACGACUGGGCUGGGCAGAGCCAUAGGCUGCAGGGCUUAUGGGCCUGUCCUCUUGGGCUAUCUCAGGUAUCCAUGUGCAACCAAUGGGGCAGACGUGUGAAUUCCAGGCCAGUCCUGGCUGGCUUGGCAGCUGGGGAUGCAGUGUGAGGGAGGAUUCACAAAAAUGGUUUCAGCCUCCCAGGGUUGCUGGGAGAAGCUCACCCAGGCCACACCUGCACACAGCCCCCAAGUUCAGAGCCGCAGAUCCUCAGGCCCCUAGCCCUGUGCCUCAGCACUGGCACAAUGUGUCUGCAGUCCUUGCUUCAUCUUAGGCAGGGUUGAGUAAGCAGCAAUCCUAGGGCUUCUCCAUGCCUGGGGCUUUGGGGGUUCUGGGGAGGAAGAGACCAAGAGGGCUAUACAUGCCCUGCUCCCUCCUGGCACCAUUCGAAAGACUUAGGGAACUGGUACUGAGGGCUUUGAGAGCCAAAGGAGGACACAGCCGUGCAGCCUAAGUGUGUCCUGGGGGGUUUGCUGAGCAGACGUUGGAAAGAUGAAUGGAAAUCUGGUGGCUGCAGAUGGGUGACAAGGGCAUUCUAGAUGGCAGGUCACCACACGCAAGGCACAGGGUUGCACACAGGCAUGGCACCGUCCCCGCCCACUGUCGAGCCAGUGACCCUUGGUGAGCAGAGGAUAGUGAGUGGGUCAGAAUCCCAGGAACUCACCCUGGCUCUUGGGGUACAGGGCUCCUCUUGUCAUGGGGGUGCUCCCCAACUGCCCAUGCAGGCCUAUAGUCUCUACUUCACACCUUUCUCUCAGAAGCCCUGUCAUAUGGUUCUGGGUGGGAGACACAGGCUCAGGGAGUUUGAGGCUGGCAGGGACUGUCUUGUGCCCCAUUCAACUUAGGAAGACAGCUUCUGCCUGAAAGGUGUGUUUGAGGCUGAGUUCUGGCCGCCCAGAGCUGGUUGAGGGUUCCUGAGGCUGAGCAGUAGGGCCCACCUACAGGCUGGGAUGCAGCGACGCCACUCUUUGUCUCCUGGGUACCCCGCGCCUCAGCUUGUCAUGACUCCCUAGCUUGCAUCAGGCCUGCUCACCCCCCACCCCACCUCUGGCUAACAGGCCCCGGAAAGAGGAGCUUCGCCCAGCCCCAGGGACCUUCCCGUAAUCAAGGCUAUAGUGACCUCACCUCUCUGGGGCCCUGCGGGCGGGGAGAGCUCGAGAUGGAAACAAAAUGUGUCUUUAUUUAUGUUUUUAAUUUGAAUUCUGGAACUGGCCCAGCAUGGUAAUACAUUUAACAUCAGUAGAAUGCUGAAGAAAAAUGGAAAUGUUUUUUGGUAACUGCCUCCCACCCACUCUACCCCCUGUGAGACCCCAGCACACAUCCCUGUCCCUCACACACACCAGGGUGUGUGCCUCUCUUCCCAGUUCAGGGUCCAUGGAGCCAGGCUGCCCACAGGAGCUUCGCUGCAUCCCUGAGCAGCUGGAGCUGAGUUUAACUAUGGGCAUCACUGGGCAGGCUGUGCGGGAGGUGGAGGAAUGCAGCCUCAAUGUGGGCAGAAGACCUGCAUGGCCCCCACACCCCUGCUGCCAGGUGGUUUGGGCCCUGAGGAAACAGGGUUCCCACUGCUGCCAGCCUUCUCCCCCAGAUGGAGUGGGGCCUCUGCCCAGCCUGUAUCCCUGGAGGAGCCUGGGUUCCUAGGCCCUGACAAUGUACGUGCCCACUCUCCCCUUCAGGCCUCUCUGGAGGGACCGUACCCUGACUUCUGAGGAUGCAGGAACCCAGCUCCCCUGAAGCCUCAGCCCUGAGUCUUCCCUGACCAGAACACAAUGCCUCAAGGUGGCCCCUUUGCAGCAACCUCCUUGUUUUUCCCUCUCCCAGUCCCCUCUUCAGAUCCCUCACCCCAAGCCCCACACCUGGGCUCCUAACUGCCUUCCCAGGCUGGCUCACAUCCAGCAGCCACUUUUGGAACAGCCUGCUCUGAGAGAGGCCUUGGUAAGUUCCAGGGCAGGGACCUGGUUGGGUAACGACUGGAGUCUCUGACCUGCCUGGGCCCACUUAUCACUGGAGGCCAUGGGAGUGCCAACCUGAAAAGGCUGCAGGAUCUUGCAGAAUGGUAAUGUGCCAGACCCAAAGUGGGCAGAGAGCUUGGGGAUGGAUGUUCAGGUCUCUCAGGCCCUGUCAUCCUGGAGUGGAACAAGAAACAGCCCAGUGUCCUAGAUGACACAGCCACACUGGCUUGGGGUCACCCCUGGGCAGGUGGGUAACCACUGGCUCCAGGGAGCUUGGCAUGUGCUGAUACCAGCACUGGCAGCCCUCAUCCCCAUAGUGGUGAUUUACUGGGCAGCUGCAAGUUUGGCUGUGAUCCACAUAAGUGCCUUGUCUCUCACCACCUUCACCUGCAGGGGCCUUGCAAGACCCAAGAGUUGGUAAGGCCUGGCUGCCCAGCUAAAUGGACUGUGGGUGAUGGCCCUCUCCUCCCAGUAGGACUUUUUGCAUGUCUGGAUGCCGGUCUGUGACCAAGAGAACCAACGUGAGCGAGAGCUCCAACAGGAGAAGCAAGCAGCCAGAAGGAUGAGAAGGGACAGUCCCCUCUCUGAGAGGCCAGCCAAGAGGCAAUACAGGCACUGCCACCUGUAUUGCACACAACAUGAGCCACUAAACUCUAACACUGAUCACUUUGGAGGUCUGUCAUAUCCAGGACUUGGUACAAGCCUUGGCCACAGUGUAAGCCAUCAUUCUGCCUUCUGGUGCUGACCUGUACCUGGGCAGCCCAUCUGGCUACCAGCCUGCUCACACCUCUGCUCCUGCCUUUUUACCCAGCCAGGAGGGGCCCAGAAGCUCAGAGCCCUAUUCUCAGGGUGUCCAUGACUAGUCACCCCUGCUUUCCAGUGACCUGCUGGCUCCCUUGGAGCCUCUUCACACCCUACCAACCAUGAGGUACUGCCAACCUCUCUGUGAACUGGCGGGGGAGGGGGGGGGCCUGGAAAGAUAGUGGGCAGGUCCCGUCUGAUCAUAAUUACCCCUUAAGACAGCCACUCCUUCCCUGGAGGUGGCCUCAUUCUGGCUACCCAACCCUGCCAGUUCUCUGGUUAUACCUGCAGCCCCCAGCACCAUGGGUCCCGAUUUCCUCAGUGAUUUGCAAGGCUAGGCCUGCACCUGGCUGGCUGCAAAGGCAGGAGGCCCAGGGCCUCACUACGACAAAGACACACAUGGCUCAGGACAACCUCCUGACCCCCAGAGAGUCCAAAGAACAAAACACCCUUUAGAAAAACGUCGGUAGAGAGAAGGAGAGUUCCCACAAGUGACCCUCAGAAGGGCCGCGAGUGUCACUCACAGAUCUUGACACAAAGACAUUUAUCAAGGGGAAUCCCCAAUGGGUUAGCAGCCAGAAUGGGACUGUGGCCAGAAUGGACUUGGGCGCCCCACUGACCCCACUGCAUGGCUGUCACCGCUGGGCACCCCAGCGGGGAGUCACAUGUCGCAGGGGAAUCACACCAUGGCCGGGCACCGGGGAUUGGCCUGGCCAUGCCGUGACGGCGGGGGAGGACGGGCAUGCAUCCCAGGCCAGCUGUGCCUCAGGGGAAGGCCAACUGGAAGGCGUGGAAAAUCAGCCAUUUCCUCCACCUGAAGGAGCCCCUGAGGACAGCAGCAGCAACUGGCAGACUGCACCCGGCAUCUGCCCCAUGGCUUUGGCCAGGGUUCCACGGGGAAAUGCUAAAAAACAAAGUCGUCUCUUUUUUGGGGGGCAGGGGAGGGGGCUGGGGGAGAGAAAAACAAUCUCAGACUCUCAAAGCAUGAAAACAAGUGGAAAAUGAUCAGUCUGGUUUUCCAUAAGUCAAAACAAGAGGAUCAUGUUCCCAGGCUCAGUGGGAAGUGCCCUUGCUCUCCUCUCUUGCCUGGUGCCUCCGUGCUGGGGCUAGGCAGACGGCAAGUGGUGGGCACUGGGCGAGUAGAUAGCACUCUGGCCAGAGAGCAAGCCUUCCCCAGCACCAAGGCUGACUCCUUGAGCCCCAGUCCCCUCCAGCCCAGCCCUUCACGCACAUGUAGGCACUCACUGUGAGAUGUGGGUGAUGGGUGUCAGCAGAGUCUCCCCUUCCAGGUCCAGGUCCUCAGCGAAGCUGUUGGUUCUCAUGAAGUGGGGCAUGCUCACUUCCAGCAGUGUUGGGCUCUUCCUCACUGAGGAGAAAAGUGUGGGGACAGCACGUUAGGCCUCCCACCCAACCUGCCAGUGCUGUGGAGCCAGGCCUGUGAGCUCCCAGGGCCAGGUGAGGAGUGGAGCUUGUGCCUGGAAGCUCCAGCCCUGACAAUCAGUUUUAUAGUGGGGUGUUGGGGUGGGUGGGUGUUUAAGAUGGCCCCAAAGUGCCUGACACCUCAGUGUCUGAGGAGAGUAAAGGCCAGUGAAUCCUCUUCAGAGUGGUAACUGCCUGGGGAUGUGCUCAGGUGUCCAAGACUCUCCCCACCUUAGGUUCUGGGCCUCUUCCCAUGUUCACAACUGAUACUUGGGUCAAGAAUAAAACAGAAGUGACACGCACAGGCCUGGUAAGGGACAACAGCUCCCACCACCAUACAUUGUCACACUCAUACAUUGACACAGCAGUGGGUCAGGAAAGAUGGGGUGAUAGGACCUCUGGCCCACGAGGAAUGGCAGGCCUGGGAGGUGGGGGCAGCCACAGAACUCCUUUCUCAAAACACGAUGCCACAUCAACCAGUUGUACCUCCAGUGAGGCACAGGAGUCCCUCCAACAGCUGGCUUCACAUUCUGAUUCCUGGGCCCACCUCUGCAACUUUGACACAGGAGCUCAGGAUACUGAUCCUUAUCACUUCCCACUCUCUGUUGACACUAUCAGUAUUUGCUCUUGGCUUAUAUUUGUCUUCAUUUAAAUAUUUUAUUGCAAAAGGAUUAAGUACUCAUCUGUGAGAAAUGGAAUAAUUCGAAGAUUCACAAUGGCGUUCCUCCCCCAAGGUCAUCAGUGUUAACUGCCAACUAGAUCCCUAGCCCACCCUCUCUGCUCAUCCGAGCAGCAGAUGCCAGGUGGGAGUUGCUUUUAUACACAUGGGAUGUCACUGUGACUCUGUUCCUGUCACUCUGUAACAUAAGCUCAUUUCAUUUUUCUCUAGGUAUAUAGGCAUGGAUUUAAUUAUUAUUUUAGUCAUUACAUAAUAGUCCACAGUUUAGAUUGGCCACAGCUAACCAUUCUGUAUAUCAUGGACAUUCAGGCUCUUAUAGUUUUAAGCUGCUUAAUUAUUCAGACUAUGAUGCCAUAUCCAUCUUUAUUCUUAAAAGCUGACAUACUGGAGCAGGGUGAGAAGGUGUGUCCUUAGUAAUUUUAAUAAAUGUUGCUAGAUUGCUUUCCCAAGAAGUUGUAGCAAUUCAGGCUCCCCUGGCUUUCCCACAUCCAUGCCUGAAUGAAGUGUUGAAUGAAGCCUGAAUGAAGGUUGUCAGCACCUUUUGCAGGGACUACCAAGCAUGGAUGAAAACUGAGGCAUUGCUGUUAUUUCCAUCUGUGUUGAAUACCUUUUAUGGGCUUGGCAUCUAUUUGGGUUUCCUCUUGCAGAAUUGCCUGUUCAUAUGCUUUGCUCACUUUUGCUUAUCACUUUGUAGGAAUUUUCUAUACAUUACAGACAUUAACUCCUUGUUAUAUGAGGCAUAGAUAUCUUCCCCAGUCUGUUUUUUCACCUGAAUUAUGUUGCUUUUAUCCUAGAAAAUGUUUUAUGUUUUUAAAGUGAUACAUCUUUUGCUUUAUAAAAAAGGAAGGUUUUCCCACAUCAGCGUAAUACAACUCUCUCUUAAAUUUAUUCCUAAUUUCACUAUUUGAAUGUGUUCUAUGUAUACAUAUGUAUGUGUGUAAAAAUUUUAAUGCAUUUAGUAUUUAUGCCUGAUAGGACAGAUGAUCAACAAUUAGAAAAUGAAAAUUUAAAGGGUACUACUUACAAACUUACUGAAAAAAAAUCUAAAAUAAAACAUAAAACCAUAAAAUGUCUUGAAGAAAACAUAAGAGAAAAUCUCCAGGACCUUGGAUUUGGCAGUGAAUUCUGAAAUACGAAACCAAAAGUUUAACUCGUAGGAGAAAAAGAAUCAACAAAUUGGACUUUAUCAAAAUUAAAAGAUUUGCUGUGCAACAGACACUGCUAAUGGAAUGAAAAGACAAAGCACAGACUUGGAAAGAAUAUUUGCAUAUCACCUAUCAGGUCAAGGACUUGCACUCAGAAUAUAUAAAGAAUGCUUACAACUUGACAAUAAAGUGAACAAUCCAAUUUUAAAAAUGGAUUAUAAAUAAGCACAUGAAAAGAUACACAAUUAACAUAAAUAUGGAAAUGCAAAUUAGAAUCACAAUGAAAUUCCAUAAAUUAAAAAAAAAAUUCAAAACCUGACAAUACCAACCACUCUUGAGGAUGUGGAACAUGUAGAACUCUCAUAUGUUACUGGUGGGAAUGCAAAAUGGCACAGUGACUUUAGGAAAUAGUUUAGCAAUUUCUUAUUAAGUUAAACAUACACAUACCACAUGACCUAUUGGUUCCUUUCCCACCCAAGUGAAUUGAAAUUUUAUGUUCACAAAAACCUGUACAUAAAUGUGUAUAGUAACUCUGCUCAUAAUUACCAAAUACUGGAAACAAUGAAGAUGUCCUUCAACAGGUGAAUGCAUAAACAAAAUAUAUAUAUUCAUGCAAUGGAAUACCACCCAGCAAUAAAAAGAAAUUAACUAAUGAUUUAUGCAACAACAUGGAUGAAUCUCAAAUGCAUUUUGCUAAGCAGUGAAAGAAGCCAGAUGCAAAAGAAUACAUAUUAUAGGAUCCCAUUUAUAGGACAUUCUAGAAAAAACAAAACUACAGGGACAUAAAACAGAUCAAUAGCUGCCAGUGGUUAGGGGAGAAGUACUUGACUUCAAAAGACUCACCCCAGGGUAUUUUUAGGGGUAUGGAACUUCUCUGAAUGAUACUGGAUUGUGGAUACAUGACUCCAGGCAUCUGUCAAAUCCCACAGAACUGAAUCUCAAAGAGUGGAUUUUACUGUAUGCAAAUUUAAAAAAUUAACCCGGAUGUUGGAGGACCCUACGAUGAAAAGCAGACUGUGAUGAGCGAAUUCUAUGUGUGUUACAAACAAAUGACAUAGCAAUGAAAGGAAAGAAGGAGGAGCUGGCAUAUGUUGCUUUCAAAAACACUGUUUUGACUGGACACUCUAUGGUUAAAGCAAAAGUCUGUCAUAAACACUCUAAUCUAGUAGGUAAAUUUGCUUCACAUACGGUACUACGUGUACAAUAGGGUUACACAAAUAAGUAAAUGAACUGUAGGUAAUGGGAGCCAGGUUUCUCGCUGUCAGAGAAAAAGCUAUAAAUAAGUUGUGGGGGAGGGGGCAAGGAUGAACUCUGGUCAGAAAUGUCAGUAUGAACUCAUGGUUAGCUUUAUAUAGAUACAGAUAUGUAAAGAUGUAUGUGUACUCAGGUUACAUACAUACAUAUAUUUCCUAGCUCUGUCCACUGAGAGGAGACAGAAGCAGUGAUACCCCAGUAGCCACGAGCAUACCCCGUGCCUAGAUCCAGGUUUUCUAUUCAUUCUCCAAUAAAAGGAGCCAGGGCUCUCUGGAUGAAUGGAUGAUUCUAGGGCUAGGGUAGGGAAAAUAAAAGAUGAGCCUGAAGUAUUGUCAAGUGCUAGAAAAGAAAUGCUUAAAAAUAAAUGAAAAGGAUGGGGGGCACAUCAAAAGGACACAUGAACCCACCAAUGGCCACAGCUAGAACAAUUUGAGCAAUAAAAUAAAUAACAUCGGACUAUAACUCAAAAAAUAAAUACUCCCAAAUCCACACUGAUAAAAUUAAAUAAACAAUUGGAGGAGAGGGACAAAUCUUCCUUACAAAGGAAUUCCAAAUAAAAAAUGUAGAAGGAAUGAGGAAAAUAGAAGUACAUCACGGUAAUAUUUGCUUCAGGAAAAUGAUCCAUGAAUGAAUGCUGAAAUUAGUGAAACUCAGAAACUUCAGUUUCUUCCUUGAAAUAUAUUUUAAUUGCAGUGGUAGUUUUAACAUAUUUUCAGAUUUUUUUUUGAUAUUCUCCUGCAGGAGGUAGAGUUGAACUCCUCCCUUCCCCACCUUGAGUGUGGGCUAUACUUAGUGACUCGCUUAAGGGAAAAACAGCAAUUCACUUACAGUGGAGGAGCCUGGCCGACACCACUUUAAAUGAGUGGCUCAAGGUUAAUAUUACCAGUGAUAAACCAUGUUGAUGUCAUGUUCCACAACGAGGAAAGCAUCUCACCUCAUUGGCAUUCUUCCCCUAAACCUAUAACCCUGGUCUAGUCCUGAGAAAACACCAGACAAACCCAAACUGAGGGACAAUGACACCUGACUGGUAUUCUUCAAAAGUGUCAAGUUAAUGAAGAACAAGACUGAGAAGCCCGUCACCGAUCAGAGAUGACUAAAGAGACAUGCUCAAUAAAUGUAAUGAUAGAUCCUAGAUGGGAUCUUGGAACAGAAAAAGGAUAUUAGUAGUUAAACUGGGGAAAUCCAAAUAAAUUUACAGCUCUAGCUUAAUAGCGUACCAAUGUUAAUUUUUUAGUUUUGAUCAAUGUACCAUGGUUAUGUGAGAUGCUAACAUUAGGGGAAGCUGGUGAAAGGGAUGUGGGUACUCGGUACUAUUUUUGUUUCUCUUCUGUAAAUAAAAGAUGUGAGAUAACAAGCAAAAACAGAACCUGUAUACAAUAGCACAAAAGAAUAUUAAUUAUCUAACUAAGGAUAUGCAAGAACUCUGGAGAAAAUUGUAAAACUUUAAUAAGGGACAAUGAAGAAGAUAUAAAUGAAGAAAUAUGCCUUCAUUCCAAUGACUAGAAGACUCAAUACUGAAAAGAUUAUCUCUAAAUCUGAAUAGAUCUCUCCAAAUCUUAAUAAAAAUCUCAAGGCUUCUGUGUGAGAACUUUGGCAAGCUGAUUCUCACAGCGACUUGGAAGUGCAAAAAGCCAAGAAUUGGCAAUAUUCUUGAAGAAGAACAAGGUGGGAGAACUUGCUGUACCAAACAUCAGUACAUCUUCCAAGGCAGUGGUCAUUAGGGCAAUGUGGUAUUGACACAGGGAGAGACAAAUAGGCCAAUGGGACAGGAUUGAGCAUUGGGAAAUAGCCCACACAAAUAUGGAAGCUUGCUGUGUAUCAGAGGUGGCCUGCACAUCCUGGGAAGAGCAUGGACUUUUCAAUCAAAUGUUCAGGAGCAGUUGGAUACCCACACUGGAAAAACAUUAAGUUGGACCCUUAAUUACCUCACAUCAUAUACCAAAAAUUCAUUCUUGUCAUUCUAGGGGAUUGAAGACCUAAUUAUGAAAAGCAUAACUAUAAAGGUCACAUGACUGAAUAUAGAAGAAUAUCUUAAUGACAUCAGCAUUAGGAUGGUUUUCUUUUUUUAAAAGAAGCAAUAACCAUAAGAGAGAAGACUGAGUAAUCUGACAUUAGAGUUAAGACCCAAUCAUCAAAAUACACCUUAAAGAGUGAAAAGAUAGUGCCCACAAAAUGCAAAGGACUCCUACAAAUCAAUAGGAAAAAUAUAAAUGACUUAAUAGAAAAUGGGCAAUAGACAAAGUAGCACAUCACAAAAGAGGAAUCCAAAAGGCUGAUGAGCAUGUGGAAAGGUGUUGCGCCUGACUAGCAAUCAGGGAAAUGUAAAUAAACUCAGGAGCUCAUGGCCCGUGGGGGUGAGUGGCAGACUUCCAGCAGGAAACCACACAGACAUUACUUAGUCACAGCCAGGAGAAGGGCUCAGAGUGAAAGGGCUCUGUGCCCAUGACAUCCUUAGAGAGACCAGGGAAGGACCUGUAAGGCUUGAAGAAUGUGUGCAGAUUUGGAGACCCACAGGUCUGGGACCUGGCAGAAGCAUGUUACUGCCCCCAUUUUAGAGAUUUGGGGCUGAGAUUCAAGUACCCUAGGUUAUAUAAUGCAGUUGUCAAGUGACAGAGCUAAAAUUUCAUCCAGGAUUCAAUUUUUUUUAAAGGAAGGAAGAAAGAAAAAACAUAUUUUGAUGUUUGCAUCACUUGUAUGUAGAAGGAAUGAUGGAGCACAGGCUAGAACGUAGAGUUGCUUUCCAAACACCCGUGAUGACAAGUGCCCAUCUCCAAAGCCUGAGGGCCAAGGGUGAGCCACCUGACCGCUGAGGAAGGUUCUGCCCUGGUGUUUUAGGAAAUUAAAAUGUGCACAUCAGUUGGCUGCCCAGAGUGGGUGGGACCUGCACCUGCCAGAGAGGAAUGUGUGCUUUUUGGUUUAAUCCUGGGAACGGCAUAUGGGGCCCCUAUAACAAGGGGCAGAGAAGGGCUCCACAGGUUUGUUUUUCCAAUUCAAGAGGAGAGGUUAUUGUCUGCUGGCUUGUGUGUCGGAGACUGUGGGGCGUGCUUUCUCCACCACAGGGAGGCAGUGACCAGAGCUGCCACCUCUUCCCUGUUUUCACCUGUGGCCGUAGCCAGGUCAGGCAUCUAGGAGAGCAUGGAGGGGAGCUCGGGGUGGGUGGGUGGGGAUUCAGCUCUUUCCGGACACACUGGUGCUGCCUCUUUCAGGCCAGGGCUUGAGGGCAAGUGCUGUGCCCUAACAGGUCUUGUCACCCCCACCUCUGAAGUGGGUAUUUCACAGCCUGAACUCACAGCUGCAGAGAAGGUUGAGCCCAUGGUGUACUUGAAAGGGCAGUUCAUCUGGAUAUCCAGGCUCUGCAGGAGGUACCGGAGCAAUGCCAGGUGCCCUUUGCUGAACUGCCUGGAGUGGCUGGCCCUGGGGACAAAGAGCACAGCAUCCUGGUGACAAUGAAGUCACACUUUCCUAAGACAGUCCUGGUUUUUGAUGCUUUAAUUCUUUGGCUGCCUUUGCUUUGUCAAGGCCAGGAUCUGGGCCUAAAUUUUCAGGGCAGAACAAAACAAUUUUGUUUUCUAGGAAAAUGGGAGGUCUGGGAUGGCAAAGGCAGCCUCGGGCGUGGCGACUACCCCAGCUGGGGACGCCGGCUGCCAAGUCUCACCCUCUCAAGAGAACAGGAAUCAAACUCAGCACAGCAUCCUCCUUUCUAGUCAGUGGUCCUGCUCGAUAGGGGGAUUUGAAUUUUAUUUUUUUAAAAAUACAGACACAGAAAAAAGACUAGAAGGAAACAGAUCCAAAUGUUAACUUUGUCUUUGGGUGAAGGGACUUUGGGUGAUUUUCAUUUCCUUCCUUAUUGUGUCUGUGUUUUCUAUUUUGGAUGAUACUUUUCCAAGUCAAGAAACAAUAAUUUGUGGAAGUCUCCUGUAUCUGUGCCUUGCUCUCUGGCCCACGACCCUGCACAUCUUAUCCUAGAGUUGCCAGAAUAUGUCCCUCCACCUGGCCUGGAGCUGCCCAUGAGGCUACAUAGAGCUCUCCUAUCAUGAAGGUCUUUGAGGCUUUCUGUUCCCAAGAAAUUCUGGUCUCACUUCCUCUGCCUUCUCAUCAAGUCCCAGACCCCUCCCUGCCCAGAUUAGGUCAGCAUUCGAGCCCCAAGUCCAGCCUAUGACAAAGCUUAAAGCUCCAGCCCAUCUCUGCUGCCCUCUGCCCUCAAGAGACUCUCGCCAGUGUCUGGGCCCUUCCUAGUAACUUCACCCAACCACUCACCCCCUGCCCUUCCCCUCCUGAUUGAUUAAAAUCCGGCCUAAUCUCUCAGGUGUAACCCAAGCCCUCUUCCACAAGCUUUCCAGGGCUCCGGAGAUUGCCCCCUCCCCUGUACUGCUGCAGGGCUUAUGUGUGCCUGGCGCUCAGCACGGGAACCUUGCCUUCUGCCUCACCCAUGUCUCUCCAGGGUUUGGCACAGGCGAGUUCCCUGUGCCAGCCUACUUCACAGGGAUGAACAGAAGCUCUCCCUAUCCUUUGCAAGUAGAAGCCCCCUCCCUGGCCCCCUCAAGAAAUCUCCCCCUCUCAGUGGAUUCACCAAAGCCCUGCGGAUCCUGCACUGUGAAGGAGAAGCCCUCCCCAGGGACAUCCGGACAGCUGCAGCCAGGCCCUGCGUGACAUUGCUGAGCCGCAGCCCCACAGCCUGUGCCAGCUGCCCAUGCCCGGCUCAUAGACCCCGAGCCAGAGUGGCCCCGCCACCACCUGUGUCUCCACUCAGAGGCGAGAAGUAAGGGACAUGGAUGGAAAGUGUAAAAGCCAUUCCCACAACAGCUGCCAGGAACAAGGCGAGGAAUGGAGUGAAAAUGUAUAUUCACAGCUGGCACCCAGUUCCGCUUAGGAAAAUACCUUGCUUGAGUGGACACCUGUUGUUUUUGCCUGCCCAGCAGCCAGGCCCGGCUUCUGGGAACAGCUUCUCAAAUCUUCCUUAGGGGGCUCUUCCUUUCCCACUCCUAGUGUGCAGUGUUUAGGUACCCUCUGGCCAUCCCCAAAGGGGUCCUUGUGGACCUUGCCUCAGCCAUCGGAGGUACAGCUGCAGGUCCAAGGAUGGCUUGUACCCCAGCUGAGGCCAAUAAGAACCUGGCCUUAGAUUCUGGCAGGAAUCCUGGAAGAGAUGACCUCGUUCUGCUGGGCUUCCUGAGCUGUUGAAUGCAAGCUGGUGGCCAUUUUGCCCCUUUUAGAAAGUAGCUGCCUAAGGAUACAGCCAUCCCAUGGGGCCAGUGGAUAAAGAGCAAGGGAAAGGGAGAACAAAAGAGGGAAUGGGAAGAGAGAAGGGGAGUGCAAGAGGGGGAGAGUGAGAGCAAGUGAAAGAUCAUCUCAGCUCUGGGGUCCAGCUGUGUCUGAAACAGCUGGGUCCAGCUGUGUGAGCCAAAAAAUGUCCCUUUUGUGCUUAAGCUUGUUUGAGUUGGGGUUCCAUCAUUUGUUACCAAGAGAGUCUUCAGGAAUGUACAUGACAAACUUAGGGGUGAGGUGUGAGCCUAAGGACAUGGGCCUGGGGGCAGUCAAGGUUACAAAAUAGCUAAACUGGUCUGCACUGCCCCCACUAGUUUUCAGGGCAGAGGGCAGGGAGAAGGCUUGUGGGAAAGAAGCUGGCCUGAGGCCAAGGCCCUGGCCCUAGCCCUGCAACAGCACAGGCAACUCUUGGAAAGGGACUUCCUAAGGUGGGACAUUGGCUUUCUACUGCUGUGAUGCAAGUCCUCAUCUCCCCAAACCUUCAGUGAGCCUCUCUCCACACCCUGCUGUAUGAGGAUGUUUCAUGCAAAUUAUGGAACAUGUUGGAUCUCACAUUGGAUCAAAGGUGUGCAGAAUAGAUUUGCCUCAAGCAUGACAGUGAUGUGACACAGUCAAAGAUGACUUCCGGAAUCCUGAGAAAUCCCAGGGAGGAUUCUGGGCUUUCCAAAACCUAAGUUUAGGAUACUGAGGACCACACCCCACACCCCAAACACUUCUCCUUAGAAUGAGUAUAGCAAGCCUCAGCAUACACAAAUCUCAGAGUGAACGGAAAUGGCUCUGCAGGCCCAAGGGUGGGGUCUGAGUAGCGGGGGCGCUGAGGAAGACAGGCAGUGACAGAGCCAGGACAGGGUCAACCCUGAGCGUGAGUGAGCCCAGGAAACGGAAAGAGAGCAACACAGCCACCCACACAACUAAAAUCGACCCACCCGAGUCUCCAUGCUGCAGGAAGUCACUGUCUAGGUCUCCCAAGACACAUUUUCAGGGGAAGGUUCCAGGCAGCAAGAGCAGCCCUAGGAAACUUUAAUAUACAAUGGAAUCUGGGUUAAGCACUAUCUUCUCCAAGAGUUGAGCUCACAGGACAUUCCCCAGAAACCUCUGGAGAGGUGGGGAGGAAAGUUUCUGGAGGUCUUUGGAUGAAGAAAACAAAAAAGUGGCCUUGAUUUUCAAGGCAAAAUUACACAGGAAGAAAAAAAUGUUUUUAAUCUAAUUAAGAGCGAUCUUUUCACCUUCAUCACAACAUCGCGGAAAUGUGCCAGUUCUUAACUUCACACAAUAAUCAAAGCAAUUAGUGAGGGAGAAGCCUUGGAAACCGGUGCAGAUGUUCUCAGAAUGUUUAAUGGGGAAAUGAGUUGCAGGCCUCAUUCUCAGCAUCCGGCUCCAGGCCCUGGCUACCAAAUCCAGACAUCUGCUGGGGCCCCACCCCCAGGCCCCGAGGGCGCGGGCUUGAGAAACACAGGUCCCUUCCCAGGCCACCUCCCAGCCAGGCCAGAACUGGGGCCGAGAGGCUCCCCAUAGCUUCUCAAAUUGGAGCCUGGACACAGUCAGAGCCACCCCAGAACUGGGGGGAGGCUCAACAUCAAAAUUAUGUUAACAACUGAUGUCAAAAGUAAUCAACUCAGCUUGGCUCCCCCACUGCUGCUGGCUGCAGGAGGGCUGUGAGUAGGAGGAGAGCAAGCAGCCCCAGGGGGACCCUCGGCUAUGACCCCCUCAGCCUGAACACUACUUCAAGAAAAGAUGUGGUGGCAUCUGUCUGGUAUGGUCCUGUGGGCUCCAUUCCAAUGCUAAUGGACUCUUAAGGGGCCCAGGAAUCAAAAUGAUCAACACUUGAGGAAUUUCCAGUAAUCAGAGAAAACGUAUAGAAAUGAGGAUGAUGCUUACUUAGGAAAUGGCCUAUUACAGGGAACAGAGGGCCACGUGGCUAAUGUCAGCGAGCUGUGGGAGAGACAGAGACCCCAGGUGGGGCAGGCAGAUCAGCAAAUCUUGGAGGACCUGCUAUAUGGCAGGCACUGGAGACAUGGAGGUAAAGAACACAAUAUCCAUGUUCUCAGGGACACACUCAUAUGCCCUUAGCAUUCAUGUUCUUCACACUGACAGCUUCUUAAUGCAGGCCCACCAGAUACUUUCAUAAGCACUACCUCUGACUUCAGGCACUUGCUUAGCUGCACACAGGGCAGGCCAAAAGGAAUGGAAAGUGAGCCACCACCAGGGCAGCACUCACUAGUGACAGAUAAAUACCCCAGCUCUCUCAGCCGCUUGUAGAACUCUGAGGAGUGUUCUGUGCAGCUUCCCAGCUGCCCACCAUGAAGCUCUUUCUCAAUAAGUGACCAACACAGCUUAAUUCCUGAAUUAAGCUGUGUGUGCUGUGAGACUGGCACAAGACAGGGUGACAGGAAGCUGUCAGAACAUUCGAGUAGGGAAGCAGCAAGAUCCACUGUACAUUUAAAGAACUCCCUUGAGCGGUUAUGUGAAGAAUGGAGUAGAGGAAGCAAGAGUGGAAAGCAAGAGACCAGUAAUGAGGUAAGGACAACAAUGUAGGCAGAGAAAUGGUGGUGGUUUUAACCAGGGAGAUAGCUGGAGAGACUAGGUGUGGGCAAAUCCAGAGAGUUGAUAAGACAUACUGAUAGAUUAGAAAGGUGUACUAAGAAAAAAGGAUAAUUUAAAAAAGACUUUCAGCCAGGCUUGGAGAAAAAUAGCAUGCUGCUCCUCAUCCCCUCUGACUAUAAAUCAUCUCACUUAUCCUCCCCUAAAAGCAUAAAAUCAGUAAGUGCAAGUAAAACCACAUGACCCAUGCUGUUAGCAGUAUUAGGAGAAAGAAUACCUUCAAAUUGCCAGUGGGUAGCAAAGUGAACCAAAUUCCAAUAGCAUUCUAGUCCCCUGCCCAGCACUGCAAAACUGCAUACAGAAUCAGAGAAGAGGCUUAAAAUGCUUUGUCAAAAAGUUUGAAGGUAGUUAGCAACAUCAGCAAAAAUAGAGGAGUAAGUACCCCUAAGGAGCCUUCUUGCCUUCACAGACAUCCUAAGCGCCAAGCAGCCUAAGCCACUGAUGAACCUGCAGAUACCACUGAUGUGGAUUAUAGUCUAAUUAAUUGUAGAGACACCACCCUUCUCCACCGAACCAGAACCAAAGCCAAAGCACCCUACCCAAAUGAUACUACAGAUGCGUGUACAGGAAAAGUCCUUACUAAGGCUACUCCAUAAAAUUGGAAGUCUCUGUUAUUCCAGAUAUGCAGAUAUCAACUUGGGGACACAAAAAACUGGGGGGAUAAAAAACAAGAAAACAUGACUUGCCAAAAGAACACAAUAAUUCUCCAACAAUAGACUCCAAAGUAAAGGAAAUCUUAAGGAAACCCAAUGAGAUAAAAGAGAACACAAACAGACAAUACAAAGAUAUCAGGAAAACAAUUCAUUAUCUAAAUGGGAAAUCCAGCAGAGUUAGAUAUGAAAAAGAACCAAACAAAAAUCCUGGAGGUGACAAAUUAAAUGAAUGAAAUAAAAAAUACAAUUGAAAGCUUCAAAAGCAGGUUAAGUCAAGCAGAAGAAAUAAUUUCUAAAUUUGAAGACAGGUGUUUUGCAAUAAACCAGACAGAUUUUAAAAAUAACAAUAAAAAAGAAUGAAGAACGCCUGUGUGACAUAUGACACUAUUAAGCUAACAAUAUUUCACAUUUUGGGAGUUCCAGAAGAAGUGUUGGGAUAAGGACCAGAAAAUCUAUUUAAGAAGAUAAUAUCUGAAAACUGCCAAAGUUUGGGAGAGAAAGAGACUAACAGAUAAAGGAAGCUAACAAAUCCCUAAAUAGAUUCAACCCUAAAAGGGCCUCUCUGAGGCACAUUUUCAUCAAACUGUCAAAAAUCAAAGACAGAAUUUAAAAAACACCAAGAGAGAAGCAUGAAGUCACAUAUAAGGAAAUCAACAGCAGAAUAACAGAUUUUUCAGCAGAAACCUUCUAGGCCAGGAAGGAAUUGAAUGCCAUAUUCAAAGUGCUGCAAGGUGGGGGAAAGCUCACAAAAUUGCUAGACACAAAUACUAUACCCAGCAAAGCUAUUCUUCAGAAAUGAAGCAGAAUGAGGGAAGAAAUUUUGCUUUCCUCAGACAAGCAAAAACUGAGGGAAUUCAUUACUACUAAAUCAGCCCCACAAGAAAUGCUUAAGGGAGUACUACAUCUGGAAGUAGGAGGAUGAUAUCAACCAUCAUGAAAAUACAAAAGCAUAAAACUCACUAGUAGAGCAGAUACACAAAUGAGAAACGAAAAGGAAUAAAAGAUUAUCACCACAGAAAACCAAAAAAUUGCAAAGAAAAACAAUGAGAGGAAACAAAAGUAUACAAAUCAGUCAGAAAACAAUAAAAUGACAGGAGUAAGUCCUCACCUAUUGAUAACAAUCUUGAAUGUAGGUAAUUUAAAUUUCCCAAAUGAAAGACAGAUACUGGCUAAAUGAAUUAAAAAAAUAAAACCCAAUUACAUGCUGCCUAUAAGAAACUGACUUCACCUGUAAAGACACCCAUAGACUGUAAGGGAAUGGAUAGAAAAAGAUAUUCCACACAAACAGACACCAAAAGCAUGCAGGAGUAGACAGACAAAAAAUACUGAGUCAAAAAAAAAAAAAAAAAAAAAAAGAAGGAGACAAAGGAGGUCAUUAUAUAAUUAUAAAUGGAUCAAUUCAGCAAGAAGAUAUAACAAUUAUAUAUGCAACCAACAACACUGGAGUACCCAGGUAUAUUAAACAAAUAUUACUAGUGCUAAAGAGAUAAACCCUAAUACAAUAAUAGUUAGGGAUGGCAACAUUCCAUACUCAGCAUUGGACAAUUCAUUUGGAUGGAAAAAUAUCAACAAGGAAAUAUUGGAUUUGAACUGCAUAGAUCAAAUGGACCUAACAAAUUUACACAUUUCAUCCACAGAUGCAGAAUACACAUUCUUCAUUAGCACACAGCACAUUCUCCAGGAUAUACCAUAUGUUAGGACACAAAACAGGUCUCAAUAAAUUUUUAAAAAUCAAAAUCUUAUCAAGUAUCUUCUCAGACCACAAUGGAAUAAAACUGGAAAUCAAUAACAAGAGGAACUUCUGAAAUUGAACAGAUACAUGGAAAUCAAACUACAUGUUCCUGAAUGACCACUGCGUCAAUGAAGAAAUUGAUUUAAAAAAUUUUAAAAUUCUUUGAAACAAAUGAAAAUAGAAACACAGCAUACAAAAAUGUAUAGGGUACAAAAGAAGUGCUAUGAGGGACAUUUAUUUCAAUAAACACCCACAUCAAUAAGGUAGAAAGUUUUUAAACAAAUAACCUAAUAAACGCAUCUCAAGGAACUAGAAAAGCAAGAAUAAAUCAAACCUAAAAUUAGAAGGAAAUAAAUAGUAAAGAUCAGAGCAGAUCUAAAUGAAAUAGAGAUAAAAGAUAAAAAAGACAAAAGAUCAAUGAAAUGAGGCCUCCCCCCCCACCCCCUGAGACACGGUCUCACUCUGUCACCCAGGCUAGAGUGCAGUGGUGUGAUCUUGGCUCACUGUAACCUCCGCUUCCUGGGCUCAGGCAAUCCUCCUGCCUCAGCUUCUGAGUAGAUGUGCAGCACCACACCUGGCUAAUUUUUUUUUUUUUGGUAGAGAUGGGGGUUUGCCAUGUUGCUCAGGCUGGUCUCAAACUCCUGGACUGAAGCGAUCGGCCUGCCUUGGCCUUCCAAAGUGCUGGGUUUACAGGUGCGAGCCAACAAACCCAGCCAAAAAGUUGAUUUUUUGAAAAGAGAAAAUAAAUAAACCAUUAGCUAGACUAACCAAGAAGACCCAAUAAAUAAAAUCAGAAAUGAAAAAGGAGACUUAACAACGGACACCACAGAAAUACAAAAGAUUAUUAGAGACUAUUAUGAACAACUAUAUGUCAACAAUUAGAAAACCUAGAGGAAACAGAUAAAUUCCUGGACAUAUAUAACCUCCCAAGAUUGAACCAGGAAGAAAAAAAAUCUGAACAGAGCAAUAACAAGGAAUGAGAUUGUAUCAGUAAUAAAGUCUCCCAGUAAAGAAAACCUCAGGAUUGCAUGGGUUUUCUACUGAAUUCUACCAAACUUUUAAAGAACUAACAUGAAUUCUUCUCAGACGAUUCCAAAAGACUGAAGAGAAAGGAAUUCUCCCUAACUCAUUCUGUGAGGCAAGCAGUAUCCUGAUACCAAAACCAGAUAAGGACACAACAACAGCAAAAAAGAAAACUACAGGCCAAUCUCCCUGAUGAACAUAGAUGCAGAAUCCUCAGAAACAAAACACACACACAGACACACAAACUAGCAAUCUGAAUCCAAUCGCACAUCAAAAAGAUAAUACACCAUAAUCAAGUGGGAUUUAUCCCAAGGAUUCAAGGAUGGUUCAACAUAUACAAAUCAAUAAAUGUGAUACAUCACAUUAACAGAAGGAAGGACAAAAAAAUACAUGAUCAUCUCAAUAGAUGCAGAAAAAGCAUCUGAUAAAAUUCAAAAUCUCUUCAUGAUAAAAAAAAAAGCUCAACACAUAAUGUCUAGAAGGAACAUAACUCAAUGAAGGUCAUAUAUGACAAACCCACAGCUACCUGGGGAAAAGCUAAACACCUUCUCUCUUAGAACUAGAACAAGACAAGGAUGCCCACUUUCACCAUUCUUAUUCAGCAGAGUAAGAAAAGUCCUCACCAGAACAAUUAGGCAAGUAAAAGAAAAAGGGUAUCCAAAUUGGAAAAGAGAAUGUCAUAUUGUCCUUUGCAGAUGGCAUAAUCUUAUACAUAGAAAAACCUAAAGAUUCCACCAAAAUCUUUUAGAACUGGUAAAGGAAUUCAGUAAAGUUGAAGGAUAAAAAAAUCAACAAACAAAAAUCAGUAGGUGUGGACAUGAUGGCUCAUGCUUGUAAUUUCAGCACUUUGAAAGGAUGAGGCAGCUGGAUUGCUUGAGCCCAGGAGUUUGAGACUGUCCUGGGCAACAUGGCAAAACCUCAUCUGUACAAAAAUGAGCUGGGCGUGGUGGCCUGCACCUGAAGUUCAGCUACUCAGGAGGCUGAGAUGGGAGGAUCACUUGAACCUCGGAGGUGAAGGUUGCAGUGAGCAGAAAUUGCACCAUUGCACCCCAGCCUGGGCAACAGAGUGAGACCCUGUCUGCACUCCCCCGCCUCCCCCAAAAAAUCAGUAGCAUUUCUGUGAAACAGCAAAUUAGCCAAAAGAGAAAUCAAGAAAGCAAUCCCAUUUGCAAUAGCUACAAAAAAAAAAAAGCAAAGCUUAAAAAAAGAGGUGAAAGAUUUCCACAAUGAAAACUAUAAAAUACUGAUGACAGUAAUUGAAGAGGCUACAAAAUUUUUUGAGACAUCCCAUGCUCAUGGAUUGAAAGAAUAAUGUUAAAAUGAUCAUAUUUACCUAUAGCAAUAUACAGAUGCUAUGAAAUCCCUAUCCAGAUAUCAGCAGGGGCUUCAAGAUGGCUGACUAGAGGCAUCUGGCACUCAUCUCCUCCACAAAGAAGAACAAAAAUAGCAAGUAGGUAACCACAGUUUAUAUUGAUCGCCUCUGAGAGAAUGCUGGAAUUCAACUGAGAAUAAGAAAAACCCAAUGCAAGGGAUAAGAGGGGAGUCAGGCAGUCUGCUUCUAUGGGACUGGCUGGGAUCAUGAAGAGACUCCUCAAUGUGCAGAAAGGUAAGUAAGUGAGCCCCCAGUGGUCCACAUUCCCACAGCAGACUCCUGAAAUCCUAGUCAGAGAACCCCCUGACCCAUAGAUGCCUUGAGACUAACAAGAGGCUACCUACAGACUGUGAAAUGGCAAUGAACAGCUCCCAGAGAGGGAGAUCACCCUGAAUCCUCAGGCAACUUCAGGAAAGUCCCAUUUUGAUAGCCCAACCCCCACCAGGCUGCAUCUGCCGUGGGCCGCACAUCCCUGUAUCUCAUCCCUGGAGCCCCAUGGACAUCCCUUACACAAAGCUGGUUGCCACUCCUGACUGCUGCCUCCAGGACAAAGCAUGAGCCAUUGGCAAUACUCUGCUACCUCUGAAGCAAGGCUGCCAUGAGGAAAGGUGACCCUGCCCAUAGUCACCACCUGGGGCCGAAGCAUGCAUUGCCCAACUGCCUGUUUAUAGCUGCUGCCACUGAAAGCAAUCCCACCCAACUUCCCCAGGAGUAGGGCUGCAAUAGACUUGCUGCUGCCCCCACAUGAGCAUUCAGCAGGGUAUACAGGGAUCUUCCUGUGCCUGCCUACCACAGUCAGUACAUUCUUGCAUUACUGGAGGGCCUCAGGACAGGCCCACCUGGCCUGGUCCCACCCUCUUUUCUCCCAGUGCCAGCGCAUACCAUCUCUGGGCCUAGGGAUCACCCUGCCCUAUCCAGUAUUGUUGGCACCUGAGCACUCCUGGGGGCUUAAGGACUGCCCUACCCAACUGACCAUUACCACCACAACUGGCAUUGACUUGAAUUUGCCACCUGUGGGCCUUGGGACAAGCUCAUCCAGCUUAUCCCAGCCAUCCCAAUACCAGCAUGGACACCUUGGGAGGCAGAAGAUUGUUCUGCCACUGCUACUGCCAUUGCCCAAACCAUACCUGCUGCUCAGAGCUCAAGGACCUACUCACCCUGUGGCCCAGCUCUGUCAUCAUUGGCACCUGAGCAAGUUGCCUGGAGGCCCAAAGUUGGUUUCCCUGGACCUGCUAACACUGGUACCAGCAUACACUACCAUUGGGCCCAAGGAUAAGCAUUCGGGGCCAGCCACUGCUGCCACUGGGGCCUGAGGACUGGCCCACCUGGUGUCCCUAUCCCCAGCCAGACUUUACCACAGCCUCCACCAACAACUGCAUCCUAAACUACAGAGGAACUCCCAGACACUACUGGUGCUGUUUACAGCUGAAAAAAAUUCCAUGGAGAUCACACUACUGCAGGAACCCAGAAUCAAAACCAAAGUGCCCUGCCCAAAGAACACCAUAGCUAUAUCUUCAGGAACAAGACUCUCUUAGGAAAGACAGAUCAAAAAAUUGGAAGAAGCUACUGUUACACCAGAUGUGCAGAUACCAAUGUAAGCACACAAGAAACAUGAAAAGGCAAGAAAACAUGACACCUCCUAAGGAAUGCAGUAAUUCUCCAACAGAUUCCAGUGAAAAAGAAAUUGAUGAAGCCUUGAAAAAUUCAGUAUAAUAUUAAAGAAGGUCUGAUAGACUAUACAAAGAAAUCAGAAAAAACAAUUCAGGGUAUGAAUGAGAAAUUUGUCCAAGAGAUAGAUAUAAAAAGAACCAAACAGAUAUUCUGGAAUUGAAUAAUAGAUUGAAUGAAAUAAAAAACACAUUUGAAAGCUUCAAUAACAGGCCACACCAAGCAGAAGAAAGAAUUUCACACUUUGAAGAUAAGUCUUUUGAAAUGACUCAGACAAAAAUAAAGAAAAAAUAGAAAAGAAUGAACAAAGGCUAUGUGACUAUAGGAUGCCAUAAGGUGACACCUUCAGUGUCCCAGAAGGUGAAGAGCAAACUAAAAGAUUAUAAAACCUAUUUAAUGAAAUAAUACCUGAACACUUCCCAAUCUCCCAAGAGAUUUAGAUCCAAAUAUAGGAAUCUCAGAACCCUAAAUAGAUACAAUUCAGAAAGGUCUUUUCCACAGCACAUUAUAGCAAAUUGCCCAUCCCAAGACAAAGAGAGAAUCAUAAAACCAGUGAUAAAAGAGGUUGUAGACACUUACAAAGGAACAACCUGCAGACUAACAGAUUUUUCAGCAGAAAGUUUACAGGCCAGGAGGAUGGAAUUAUAUAUGCAGAGUGCUGAAAGAAAAAAACAAAACCAAAAACCUGCCAGCCAGGAAUACCGUACUUAGCAAAGUUAUAUUCAUCAGAAAUGAAGGAGAAAUAAAGUAUUUCCCUUAAAAGUAAAAGCUGAGGGAAUUAAUUGCCACUACACUGGCACUACAAGAAAUGCUUAAGGGAGUCUUACAGGAAGAAGUGAAAGGACAACUUCAUGAAAGCACACAAAAUAAUCAGAAAUCAAUUAAUGACAGGAAUAAGCCCUCACAUAUCAACAAUAACCUUGCAUAUAAAUGGAUUAAACUUUCUACUUAAAAGACAGACUGGCUGAAUGGACUUAAAAACAUGACCCAGCUAAAUGCUGUCUACAAGAAACGCAUCUCACCUGUAAAGACACAUAUAGUUGAAAGUAAAGGAAUGGGAAAAGAUAUUACAUGCAAAAGGAAACAAAAACCAAACAGGAGUAGCUAUACUUACAUCAGAUAAAACAAAGGUUAAGCUAAAAACACUAAAAAGAGACGAAGUCAUUAUAUAGUGACAAAGGGAUCAAUUGACCAAGAGGAUAUAACAAUUCUAAACAUAUAUGCACCCAACACCAAAGCACCCAGAUAUAUAAGGCAAAUAUCAAAUCUGAAGGGAAAGGUAGACUUCAACACAAUAAUCUUGGGAACUUCAGUUCUCCACUUCCAGUAUUAGACAGAUCAUCUAGACAAAAAAUUAACAAAGAAACACUGGAUUUAAACUGCACUUUAUACCAUAUGGACCUAACAGACAUUUACAGACCAGUUCAUAAAACAGCUGCAGAAUAUACACUUUUCUCAUCAGCACAUGGAACACUCUUCAGGAUACAUUAUAUGUUAGGACACUAAGUAUGAUUUUAAAUAUAUAUAUAUAUAUUUUAAAUUGGAUUCAUAUCACAUAUCUUCUCAGACCACAAUAGCAUAAAACUAUAAAUAAAUAAGAGGAGCAUUCAAAACUGUAUAAAUAAAUGGAAAUUAACAUGUUCCUGAAUGACCAUUGGGUCAAAGAAGAAAUUAAGGCAGAAAUAAAAAAUUUACUGAAACAAGUGAAAAUAGAAGCACAACAUUCUGAAACUUAAGGGAUACUGCAAAAGCAAUGCUAAGAGGAACGUUUAUUGUAAUAAAUGCCUCCAUCAAAAAAGGUAGAAAAGAUCUUAAAUAAUCUAAUGAUGCACCUGAAGGAACCAGAAAAGCAAGAACAAACCGUACUAAACAUAAAAUUAGUAGAAGGAAAGAAAUAACAAAGAUCAGAGCAGAACUAAACAAGAAACUAAAUAAAUAUAAAGGAUCAAUGAAAUGCAAAAUCAGUUUUUGAAAAGAAACAAAAUAACCAGUGGCUAAACUAACCAAGAAGAAAAGAGAGAAGACCUACAUGAAUAAAAUCAAAAAUGAAAAAGGGGAUAUUACAACUCAUAACAUGAAAUACAAAAGAUCAAAACUCUUCAGUCUGAUCAAUAAAUUGAUUAUAGUUACAGGAUUUAAAAAUCAGGCUCAUUUCUAUAUACCAAUAAAGAACCAGCUGAGAAAGAAACCAAGAAGGCAUUAUCUUUUACAACCACUACAAAAAAUCUAGGAAUGAGUUUAACCAAAGAGGUGAGACACCUCUAACAAGGAAAACUACAAAAGUCUGAUGAAAGAAAUUGAAGAGAACACACAAAAAACGUCCCAUGCUCAUGGAUUGGGAGAAUUAACAAAAUUAAAAUGACCAUACUACCCAAAGCAAUCUACAGAUUCAAUGCAGUCUCUCUCAAAAUACCAAUGCCAUUUUUCAUGGAAAUAGAAAAAAUCCUAAAAUUCAGAUGGAACCAAAAAAGAGCUGGAAUAGCCACAGCAAUUCUGAGCAAAAAUAACAAAGUUGGAUGCAUCACACUGCCUGAUUUAAAAAUAUAAGGCUAUAGCAUCAAAAGCAGCACGGUAUUGGAAUAAAAACUGAUAGACCAAUGGAACAGAGUAGAACCUGGAAAUAAAUCCAUGUAUUUACAGCCAACUGAUUUUUGACAAAGAUGCCAAGAACACACACUGGGGAAAGAGCACCCUCUUCACUUAAUGGAGCUGGGAAAAUUAGAUAUCCAUUUGAAAAAUGAAACUGUUUCUAUCUCUUGCUAUACUAAAAUCAACUCAAGAUGGGUUAAAGACUUAAACAUAAGGCAUGAAACUAUAACACCACUAUUAAUAGAAGGAGACAUUGGGGAAACACUUUAGGACAUUGGUCUAGGGAAAGAUUGUAUGGAUAAAACCUCAAAAACACAGACAAAAACAAAAAUAGACAAAUGGGACUAUAUUAAAUGAUAAAGCUUGUACACAACAAGGGAAACAAUCACCAGAGUGAAGAGACAGCCUGUUGAAUGGGAGAAAAUAUUUGCAAACUACUCAUCUGACAAGGUACUAAUAUCCAGAAUAUACUAGGAACUCCAAUAACUCAAUAGUAAACAACCAAUUAAUUCCAAUAAAAAGUGAGCAAAAGACAUGGAUAGAUAUUUCUCAAAAGAAAACAUACAAGUAGCCAACAGGUAUAUGAAAAAAAAAUGCCCAACAUCAGUAAUUAUCAGGAAAAUGCAAGUCAAAACCAUAGUGAGAAUGGCUAUUUUAAAAAGACAAAAAUUAACCAAUGCUGGAGAGGAUGUGAAGGGAACUUUUAUACACUGUUGGUGGGAAUGUAAAUUAAUACUAUAGAAAACAGUUUGAUUUCUGAAAAACCUAAAAAGAGAAAUAUGACAUAAUCCAGCAAUCUCACUACUGGAUAUUUAUCUAAAGGAAAAGAUAUCAGAAUACUAAAAAUAUACCUGCAUCCCCGUGUUUAUUGCAGCACUAUUCACAACAGCAAAGAUAUGGACUCAGGAACCUAAGUGUACAUCAGUGGAUAAAUGGAAAAAGAAAAUGAGGUAAAUAUAUACAAUGGAAUACUAAUUGACCAAAGAAGAAUGAAAUCAUGUCCUUUGCAGCAACAUGAAUGGAGCUGGAGGUCAUUAUUUUAAGUCAGGCACAGAAAGAUAAUUAUCUUAUGUUAUUAUCAUAUGUGGGAGCUAUAAAAGUUGAUCUCAUGGAGGUAGAGAGUAGAAGGAUAGAUACCAAAGGCUGUGAAAGGUAUGUUUGGAGGGCGAAGAGGUUGGUUAGCGGGUAAAAAUACACAGCUAGUUAGAAUAAAUAAUUUAUAAUGUUUGAUAAGAGUCGGUUGACUAUAUUUAACAAUGUGAUGUAUAUUUCAAAAUACAAAAGAGGACUUGAAAUGUUCCUAACUACAGAGAUGAUAAAUUGAGGGUGAUGGAUACCCUGGCUUGAUCAUUACAAAUUCAAUGCAUGUAACAAUAGCACAUGUACCCCAUAAGUAUUAUGUAUCGGUCAAAAAAAAAAAAAAUAAGGAAAUCCCAGUGCUUUGGGAGGCCAAGGCAGAAGGGUCGCUUGAGCCCAGGAAUUCAAGACCAGCCUGGGCAACAAUGCACGACACUGUCUCUACAAAAAAUUAAAAAGUUAUCCAGGCAUGGUGGUGCAUGCCUGUAGUCCCAGCUACUUGAGGGGUCAAGGAUGGAGGAUGACUUGAGCCUGGGAGUUAAAGACUGCAGUAAGUGGGGUGGUUCCAAGAUGGCUGAAUAAGAACAGCUCCAGUCUAUAGCUCCCAGCGUGAGUGACCCAGAAGACGGGUGAUUUCUGCAUUUCCAACUGAGGUACUGGGUUCAUCUCACUGGGGCUUGUCAGACAGUGGGGACAGGACAGUGGCUGCAGCCCACCGAGUGUGAGCUGAAGCAGGGUGAGCCAUCGCCUCACCUGGGACGUGCAAGCGGUCAGGGAAUUCCCUUUCCUAGCCAACGGAAGCGGUGACAGACGGCACCUGGAAAAUCGGAUCACUCCCACCCUAAUACUGCACUUUUCCAAUGGUCUUAGCAAACAGCACACCAGGAGAUUAUAUCCUGUGCCUGGCUCGGAGGGUCCCAAGCCCAUGGAGCCUCGCUCAUUGCUAGCACAGCAGUCUGAGAUCGAACUGCAAGGCAGCAGUGAGGCUGGGGAAGCCUGCCAUUGCUGAGGCUUGAGUAGGUAAACAAAGUGGCCAGGAAGCUCGAACUGGGUGGAGCCCACCGCAGCUCAAGGAGGCCUGCCUGCCUCUGUAGACUCCACCUCUGGCGACAGGGCAUAGCCGAACAAAAGGCAGCAGAAACCUCUGCAGACUUAAAUGUCCCUGUCUGACAGCUUUGAAGAGAGUAGUGGUUCUCCCAGCACAGAGUUUGAGAUCUGAGAAUGGACACACUGCCUCCUCAAGUGGGUCCCUGACCCCCGAGUAGCCUAACUGGGAGGCACCCCCCAGUAGGGGCAGACUGACACCUCACACGGCUGGGUACCCCUCUGAGACGAAGCUUCCAGAGGAACAAUCAGGCAGCAACAUUUGGUAUUCAGCAGUAUUCGCUGUUCUGCAGCCUCUGCUGCUGAUACCCAGGCAAACAGGGUCUGGAAUGGACCUCCAGCAAACUCCAACAGACCUGCAGCUGAGGGUCCUGACUGUUAGAAGGAAAAGUAACAAACAGAAAGGACAUCCACACCAAAACUCCAUCUAUACGUCACCAUCAUCAAAGACCAAAGGUAGGUAAAACCACAAAGAUGGGGAAAAAAACAGCAGAAAAGCAGAAAAUUCUAAAACUCAGAGCACCUCUCCCACUCCAAAGGAAUGCAGCCACUCGCCGGCAAUGAAACAAAGCUGGACGGAGAAUGACUUUGACAAGUUGAGAGAGGAAGGCUUCAGACGAUCAAACUUCUCCGAGCUAAAGGAGGAAGUUCGAAUCCAACGCAAAGAAGCUAAAAACCUUGAAAAAAGAUUAGACGAAUGGCUAACUAGAAUAACCAGUGUAGAGAAGUCCUUAAAUGACCUGAUGGAGCUGAAAACCAUGGCACAAGAACUACGUGACAAAUGCACAAGCUUCAGUAGCCAAUUUGAUCAACUGGAAGAAAGGGUAUCAGUGAUUGAAGAUCAAAUGAAUGAAAUGAAGCGAGAAGAGAAGUUUAGAGAAAAAAGAGUAAAAACGAACGAACAAAGCCUCCAAGAAAUAUGGGACUAUGUGAAAAGACCAAAUCUACAUCUGAUUGGUGUACGUGAAAGUGACAGGGAGAAUGGAACCAAGUUGGAAAACACUCUUCAGGAUAUUAUCCAGGAGAACUUCCCCAACCUAGCAAGGCAGGAUAUUAUCCAGGAGAACUUCCCCAAUCUAGCAAGGCAGGCCAACAUUCAAAUUCAGGAAAUACAGAGAACGCCACAAAGAUACUCCUCGAGAAGAGCAACUCCAAGACACAUAAUUGUCAGAUUCACCAAAGUUGAAAUGAAGGAAAAAAUGUUAAGGGCAGCCAGAGAGAAAGGUCGGGUUACCCACAAAGGGAAACCCAUCAGACUAACAGCGGAUCUCUCGGCAGAAACUCUACAAGCCAGAAGAGAGUGGGGGCCAAUAUUCAAUAUUCUUAAAGAAAAGAAUUUUCAACCCAGAAUUUCAUAUCCAGCCAAACUAAGCUUCAUAAGUGAAGGAGAAAUAAAAUACUUUAUAGACAAGCAAAUGCUGAGAGAUUUUGUAACCACCAGGCCUGCCCUACAAGAGCUCCUGAAGGAAGCACUAAACAUGGAAAGGAACAACUGGUACCAGCCACUGCAAAAACAUGCCAAAUUGUAAAGACCAUAGAUGCUAGGAAGAAAAUGCAUCAACUAACGAGCAAAAUAACCAGCUAACAUCAUAAUGACAGGAUCAAAUUCACACAUAACAAUAUUAACCUUAAAUGUAAAUGGGCUAAAUGCUCCAAUUAAAAGACACAGACUGGCAAAUUGGAUAAAGAGUCAAGACCCAUCAGUGUGCUGUAUUCAGGAGACCCAUCUCAUGUGCAGAGACACAUAUAGGCUCAAAAUAAAGGGAUGGAGGAAGAUCUACCAAGCAAAUGGAAAAUAAAAAAAGGCAGGGGUUGUAAUCCUAGUCUCUGAUAAAACAGACUUUAAACCAGUAAAGAUCAAAAGAGACAAAGAAGGUCAUUACAUAAUGGUAAAGGGAUCAAUUCAACAAGAAGAGCUAACUAUCUUAAAUAUAUACGCACCCAAUACAGGAGCACCCAGAUUCAUAAAGCAAGUCCUUAGAGAUCUACAAAGAGACAGAUUCCCACACAAUAAUAAUGGGAGACUUUAACACCCCACUGUUAACAUUAGACAAAUCAACAAGACCGGAAGUUAACAAGGAUAUCCAUGAAUUGAACUCAGCUCUGCACCAAGUGGACCUAAUAGACAUCUACAGAACGCUCCACCCCAAAUCAACAGAAUACACAUUCUUCUCAGCAUCACAUCACGCUUAUUCCAAAAUUGACCACAUAGUUGGAAGUAAAGCACUUCUCAGCAAAUGUAAAAGAACAGAAAUUAGAACAAACUGUCUCUCAGACCACAGCGCAAUCAAACUAGAACUCAGGAUUAAGAAACUCACUCAAAACCGCUCAACUACAUGGAAAAUGAACCACCUGCUCCUGAAUGACUACUGGAUACAUAAUGAAAUGAAGGCAGAAAUAACCAUGUUAUUUGAAACCAAUGAGAACAAAGACACAACAUACCAGAAUCUCUGGGACACAUUUAAAGCAGUGUGUAGAGGGAAAUUUAUAGCACUAAAUGCCCACAAGAGAAAGCAGGAAAAAUCUAAAAUUGAUGCCCUAACAUCACAAUUAAAAGAACUAGAGAAGCAAGAGCAAACACAUUCAAAAGCUAGCAGAAGGCAAGAAAUAACUAAGAUCAGAGAAGAACUGAAGGAGACAGAGACACGAAAAACUCUUAAAAAAAUCAAUGAAUCCAGGAGCUGGUUUUUUUGAAAAGAUCAACAAAAUUGAUAGGCCUCUAGCAAGACUAAUAAAGAAGAAAAGAGAGAAGAAUCAAAUAGAUGCAAUAAAAAAUGAUAAAGGGGAUAUCACCACUGACCCCACAGAAAUACAAACUACCAUCAGAGAAUACUAUAAACACCUCUAUGCAAAUAAACUAGAAAAUCUAGAAGAAAUGGAUAAAUUCCUGGACACAUAUACCCUCCCAAGACUAAACCAGGAAGAAGUUGAAUCCCUGAAUAGACCAAUAACAGGCUCUGAAAUUUAGGCAAUAAUUAAUAGUCUACCAACCAAAAAAAGUCCAGGACCAGACGGAUUCACAGCCGAAUUCUACCAGAGGUACAAGGAGGAGCUGGUACUAUGCCUUUUGAAACUAUUCCAAACAAUAGAAAAAGAGAGAAUCCUUCCUAACUCAUUUUAUGAGGCCAGCAUCAUCCUGAUACCAAAGCCUGGCAGAGACACAACAAAAAAAGAGAAUUUUAGACCAAUAUCCCUGAUGAACAUCAAUGCAAAAAUCCUCAAUAAAAUACUGGCAAACAGAAUCCAGCAGCACAUCAAAAAGCUUAUCCACCAUGAUCAAGUGGGCUUCAUCCCUGGGAUGCAAGGCUGGUUCAACAUAUGCAAAUCAGUAAACGUAAUCCAGCAUAUAAACAGAACCAAAGACAAAAACCACAUGAUUAUCUCAAUAGAUGCAGGAAAGGCCUUUGACAAAAUUCAACAGCCCUUCAUGCUAAAAACUCUCAAUAAAUUAGGUAUCGAUGGGAUGUAUCUCAAAAUAAUAAGAGCUAUUUAUGACAAACCCACAGCCAAUAUCAUACUGAAUGAGCAAAAACUGGAAGCAUUCCCUUUGAAAACUGGCACAAGACAGGGAUGCCCUCUCUCACCACUCCUAUUCAACAUAGUGUUGGAAGUUCUGGCCAGGGCAAUCAGGCAGGAGAAAGAAAGAAAGGAUAUUCAAUUAGGAAAAGAGGAAGUCAAAUUGUCCCUGUUUGCAGAUGACAUGAUUGUAUAUUUAGAAAACCCCAUCAUCUCAGCCCAAAAUCUCCUUAAGCUGAUAAGCAACUUUAACAAAGUCUCAGGAUACAAAAUCAAUGUGCAAACAUCACAUGCAUUCUUAUACACCAAUAACAGACAAACAGAGAGCCAAAUCAUGAGUGAACUCCCAUUCACAAUUGCUUCAAAGAGAAUAAAAUACCUAGGAAUCCAACUUACAAGGGAUGUGAAGGACCUCUUCAAGGAGAACUACAAACCACUGCUCAAUGAAAUAAAAGAGGAUACAAACAAAUGGAAGAACAUUCCAUGCUCAUGGGUAGGAAGAAUCAAUAUCGUGAAAAUGGCCACACUGUCCAAGGUAAUUUAUAGAUUCAGUGCCAUCCCCAUCAAGCUACCAAUGACUUUCUUCACAGAAUUGGAAAAAAACUACUUUAAAGUUCAUAUGGAACCAAAAAAGAGCCCGCAUUGCCAAGACAAUCCUAAGCCAAAAGAACAAAGCUGGAGGCAUCACACUACCUGACCUCAAACUAUACUACAAGGCUACAGUAACCAAAACAGCAUGGUACUGGUACCAAAACAGAGAUAUAGACCAAUGGAACAGAACAGAGCCCUCAGAAAUAAUACCACACAUCUACAAUCAUCUGCUCUUUGACAAAGCUGACAGAAACAAGAAAUGGGGAAAGGAUUCCCUAUUUAAUAAAUGGUGCUGGGAAAACUGGCUAGCCAUAUGUAGAAAGCUGAAACUGGAUCCCUUCUUUACACCUUAUAGAAAAAUUAAUUCAAGAUGGAUUAAAGACUUAAAUGUUAGACCUAAAACCAUAAAAACCCUAGAAGUAAACCUAGGCAAUACCAUUCAGGACAUAGGCAUGGGCAAGGACUUCAUGUCUAAAACACCAAAAGCAAUGGCAACAAAAGCCAAAAUUGACAAAUGGGAUCUAAUUAAACUAAAGAGCUUCUGCACAGCAAAAGAAACUACCGUCAAAGUGAAUAGGCAACCUACAGAAUGGGAGAAAAUUUUUGCAAUCUACUCAUCUGACAAACGGCUAAUAUCCAGAAUCUAUAAAGAACUCAAACAAAUUUACAAGAAAAAACAACCCCAUCAAAAAGUGGGUGAAGGUUAUGAACAGACACUUCUCAAAAGACGACAUUUAUGCAGCCAAAAGACACAUGAAAAAAUGCUCAUCAUCACUGGCCAUCAGAGAAAGGCAAAUCAAAACCACAAUGAGAUACCAUCUCACACCAGUUAGAAUGGCAAUCAUUAAAAAGUCAGGAAACAACAGGUGCUGGAGAGGAUGUGGAGAAAUAGGAACACUUUUACACUGUUGGUGGGACUGUAAACUAGUUCAACCAUUGUAGAAGACAGUGUGGCGAUUCCUCAAGGAUCUAGAACUAGAAAUACCAUUUGAUCCAGCCAUCCCAUUACUGGGUAUAUACCCAAAGGAUUAUAAAUCAUGCUGCUAUAAAGACACAUGCACACGUAUGUUUAUUGCAGCACUAUUCACAAUAGCAAAGACUUGGAACCAACCCAAAUGUCCAUCAAUGAUAGACUGGAUUAAGAAAAUGUGGCACAUAUACACCAUGGAAUACUAUGCAGUCAUAAAAAAAGGAUGAGUUCAUGUCCAUGUCCUUUGUAGGGACAUGGAUGAAGCUGGAAACCAUCAUUCUCAGCAAACUAUCUCAAGAAUGAAAAACCAAACACCGCAUGUUCUCACUUGUAGGUGGGAAUUGAACAAUGAGAACACUUGGACAUAGGAAGGGGAACAUCACACACCGGGGCCUGUUGUGGGGUGGAGGGGAGGGGGGAGGGAAAGCAUUAGGAGAUAUACCUAAGGUAAAUGACGAGGUAAUGAGUGCAGCACACCAACAUGUCACAUGUAUACAUAUGUAACAAACCUGCACGUUGUGCACAUGUACCCUAGAACUUAAAGUAUAAUUAAAAAAAAGAGAGAGAGAGAGAAAAGAGAAAUCUAAAAAUAUAUAUAUAUAUACCAAAGACAAUCUUCACCGAAAUAGAAAAAACACAGUCCUUAAACUUGCAUGGAACCACAAAAGACCGCAAAUAGGACAAACAAUACUGAGCAGGCAGAAUGAAGCUGGAGGCACUACACUGCCUGACAUCAAAAUACAGUUGACUCUUCAACAACAUAGAUUUGAACUGUAUAGGUUCACUUAUAUGUGGAUUUUUCCCAUAAUCUAACAAGGAUAGAAUGCAAUAUUCACAAAAGUGAAAACCAUGUAUACAGACGACUGACAUUUUGUAUAUGCGCAUUAUACAGUGCUGACUCUGGGACUUGAAUAUACAUGGCUUUUGGUAUAUACAGGGGGUCUCGGAAGCAAUCCCCCUUGUGUACAAAACAAUGGUAACCAAAUUAGCAUGCGAUGGGCAUAAAACAGACAUAUAGACCAAUGGAACAGAAUAGAGAACCCAGAAGUAAAUACAUUUAUUUACAGACAACCGGUUUUUGACAAAGGUGCCAAGAACACACUUCAGGGAAAGGACACCACGUUGAACACAUCAUGUUGGGAAAACAGGAUAUCCAUUUGCAGAAGAAUGAAACUAGACUAUCUCUCAGCGUAUAAAAAAAUCAACUCAAAAUUUAUUAGAGACUUAAACAUGAGACCUGAAGCAAACAGUACCAGAAGAAAACAGAAGGGAAACCCUUCAGGAUAUGGGUCUAGGUGAAGAUUUUAUGGGUAAGACUUUAUAAGCACAGGCAACAAAAACAAAAAUAGACAAAUGGGACUAUAUCAAACUAAAAACCUACACAUAAAAGGAAAUAAUAAACUAUUAAGAGAUAUCCUGUAGAAUGGGAGAAAAUACUCAUCUGACAAGGGAUUAAUAUCCAGAAUAUACAAGGAAUUCAAACAAUUCAACAGCAAAAAACACCAGAUUAUCUGAUUUAGAAAUGUGCAAAAUAGAACAACUGGCCAACAGGUAUGUGAAAAAAUGCUCAACAUCUCUCAUCACAGAAAUGCAAGUCAAAGCCACAAUGAGAUAUUAUUUCACCUCAGUUAGAAUGGCUGUUUUCAAAAAGACAAAAAAUAACAAAUGCUGGCAAGGAUGCAGAGAAAAGAGAAAUAAUACACUAUUUAUGGGACUAUAAAUUAGUGAGUCAUUAUGGAAAAUACUAUGGUGUUUUGUCAAAAAACCUAAAAGUAGACUAUCAUACAGUUUGACAAUCCACUACCGGGUAUUGACUCAAAGGAAAGGGAAUCAGUAUAUAAAAGAGAUAUUUGCAUUCUCAUGUUUAUUGCAGUACUGUUCACAACAGUUAAGAUAUGGAAUCAACUUAAAUCUCCAUCAGCAGAUGAAUGGAGAAAGAAUGUGGCAUGUAUACACAAUGAAUAUUAUUCAGUCAUAAUAAAGCAUUAAGUCCUGUCAUUCACAGCAACGUGGAUGAACUUGGAGAAUAUGUUAAAUGAAAUUAGGCACAGAAAGAUGGAGGAUUUUGACUGCUCACAAAACAGAGAAAUGAUAUUUGAGUUUAUGAAUACGCUAAUUACCCUGAUUUGAUUAUGAUACAUUAUAUACAUGUAUCACAAUAUCACUGUGUAUCCCAUAAAUAUCUACAAUUAUUACAUGUUGACUAAAAAUAAAAGGACACAAAAGAAAAAGACUCCUAGAAGAAAAACCCACAAGGAGCAUCAUAAUGGUGAAAAGACUAAGAGCUUUUCCUCUAAGAUCAGGAAUAAAGCAAGAUGCCCACUUUAGCCAUUGUAUUAAACACAGUAGUAGACUUUCUAGCCAAAGAAUAUGGAAAAGAAAUAAAGGCAUCAUUUGGAAAGGAAGAAUUAAAAUUAUGUUUGUUCAUAGAUAUGAUCGUAUUUGUACAAAUCCCUGAAAACUCACCACAAAAACUGAAUAAAUUAAUUCAGCAAAGUAGCAAGAUAGUAAGUCAGUACACAAAAUUCAGUUGCAUUUCUUUUUUUUUUUUUUUGAGACAGAGUCUUGCUCUGUCACACAGGCUAGAGUGCAGUGGCGCUAUCUCGGCUCACUGCAAGCUCUGCCUCGCGAGUUCAUGCCAUUCUCCUGCCUCAGCCUCCCAAGUAGGUGGGACUACAGGCACACGCUGCCAUGCCUGGCUAAUUUUUUUGUAUUUUUAGUAGAGAUGGGGUUUCACCAUGUUAGCCAGGAUGGUCUCGAUCUCCUGACCUUGUGAUCUGCCCGCCUCGGCCUCCCAAAGUGCUGGGAUUACAGGCGUGAGCCACUGCGCCCAGCCUUCAGUUGCAUUUCUAUACAUUAAUCACAAACAAUCUGAAAGAGAUAUUAUUAACACAACUCUAUUUACACAACAGCAUCAGGACACUCAGCCUUGGCCACCAAGGACCCUUGUAAUGUUUGCCACUACUGACCUCAGCUGAUGGAGCUGCAAGAAGAGUAUUCCAUUAUAUCCUCACCUGGGCUACAGCUGCUGCACCCUACCUACUUAACACUCCAUCAAGUGAGCAGAUUUCAAUUCAUUGUAACGAGAACAGAAAAACUAAGGAAACAUAGCACCCACCAGAGAAAUACGAUAAUUUUCAGGGACUGACUCCAAAGAAAUUGGGAUAUAUUAAUUGCCUUACAGAAAAUUAAAAACGACUGAUUUAAGGAAGUUCAGUGUGCUACCAGAGAACAGAGAGACAACCUAAUGAAAUCAUUAAUACACAAAAGGAGACAUUCAAUAAAGAAAUAGAAAUCCUAAAAAAAAAAAAACCAAACAUUUUGGAGGUGAAGAAUAUAAUGCAUGAAAUGAAAAGUGAAAUAGAAAGCAUCAGCAUCAGACUUGAUCAAAUAGAAGGAGGAAUUCGUCAACUGGAGGAUAAAUUAUUUGAAAAUAACCAGUAGAGGAGAAAAAUAAAGAAUGAAAAGGUAACAAGGGAAGUUUACAGGAUUUAUGGGACACCAUCAGGAGAGUUAAUGUUCACAUAGGAUUUAUAGAAGGAAAGGAGAGAGGUAAAGGGUAGAAAGUUAAUUCAAAGAAAUAAUGGCUGAAAACUUCCCAUAUCUGGGGCUCUUCCCAGAUUGAUGGACAUCUAGGUACAUGAAGCUCAAAGAAUUACAAUUAGUUUCCAUCUAAAAGAGAUUUCACCUAGAUAUACUGCCAUCAAACCAUAAAAAAUGGAAGACAAGAUAAUUUUGAAAGCGGCAAGAUAAAUAAAGUUCUUACAUCUACAGGAACCUCCAUAAGCUAUCAGUGGAUUUCUGAGCAAAAACUUUCCAGGCCAGGAAACAAUAGGAUUAUAUAUUCAAAGUUCUGAAAGAUAAAAAAAACUGUCAUCUAAGAAUACUUUACACAGCAAAGCUGUCCUUCAGAUAUGAAACAGAUACAAGACUUCCUCAGGUAAACAAAAGUUAAAGGAGUUUAUCAGCAACUACUCUUGCCUUACAAGAUAUGCCAGAGGGAGUUAUUCAGGCUUAAAUGGAAGGAUGCUAAUUAGUAACAUGAAAACAUAUGAAAGUACAAAAUUCACUGAUAAAUAAAUAUAUGGGCAACUUAAGAAUACUCUAAUAGUGUAAUGGUAGUAUAUAAAUCACAUAACUGUAGUAUAAAGGUUAAAAGAAAAAUAAUUAAAAAUUACUAUUGUUUUAAUAAUUUCUCAAUGGAUAUACAAUAUUAAAAGGUGUACCUUGGGGCAUCAAAAAUAAAAUGUAGCAGGGGAAGUAUAAGAUCAAAAUAUUCCCCCCAAACAAAGAGGGAACAAUCCCAACUUAUUUUACAAGGCUAACAUUGCCCUCAUACUAAGGCCGGACAAGGACAAUAUAAGAAAAGAAAAUAACCGGCCAAUAUUUUUUUAUGACUAUACAUUUAAAAAUUUUCAACAAAAUAUGAUCAAACUGAAUUUAACAGCACAUUAAAAAAAUCAUAUAUCACAAACAUGGGAUUUAUCCUUAGUACAUAAGGACAGUUAAGUGUACAUAUACAAGAAAUGGGAUACUUUAAUAAAAUCAAAGAUAAAAAUCAUACAAUCAUUUUGAUAAGUACCAAUAAUGCAGUUCACAUAAUUCAACAUCCUUCCAUGAUAAAAACUGUGAACAAAUUAAGUAUAGAAGGACUGUACUUCAACACAAUAAAGGCCAUAUAUGAAAAGCCCACAGCUAACAUCAUACUCAAUGCUGAAAAGCUGAAUGCCUCUCCUCUAAGAUGAGGAACAAGAAAAAGAUAUUCUCACCACUUCUAUUCAACACCGUACUGGAAGUCCUAGCCAGAGGAAUUGGGCAAGAAAAAUAAAUAAAUACACUCAAAUCAGAAAGAAGGAAGUAAAAUUGUCUCUGUUUGCAGAUGACAUCAUAUAUGUAGAAAAUGCUACAGACUCCACAAAAAAACCUGUUAGAAUAAUCUAAUUCAGUAAAGUGGCCGGAUACAAAAUCAGCAUUCAGAAAUCAUUCGUGUUUCUAUACACUAAUAAUGAACAACCUGAAAAACAAAUUAAGAAAACAAUUUCAUUUAAAAUAGCAUCAAAAAUAAUACAGAGCUCCCAAAUAAAUCCUUUCAUAUAUGAACGCAUGAUUUCUGACAAGCAUACCAUGUCCAUUCAAUGGCGAAUGGAUUCUCUUUUCAACAAAUGGUGGCAGGAAAACUGGAUAUCCUCACAUGAAAGAAUGAAGUCGAGACCUUUACCUAACUCCAUAUACAAAAAUUAACUCAAAGUGGACCACAGACCUAAAUGUAAGACCUAAAACUAUAAAACUCUUAGAAGAAAACAUGGGGCAAAAACUGCAUGACAUUGGGUUUGGUAUUGACUUCAUUUGGAUAUAAUAUGAAAGGCACAGAUAAAAUAAAAAAUAGAGAAAUUAGACUGCAUAACAUUUAGGCAUACAUUUAACCAAGGAGGUAAAAGACCUAGACACUGAAAACUAUGAAACAUUGAAAGAAUUCUAAGAUGACACAAAUAAAUGGAAAGAUAUCUGGUGUUCAUAGAUCAAUAGAAUCAAUAUUGCCGAAAUAGCUAUACUACUCAAAGUGAUCUACAGAUUCAAGGCAAUGCCUAUCAAAUUUCCAGUGACUUUUUUUCACAGAUAUAGACAAAAAAAUCCUAAAAUUUGAAAGAAACUACAAAAGACCUUAAAGAUCUAAAGCAUUCUUGAGCAAUAAGAACAAAGUGAAAGAUAUUACACAUGCUUAUUUUGAAUUAUAUUUCAAAGUUAUAGCAACCAAAACAGCAUGGUACUGAUAUAGAAAUAAACCAAUGGAACAGAAUAGAAAGCACAGAAAUAAACCCACACAUUUAUGGUCAACUAAUCUUUGACAAAGACACCAAGAGUACACAAUGGGGAAAGGGUACUCUCUUGAAUAAAUGGCACUAUGAAACCAGGAUAUCCACAUGCAAAAAAAUGAAAUUGGAACCUUACCCUACACUGUACAGAAAAGUGAAUAAGAUUUAAACGUAUGACCUGAAACCAUAAAACCUAUAAAACAGGGAAAAGCUCCUUGCCAUUGGUUUUUGUGAUAAUUUUUUAGAUGUGACAUCAAAAGCACAAGGAAUAAAAUGCAAAAAUAAAUUAGAACUACAUCAACAAAAAAGUGUCUGCACAACAAAGCAAACAACAAAAUGAAAAGGCAGCACAUGUAGCGGAAGAAAAUAUUUCCAACCAUAUAUCUGAUAAGCUAUUAAUAUCCAAUAUAUAUAAGGAACUCAUAUAACUAAAUACCAAAAAAACUUAAUAACCCAAUUAAUGGCCUGUUAAGAUGUACAAGGGACUGAAUAGACAUUUAUCCAAAGAAGACAUACAGAUGGUCAACAGGUAUAUGAAAAAGGUGUUUAACAUCACUUAUCAUCAGGGAAAUGCAAAUCAAAACCACACUGAGCUAUCACCUCACAACUGUUAGAAUAGCUAUUAUCAAAAAGUCAAAAGAUAGCAAGUGUUGGUGAGGAUGUGGAGAAAAGGUGUCCCUUAUACAUUUUUGUUAGGAAUGUAAAUUGAUACAGUCAUUAUGGAAAACACGAUAGAUCUUCUUUAAAAAAUUAAAAAUGGAACUGCUAUAUGAUCCAGCAGUCUCAGUUCUGGGUAUAUCUAAGGAAAACAAAGUCAGUAUCUUGAAGAGGUAUCUGCACUUGCAUGUUCAUUGUAGUGUUACAGUAGUCAAGAAAUGAACAACAUAGUGUUCAUAGGCAUGGUGGCUUGUACCUGUAAUCCCAGUACUUGGGGGUGGCCAAGGUGAAGGAUAGCUUGAACACAGGAGUUUGAGACCAGCCUGGGAAACAUAGUGAUACCCUAUCUCUACAUAAAAUUUUAAAAAUUAGCUGGGCAUGGGGGUGCAUGACUGUGGUCCCAGGUACUCGGGAGGCUGAGGCAGGAGGAUCACUUGAGCCCAGGAGGUUGAGGCUACAGUGAACUGUGAUUGUGCCACUGUACUCCUGCUGGAUGACAGAUGGAGACCCUGUCUCAAAAAGAAAGAAAGGAAGAAAAUAGUGUGUGUGUGUAUGUGUGUAUCACCAAAUUCCCAAAUAAACACAUCACAUACAUAUACAUACAGACACACACACACACACAUAUAUACACACACACAAUGAAAUAUUCAUCCUUUAAAAAGUAGGAAAUCAUGCAAUUUAUGACAACAUAGAUGAACCUGGGGGAUAUUGUGCUAAGUGAAAUAGCCAGACACAGAAAGACAAAUACUGCACUAUCCCAGUUACAUAUGGAAUUCUAAAAAGCUUGAACUCAGAGAAACAGAGAGUAGAAGGGUGGUUACUAGGGGUCAGGGAGUAGGGGAAAUAGGAAAUGUUGUUGAAGGGUACAAACGUAGAGUUAUCAAAUGAAUAAGUUCUUGACAUAAUGUCCAGAUUGGUGACUAUAGUUAAUAUAUUCUAUACUUGGAAUUUGCUAAGAGAGUAUAGCUUAGGUAUUCUGACCACACACAUGCACACACAUGGCAACUAUGUAAGGUAUAUGUUAAUUGGCUUGAUUGUAGUAAUCAUUUCACAGUAGGUCAAAUAUGUUCUUAAAUAUAUGCACUUUUAAUUUGUCAAUUAUACUUCAAUAAAAGCUGAAAAAAGCAUCAAGAAUAACAAACUUAGGAAUCAACUUUACCAAGGAGGUGAAAGUCUUGUACAAUGAAAAUUACAAAACAAUGCUGAAAGAAAUUAAAGUAGACAUAAAGGGAAAACACAUCCUAUGUUCGUGGACUGGAAGGCCAAUAUUGUUGUCAGUACCACACAAAACAAUCUACAAAUCCAAGGUAAUCCCAAUAAAAAUCCUAAUGAUGUUAUUUGCAGAAAGAAGAAACUCCAUCCUAAAAUUCAUAUGGAAUCUCAAGGGACCUUGAAUAGCUAAAACAUUCUUGAAAAUGAUGAACAACAUUGGAGGACUCAUACUUUCUGAUUUGAAAACUUACUACAGGCCAGGUACAAUGGCUUACACCUGUAAUCUCAGCACUUUUGAAGGCUGAGGUGGGAGGACUGCUGAGCCCAGGAGUUUGAGACCAGCCUGGGGAACAGAGGGAGACCUCAUCUGUACAAAAAAUAAAAUAAUUGGCCAGGUGUGAUGGUACACACUUCUAUUCCCAGCUACUCAAGAAGCUGAUGUGGGAGGAAUGCUUGAGCCUGGGAGAUUGAGGUGGCAGUAAGCAGUGAUAAUGCCACUGUACUCCAGUGUGGGCAACAGAGUAAGAAUGUCUGAAAAACAAACAAAAACCCCAACUUAUUACAAAGCUACAGUAAUCAAAACUAUGUGGUAUUGACAUAAAGAAAGAUGUAGAGACUAAUGGAAUUGAAUAGAGAGCCCAGAAAUAAACCCUUGUAUACAUGAUCAAAUGAUCCCUGAGAAGAGUGCUAAGACCAUUCAAUAGGGAAAGUGCUGUAUUUUCAACAAAUGGUGCCAGGAAAACUGAAGUUGAGACCCUUAUCUAAUACCAUGCAAAAAAAUUAACUCAAGAGAAUGAAGUUGAGAUCCUUACCUAACCAUGGAUAAAAGAGAAUGAAGUUGAGACCCUUACCUAACACUGUGUACAAAAACUUACUCAAAAUGGGUCAAAGUCCUAAAACUAUAAAGUCUUAUAAGGAAACAUAGGGGAAAAACUUUACAUCAUUGGCAGUGCUUCUUGUAUACGACACCAAAGGCACCGGCAAUAAAAGUAAAAAUAGAUAAAUUGUACUUGCACAGGCAAUAAAAGUAAAACUAGAUAAAUUUUAAAAAUUUACAUUGUGUACAUUAAAAGAAUAUCAACUAAGCAAUAAGACAACCUACAGAAUGGGAGAAAAUAUUUGCAAAUCACAUACCUGAUAAGGGAUUAAUGUCCAGAUUAUACAGAGAACUUCUAAAAGUCGUCACCAAAAAACAAUGCACCUGAAAAAUGGGCAAAGGGGCCAGGCAUGGUGGCUCACGCCUGUAAUCCCAGUACUUUGGGAGGCUGAGGCGGGAGGAUCAUGAAGUCAGGAGAUUGAGACCAUCCUGGCUAACAGGGUGAAACCCCGUCUCUACUAAAAAUACAAAAAAUUAGCCAGGCAUGGUGGCGGGCACCUGUAGUCCCAGCUACUCGGGAGGCAGGAGAAUGGUGUGAACCCAGGAGGCGGAGCUUGCAGUAAGCCGAGAUGGCACCACUGCACUCAGCUUGGGCAACAGAGUGAGACUCCAUCUCAAAAAAAAAAAAAAAAAAAAAAAAAGGCAAAGGACUUGGACAGACAUUUCUCCAAAGAAGAUAUACAAAUGGAUAAUAGUACAUGAAAAGUUGUUUAACAUCUCUAGUCAUUAGGAAAUACAAGUCAAAACCACAACCUUACAUACACUCAGAUGACUACUAUUAAAAAAACAAACACAGCCUAGGCAACAUAGUGAGACCCAUCUCUAGUACCAGCUACAUGGGAGGUUAAGGUGGGAGGAUCGCUUAAGCCCAGAGGUCUAGGUUGAGGCUGCAGUGUGCCAUGAUCACGCCACUGCAUUCUAGCCUAAGUGACAGAGCCAGAUCUUGUCUCGAAAAAAUCCCACAUAAACAGAAAAUAACCAGUGCUGGAAGGGACAUGGAGAAAUUGGAAUCCUUGUGCACUGUUAGUGGGAAUGCAAAAUGGUACAGCCUCUGUGUUAAACAGUUUGGUGUUCCUUCAAAAAUUAAAAACAGAAUUAUCUGAUCCAUCAACUCCACCUCUGUGUAUAUACCCAGAAGGAUUAAAAGCAGUCUCAAAGAUAUAUUUGUAUACCCAUGAUUAUAGUGGCAUUAUUUACAACAGUUAAAACAUCAAUGCAACCCAAAUGUCCAUGGAUGAAUGGAUAAGCAAAAUGCAGUAUAUACAUACAAUGUAAUAUUAUUCAGCUUUAAAAAAAAUAGAAAUUCUGACACAUGCCACAACAUGGAUGAACCUCGAGGCCAUUAUGUUAAAUGAAAUACAGCAGUCACAAAAAGAGAAGACCUUAACAGACAUCUCACCAAUGAAGAUAUACAGAUGGCAACUAAGUAUAUGAAAAGAUGCCCCACAUCUUAUGUCAUUAGGGAAAUGGAAAUUAAAACAAGAAAUGUGAUAUAUCUAUACGCUUAUUAGAAUGGCCAAAAUUCAAAACACUGACAAUACCAAAUGCUUGCCAAUAUGUGGGGCAACAGGAACACUCAUCCAUUGCUGGUGGGAAUGCAAAAUGGUACAGCCACUUUGACAUAUACCAUUAAUGGGAAUGUAAAGUGGUGCAGCCCUGGUGGAAAAGAGUUUGGUGGUUCUUCAAAGAAUUAAAAAUGGAAUUAUCAUAGGAUGCAUCAAUUCCACUUCUGAAUGUGUAUAUAUAUCCCCCGAAGAAUCCAGAGUAUAUCGAAAUCAGUGGUUUCUUAUAAACUUAAACAUAUUCUUACCAUGCAAUUCAGCAAUCACAUCCUUGGUAUUUACUCAAAGGAGGUGAAGACUUAUAUUCACAUAAAAAUCUGCACAGAGAUGUUUACAGAAGCUUUAUUUGUGAUUGUUGAAAUUGGAAGCAACCGAGAUGUCCUUCCAUAGAUGAGUAGACAGAUAAACUGUGGUACAUCCAGGCAAUGAAAUAUUAUUCAUCACUAAAUAGAAAUGAGCUAUCAAGCCAUGAAAAGAUAUGGAGGUAAUUAAAAAACAUAUUACUAUGUGAAAUAAGGCAAUCUGAAGAAACUACAUACUGUAUGAUUCCAAUCAUAUUGCAUUUUAGAAAAGGCAAUGCUAUGGAGACAGUAAAAAGUUCAGUGGUUGUCAAGGGUUGUUGAGGAAGAAGGGAUGAAUAGGCAGUGCACAGAGUACUUUUAGGGCAGUGAAAAUGUACAAAUAUAUGUAAAUAUACAGUAUCUGUAUGAUACUAUAAUGGUAGAUACAUGUAUAUUAGUCCGUUCUCACACUGCUAUAAAGAACUACCUGAGACUGGGUAAUUUGUGAGAAAAGAGGUUUAAUUGACUCACAGUUUUGUAGGCUGUACAGUAAGCAUGGCUGGCAGGCCUCAGAAACUUAAAAUCAUGGCGGAAGGCAAAGGAGAAGCAGGCACAUCUUUACCAUGGCAGAAUAGGAGAGGGAAAGAAAGUGAGAUGGGAAGUGCCACACACGUUUAAACAACCAGAUCUCAUGAGAACUCACUAUCAUGAGAACAGCAAAGGGGAAGUUUGCCCCCAUGAUUCAAUCACCUCCCACCAGGCCCCUCCCCUGACACAUGGGGAUUACAGUUCGAGAUGAGAUUUGGGUGGGAACACAGAGCCAAACCAUAUCAACAUGUUACAGAUUUGUAGAAACCCACAGAAUGUACACCCCAACAGUGAGCCCUAAUGUUAACUAGGGACUUUGAUAAUAAUGUGUAAAUGCAGAUUCAUAAGUUGUAACAAACGUGCCACUCUGGUGGGAGAGUUGGCAAUGGGAAAAGCUCUGUAUGUAUGGGUGCAAUGGGUAUAUGGGAAAUCUCUGUACUUACCUCUCAAUUUUGCUGGAACCCUAAAACUGCUCUAAAAAUAUAAAGUCUUUAAAAUACACAUACACACAUACAGACAAUCGAAUAGAGAAUCAUAAUGGUACACUAUCAGAAAAUCAACAAACACAAAAAAGGCAGUAAGGGAGGAAAUGUUGUAUUUAAAAAAUGUAAGGCAAAAAAGAAAAGGCACAAAAUGUCAGAAUUUCUUUUUUAUAAGUAAGUACUUUAAAUGUAAGUCGAUUAAAUUCUCCAAAAAGCAGAGGUUGGCAGAAUGGAUUUAAAAGAAAACCAUCAACCUAUGCUGUUUAUAACAAACUUACUUUUGAUCUAAAGACACAAGUAGGUUGAAAGUGAAAGAAUGAAAAAUGAUAUUUUAUACAAAUGGUAACCUAAAGAAAGCUGGAGGUAAUUAUACUAAUAAAAGAAAUAAACUUGAAUUUAAAAAUUGUUAUAGGAGACAAAGGAGGACAUUACAUACUGAGAAAAUGGCAAAUUACUCAAGACUUUGCAAUUGGAAAUGUAUACACACCAAAAUAUAGAGCCCCAGAAUAUCAGAAAAUAUAUUGACAGAAUUGGAGUGAGAAAGACAGUUCUACAAUAAUACUUAGGGACUUCAAUAACUUACUUUCAGUAAUGGGUAGAGUCAAAGAAGAAAUGAAAACAGAAACUUAAAAAUAUCUUCAGACAAAUGACAGUAGGAACACAACAUACCAAAAGCAAAACAUGCAGCAAAAGCAGUUCUAAGAGGGAAGUUUACAGCAAUAAAUGCCUUGCCUACAUUAAAAAAGAAGAGAUAUCUCAAAUAGCCCAAAAUUGUACCUCAAGGAAUUAGACAAAGAACAAACUAAAGCCAAAGUUAGCAGAAGGAAGUAAUAAAGAUCAGAACAGAGACAAGUUAGAAUAGAAAAACCAUAGGGGAAAAAAGUCAGUAAAACUAAGACUUCAAUUUUUGAAACAAAGAAUUGAUUUUUGAAAAAUAAAAUCAACAAACUCUUGGACUAAGAAAGAGAACAAAAUCAGAAAUGAAAAUGGAGACUAUAUUACAACAGGUACUUCAGAAAUAAAAAGGAUCAUAAGGGACUUUUAUGAACAAUUAUAUCCCAACAAAUUGGAUAACCUAGAGGAAAUGGACAAAUUCCUAGAAAAAAACCAACCUGCUAAGAUUAAAUCAGGAAUAGAAAGCCUGAACAGACCAAUAGCAAAGAGAGCACAGUGGUAAACUAAAGAGCUUCUGCAUAGCAAAAGAAAUUAUCAACAGAGUAAACAGACAACGUAUAGAAUGGGAGAAAAAUAUUUGCAAACUAUUCAUCUGACAAAGGUCCUAUAUCCAGAAUCCAUAAGGAACUUAAACCAAUCAACAAGCAAAAAACAAAUAAUCCAAUUGAAUCGGCAAAGGACAGGAACAUACAUUUCUUAAAAGAAAAUACACAAGUAGCCAAACAAAAAAACAUUCUCAUGAUCACUAAUAAUCAGAAAUGCAAAUCAAAACCAUAAUGAGGCCGGGCGUGGUGGCUCAUGCCUGUAGUCCUAGCACUUCGGGAGGCUGAGGUGCAUGGAUCAUCUGGGGUCAGGCAUUCGAGACCAUCCUGGCCAACAUGGUGAAACCCCAUCUCUACUAAAAACACAAAAAUUAGCCAGGCAUGGUGGUGGUCACCUGUAAUCCCAGCUACUUGGGAGGCUGAGCCAGGAUAAUUGCUUGAACCCGGGAGGUGGAGGAUGCAGUGAGCCGAGAUUGCGCCACUGCACUCCAGCCUGGGAGACAGAGCAAGACUGUUUCUCAAAAAACAAACAAACAAACAAAAAACCAAAAAACAAACAAAAAAACCAAAACAACAACAACAAAAAAACACCAAACCAUAAUGAGAUACCAUCUCACACCAGUCACAACGGCAAUUAUUAAAAAGUCAAAAAAAUAAAAGUUGCUGGGAAGGCUGCAGAGAAAAGGGAACACUUAUACACUGUUGGCAGGAAUACAAAUUAGUUCAGCCACUGUGAAAAGCAGUUUGGAGAUUUCUCAAAUAACUGAAAACAGAACUACCAUUUGACCCAGCAAUCCCAUUACUGGAUAUAUAUUCAAAGGAAAAUAAAUUGUUCUAUCAAAAAGACACAUGCAUUUGUAUGUUCAUCACAGCACUAUCCACAACAGCAAAGACAUGGAAUCCACUUAGAUGCCCAUCAGUGGUGGAUUGGAUAAAGAAAAUGUGGUACAUGUACACCAUGGAAUACUAUGCAGCCAUAAAAAUGAAUGAAUUUGGCCAGGCGCAGUGGCUCUCACCUGUAAUCCCAGCACUUUGGGAAGCCAAGGCGGGUGGAUCACCUGAGGUCAGGAGUUCAAGACCAGCCUAACCAACAUGGAAAAACCCUGUCUCUACUAAAACUACAAAAUUAGCUGGACGUGGUGGCGCAUGCCUCUAAUCCCAGCUACUCAGGAGGCUGAGGCAGGAGAAUCACUUGAACCCGGGAGGCGGAGGCUGCAGUGAGCUGAGAUCGUGCCAUUGCCCUCCAGCCUGGGCAACAAGAGCGAAACUCCGUCUAAAAAAUAAAAAAAUAAAAAAUAAAAUAUAUAUAUAUAUAUAUAUAUAUAUAUAUAUAUAUAUAUAUAUAUGAAUGAAUGAACUUACGUCCUUUGCAGCAAUAUGGAUGCAGCUAGAGGCCACUAUCUUAAGCAAAUUAAUGCAGGAACAGAAAACCAAAUACUGCAUGUUUCCACUUGCAAGUGGAACCUAAACACUGAGUAAACAUGGACAUAAAGAUGAUCAAUAGACACUGGGGACUACUUGGGGGAGGAACAGAGAGGUGGGCUGAAAAACUACCUAUUGGGUACUAUGCUCACUACCUGGGUGAUAGGCUUAUCCACUUAUCCACACUCCAAACCUCAUCAUCAUGCAAUGUACUCAAUAUACCAUGCAACAUACAGACCUGUACAUAUACCCUCUAAAUCCAAAAUAAAAGUUAAAAAAAACCCAAAACCUCAAAGAAAAGCCCAGGACCAGAUAGCUUCAUGACUGAAUACUACCCAAUAUUCAAAGAAUACCAAUACUUCUUAAACUCUUCCAAAAAAAAAAAAAAAUGCAGCUAAAGGGAAUACUUCCAAAAAAAAAUGCAGCUAAAGGGAAUACUUCCUAAUACAUUUUAUGAGGCCAGCAUCACCUUGAUACCCAGGUGAGACAAAGGCAUCACAAGAAAAGGAAACUACAGGCCAACAUAACCCAAGAAUACUGAUGCAAAAAUCCUUAAUAAAAUAUUAGCAGACUAAAUUUAACAACACAUCAAAAAGAUUAUAUAUCCUGUCUAUGUGGAAUUAAUCCCUGGCAUGCAAAUCUCAUUUAAUAUACAUGUAGCAAUCGAUGUGAUACACACUAACAGACUGAAAGAUGAAAACCACAUGAUCAUCUCAAUUGACACACAAAAAGUAUUUGAUGAAGUUGAACAUCCUUUAUUGAUAAAUUCUAACAGUUCCGGUAUAGGAGGAACACUCGUCAAUAUAACGAAUGCCAUUUAUGAAAAGCCCACAGCUAACAUUAUAAUCAAUAAGGGAAAAACAGAAGCUCUUCCACUAUGAACCAGUACAAGGCAAGGAUGCCCACGCUAGCUACUACUACUCAACAUAGUACUGGAAGUACUAGUAAGACCAAACAGACAAGAAAAAGAAAUGCAAGACAUUCAAAUCAGAAAGUAAGAAGUAAUAUUAUCUUUAUAUGAAGAUGACAUGAUCCCACAUAUAGAAAACCCUGAAGACUCUGACAAAGCAACCUGUUAGAACUAAUAAAUGAGUUCAGUAAAGUUGUAGGAUAUAAAAUCAAUAUAAAACAGUAGUUGCAUUUCUAUACACAAAUAAUGACCUGGCCAAAAAAGAAAUCAAGAAAACAAUCCCAUUUAUGAUAGCAUCAAAAAAAUUGCUUAGGAAUAAAUUUAGACAAAAAGAUGAAAGACAUGUACACUGAAAACUAUGAAUUAUUGAUGAAAGAAAUUAAGCAAGAUACAAAUAAAUGGAAAGAUAUCCCAUGCUCAUGAAUCUGAAUAAUAUUGUUAAAAUGUCAAUAAUAUCCAAAUCAAUAUACAGAUUGAAUAAAAUCCCUAUCAAAAUCCCAUGGAAAAUUUUUUUAAAUUCUAAAGUUCAUUUGGAAUAGCAAGAACCUUAAGUAGCCAAUGAAAUUCUGAAAAUUCUGUUCUGAAAAACAAAGUUGGAGACUUCAUACUUUCUGGUUUAUUUUACAAAACUAUUGAUCAAACAGUAUGGUCCUGGCAUAAAAAACAAACAUGUAGACCAGUGCAACAGAAUAGAGAGCCCAGAAAGAAAUUCAAAGAUACAGGAUCAACCAAUUUUCCACAAGAACAUGAAGAAAACAAUGCAGAAAGAUAUCUUGCUCAUAAAUGACGUUAGGAAACCCAGUUUUGUGGCUUGUCCAACCCAUGGCCCACAGACCACAUGUAAGCCCAGGAUGGCUUUAAUGAGGCCCAACACAAAUUUGUAAACUUUCUUAAAACAUUGAGUUUUUUUUGCAUUUUUUUUUAGCCCAUCAGCUGUUGUUAUUGUUAGUGUAUUUUAUGUGUGGCCUAAGACAAUUGUUCUUACAAUGUGGCCCCGGGAAGCCAAAAGAUUUGAUAUCGCUGCCUUACACCAUACAUAGAAAUAAACUCAAAAUGGGUAAAAGACCUAAACAUAAGACCAAAACCCAAAACCAGAAGAAAACAUAGGGGAAAAGCUCGACAUGGCUCUGGCAGUGAUUUUUUGGAGAUCACACCAAAAGCUCAGGCUACAAAAACAAAUAAUUGGUAUACCAUCAAACUAAAAAACUUCUGCACAGGAAUGGAAACAAUCAACAAAAUGAAAAGGCAACCUAUGGAUUAGAAGAAAAUAUUUGCAAACCAUGUAUCUUAUAAGAGGAUAAUAUCCGAAAUUUAUAAGGAAUGCAUACAACUCAGUAACAAGAAAACAGAUAACCCAAUUAAAAAAUGGGCAAUGGACCUGAGUAGACAUUUUUGCAAAGAAGUUAUAAAAAUGGCAAACACAUAUAUGAAAAGACAUUUAACAUCACUAAUCGUCAGGGAAAUGCAAAUCAAAAUUACUAUGCGAUAUCACCUCACACUCAUUAGGAUAGCUAUUAAGUGUUGGCUAGCGUUAGGGAACUCUUGUACAGUGUUGGUGGGACUGUAGAUUGGUGCAGUCAUAAUGAAAAACAGAAUGGUGGCUCCUAAAGAAAUUGAAAAUAUACGAUCAUCUGACCCAGUAAUCCCUCUUCUGGGUAUAUUCCCAAAGAAAAUGAAAUCUCCACCUCAUAAAGAUAUCUGCACUCUUAUAUUCAUUGUGGCAUUAUAUGCAUGAGUCACGAUAUGAAAACUUACAUGUCCAUUGAUGGAUGACUAAACUGUGGUGUGUAUGUCUACAAUGGAAUAUUAUUCCGCAUUAAAAAAGGAGAUCCUGCCACUUGCCACAUGGAUGAAACUGGAAGACAUUAUGCUAAGUUAAAUAAGCCAGAUACAAAUGAAAAGUUUUAAAUAAUCUCACUUAUAUGUAGAAUCUUAAAAAGAAAAAUGUCAAAUAUACAGAGAUAGAAUAAAAUAGUGGUUACCAUGGGCAAGGUGUGGGAGAAGAAAAUGGAAAGAUGUAGGUCAAAGGCUACCAAGUAACAGAUAUAUAGGAUGAACAAGUCUACAGAUCUAAUGUAGAACAUGAGAAUAGUUAGUGUAUUGCAUUUGGAAUUUUUGCCAAUUGAGUAGAUUAUAGCUUUUCUCACUCAUACACACAAAAGAAUAACUGUGAGAUGAUGGAUAUAUUAAUUUGCAUCACUAUGUUAAUGAUUUAACUGUAUAUUUUAUACAUUAAAUAUGCAUAUUUUUUAAAAUUAAAAAAAAACACAACAAGAUAAUGUACAGCCAGAUAGAAGCCCAAUAUGAAAAGAGAGGACUUGAACAAUACCAUAAACCAACUAGACCUACAAACAUAUAUGGACACUCCACCUAACUACACAUUCUUCUCAAGUGCACAUGGAACAUUCCCUAGGAGGGAUGAUAUGUUAGGCCACAAAAGAGUCUCAAUAAAUUUAAAAAUAUAGAAAUCAUACAAAAUAUCUUCUCUAACUACAAUAUAGUGAGGCCAGAAAUCUGUAACAGAAGAAAAACCUAAAAAUUAACAAAUUCAUGGAAAUAAAACUACACACUCUUUAAAAAUUGUGUCAAAGAAGACAUCAGAAGGGAAAUUAUAAAAUACUUUCAAAAAGUGAAAAUGACGACACAACAUACUCAGACUUAUGGGAUGUAGUGAAAGAAGUGCUCAGAGGAAAAAUUAUAGCUGUGAAUGCCCACACUGAAAAAGAAGAAGGAUCCAUAACCUAAUAUUAUACCUUAUGUAACCGGAGAAAGAAGAACGAAGUAAACCUAAAGUUAAAAGAGAGAAUGAAAUAAUAUGUAUGAGUGGAGAUAAAACUGAAUUCGAGCUUAAAUAAACAACAGAGAUAAUUUAACAAAACCAAAAGUUGCUUGUUUUUGAAAAGAUCAAAGUUGAAAACCUUUAACUAGAAUGAGUAAGAAAAAAUUAGAGAAGUUGCACAUAUCUAAAAUCAUAAACAAAAGUAGGAACACAACAAAAAUAAAAACAAAAAUAAGAAAAAAACAAAAGUGGGAAUGAUAUAACUGACCUUAUGGAAAUAAAAAGUGUGAUAAAAGAAUACUAUGAAUAACUGUAUACCAACAAACUAUAUAACCUAGAUAAAAUGGACAAAUUCACAAAAUACUAAUACAGACUAAAACAGAAAUUGAAAUUAUGAGAAGACCCAUAACAAGUAGAAAGUUUGAAUCAGUAACCAAAAACCUUCCAAUGAAGAAAAUGCUACACAGAUGGCGUCACUGUUGAAUUAUACCAAACACUUGAAGAAUUAACACCAAUCCCUCUCAAACUCUUCCAAAAAACAGAGGAGGAGAAAACACUUUGCAAUACAUUCUAUGAGGCCAGUAUUACAUGGAUUCCAAAGCCAGACAAAUAUACCACAAGAAAAGACAAACUAGAUACUAAAAUCUUUUAUUUAACAAAGUACUAGUAAGCCAAAUUCAGCAGCAUAUUAAAAAGGAUUAUAUACCAUGACCAUAUGGAAUUUAUCUCAAGAAUGCAAGGGUGGUUCAGUACAAGAGUACCAAUUAAUGUAAUACACCACAUUAAUAAAAUGAAGGAUAAAAAAUCCAUGCAAUCAUUUCAAUUCACUCAGAACAAGCAUUUGACAAAAUUCUACAACCUUUCAGGAUAAAAACAUGGAACUUUCAAAAUGUGUUAAAGAGGAUUUGUGAAAAAUCCACAGCUAAUAUACUUAAUGAGAAAAAAACUGAAAAAUUUCUCCCAUAACCAAGAAUAAGAUAUGGCUGUAUGCUUUACCCAGUGCUACUGAACAAUGUACUGAAAGUUUUAACCAUGACAAUUAGGCAGAUAAAUAAGCAAACAGGUAAAUGAAUAGCAUCCAAAUUGGAAAGGAAGCAGUAAAACUCUUUAUUCAAUAAUGACAUCUUCUAUCUAGAAAAUCAAAAAAUCCACAAACUAGUAGAGCUAAUAAACAAGUCCAGCAUAAUUGCAGGGUACAUGUUCAACAUUUAUUUAAAAAAAUCAUUUGUGCCUCUAUAUACCAGGAAUGAACAGCCCAAGAAGGAAGUCAGUUUUUAAAAUUCCACUUACAAUAGCAUCAAAAAGAGUAAAAUAGCUAGGAAUAAAUUAAAACGAGAAGGUGAAACACUUCUGCACUAAAGACUACAAAACACUGUUGACAAAAAUUAAAGAAGACUUAAAUAAACAGAACUAUACAUCCUGUGUUCACAGAUUGGAAGAUUGAAUAUUGUUAAGUUGACAAUAUUACCCAGUGAUCUACAGAUUCAAUGCAACCCUUAUCAAAAUCCCAAGGGCCUUUUUAUUUGCAGAAAUGUAAAAACUGAUUUUAAAAUGUAAAUGGAAUUUUCCCAGGGCCCCAAAUAAUCUAAAAUCAUAUUGAAAAAGAAAAAAGUUGGAAGACUCAGGCCUGCCAUUUUCAAAACUUUUACAAAGCUGCAGUAAUCAAAAUAAUGUGGUACUAACACAAUGUGGUCUCUAGGACACACGGAUGGACAUAGAGACCAAUGGAAUAUAAUAGAGAAUGUAGAAAUAAACACUCACAUAUAUGGUCAAUUCACUUUCAACAAAUGUAUCAAGAAUUCAGUGGCAAGAGUAGUCUUUUAACAAAUGGUGCUGGGGCAACUGGAUCCUCAUAUAUCAAAGAAUGAAGUUGGACCCAUACCUCAUAGCCUAUAAAAAUUAUCUCAAAAUGUAUCAGAGACCAAAAAAUAAGAGUUGAAGGCAUAAAUUUGUUAGUAGAAAACAAGAGUAAAUCUUUAUGACUUGAGAUUGGAAAUAAAUUCUUAGAAAUGACACAAAUAACACAAUACUGUAAAUGUACUAAGUGACACUGAAUUGUACAUUUUGAAAUGGUUUCUGUUAUUUAAAAAAUGUAAAGGGUGCAUAGAAGACUAAAAAGCAGCACAGACAGAAUUAUCACCAGAAAAAGAAGGCUCAACAUUAAAUGUCAACAUGGAGAACACGUCAGAAAUAGGUAGUCCAGAGCAGCAGCUAUAGUGGAGGCUCUUACGAAUGACUAAGAUUUGAGGUGGCGCCUCAUAGAAUCACUUCUUGGGGGUAGAUUCGAUUUAUACAGUAGAUGUAUCUCAGAGACAUGGUAGGAAAGCCAAAGAAUGGUGAGCAUAGCUGCCAUCUAGAAACUACCUACACAUGCAAGCGUAACAGAUUGGUUGAAAGGUUAUAGUACAGUCACACUAAGGAAUACUAUGCAGCUUUAGCAAUACAAUGAGAAAGAUCUCUGUGAAGGGAUAUUGAGUGAUUUCUAGGAGAUGUUGUUAGGUAAGAAAAGCAAAGUUCAAAAGGGCGUAUAUAGAAUAGUACUUUUUUGGGAAAUGAGAAAAUAAUCAUGUCUUAUAAAGAGCGAACACACACAAACUGUAAACUAGAAAACACUGAAACCGGUCCCCUAUAAUGGGUAGGGGGAAUUAGGAUGGAAGAGAUAUGGGUGAGAGGAAGAUUUCUCUCAGUAGCUCCUUUUGUUUAGUAUUGACUUUUGGAAGUAUGUUAAUGUUAUAUGUAUUCAAAAAAUAAAAUUAACAAGAUAGGGACCACUUCUGAGAUGGUGGAAUGAGCACCUUGGUAUAACCACUCCCUGAAAAGCAAUGAUAAAACUGGCCAAAGAAAUAUAAAAUUGAAAAGUGCUAAUUAAAGAAAAAAUAUUAAGCCUUCCUAAGAAUAGCAGGGUUAUGAUUUAAUGUGGGGCUGCCAUCUCCCCACCCAAGCUCAGGGGCAUGGUAGGUGUGAGGACCAGCAACAAAGAAGGCUCAUCUGAUUUUGAAUUCCAUAGAAAACCCUAUGCACUAUGUUAAGCAACAGUGAUUUCAGUGGCAAAUAAUUGGAGGCAGCCCACAUCACAGCAACCUAAUGUUCCAAUACUGGUUGGGCAAGCGACAGAUUAAGAAAAAUUUUAAAAGGAAUUCUGGAGAUAUGGAAGUUGUACAUGCUCGCAGGAGAGAUCAGAGAGGUUUCCUGCUAUCUACUUAUCCUUGGCUGACUGUGAGACCUUUUGCAAGCAGACAGUAAAAUACAGGACAGAGUUAUAAAGUGCCUGAACUUUGAAUGUCCCAACCCACACAUAGAUCCCCUCAGCAGAGGGUGGAAGAUUCACUGGCUCAAGAUGUUUAAACAAAUGUCUGACUAAUCAUGGCUUGACCACUAGGUUAUGCUGAUCCAGGAGUGACACCAAUGAAGCCAGGCUUACAAAACAAACAUAAGAUUUAAAACAAACAAAACUGAGCAGAGACACCAGUGGCUGCACACUGCAGGAGAACACAGACUCUGCAGAAUCCAUGCAGAGAAGGCAUACACAAGCGAACAAACAAAUAAACGAGCAACAGAAAUCAUCCCUGGUUAGGAAGAAGAAUUAGAAUCCAGAGUUUCUACAAUAUAUUAUCUAAAAUAAGUUUUUAACAAAAAAAAAUGAGAUAUGCAAAGAAACAGAAAAUUGUGACCCUUAAACAAGAAUAAUGAGCAAUAAAUAGGAAUUAUCUCUGAAGGGCCCCAAAUGUUAGGGCGCGAUUUCAAAAUAAGUAUUAUAACUAUGUUCAAAGAAACAAAAGAAACCACAUUAAAGAAUGCAAGUGUGAUGACAAAGACUCAUCAAAUAGAUAAUAUCAAUAGAGAGAUAGAAAUUGUAAACCAAAUAGAAAUUCUGUAGUUGUGAAAUAUAAUAACUUAGAUGAAAAACUCACUAGUGGGGCUAAGCAAAUUUGACCUAGCGGAAGAAAGAAUCAAUGAACUUGAAUGCAGAUCCAUAAAGAUGAUUCAGACUGAAGAAUAGAAAGAAAAAUAAUGAAGAAAAAUGAAGAGAUACCCAUUGGAUACCAUAAUAUAGUGGUCCCCAACCUUUUUGGCAUGAGGGACCAGUUUUGUGGAAGACAAUUUUUCCACAGCCAGUUGGGGGAGGCUUUAGUUAGAUUCUUAUAUGGAGUGUGAGAUCUAGAUCCCAUACAGAUCUAGAGCUCAACCUAGAUCCCUCACAUGCUCAGUUCACAAUAGGAUUUGCUCUCCUAUGAGAAUCUAAUGCCAUCACUGAUCGGACAGGAGGCAGAGCUCAGGCAGUAAUGCUUGCUUGCCUGCUGCUCACCUCCUGCUGUGUAGCCCAGUUUCUAAUAGGCCACAGACUGGUACCAGUCCAUGGCCCUGGGGUUGGGGACCCCUGUCCUAACAGGAUGUGUAACAAUGUAUGUGUAAUUAAGUUGUAACAUAUAUGUAAUUAAGAGUAGAAAACAUAUGUGGAAUUAAGGAGUAACAACAUAUGUGUUAAUAAGAGUACUCAGAAGGAGAGAAGAGAAUAGGGCAGACAAAAAUAUUUGAGUAGAUUAUUAACCUGAAGCAGAUUGUUUUUGCUUAAGCUGCUGUUGUAACCUCCAGAUUACACUUUAAAAAUGGGGGAAAUCAACUAACAAAGGAAUUAGAAUGGUACUCUAGAACAUAUCUACUCAACAUGCAGAAGGCAGUAAAGGAGGAAGAGAGGAACAGAAGUGAUAUGCGACAUAUAGAAAAUAAAUAACAACAUGGUAGAUAUAAAUCCUUCCAUAUCAAUAAUUGUAUGACAUAUAAGUGAAUUAAAUACUCAAUAAAGGGCAGAGAUUGCCAGGCUGCCUUAAAAGCAGGAUCCAAAUAUAUAUGGUCUACAAGAGUCACACUCUAGAUUCAAAGACAUAGUUGAAAGUAAAAUGAUGGAAAAAGAUGACAUGCAAACAGUAAUAAGAAUGCUAGAGUGACUGUACUAAAAUCAGACAAAAUUGGCUGGGUGCAGUGGCUCACACCUGUAAUCCUAGCAUUUUGGGAGGCUGAGGCAGACAGAUCACUCGAGGUCAGGAGUUCAAGACCAGCCUGGUCAACAUGGUGAAACUCUGUCUGUACUAAAAAUUAGCUGGGUAUGGUGGCAGAUGCCUGUAGUGCCAGCUACUUGGGAUGCUGAGGCAAGAGAACCGCUUGAAUCCAGGAGGCAGAGGUUGCAGUGAGCCAAGGUCACGCCACUGCACUCCAGCCUGGGCAACAGAGUGAGACUCCAUCCCAAAAAUAAAAUAAAAAUAAAUAAAAUCAGACAAAAUAGACUUUAAAAACAAACCAUGUUAUUAGAGAUACUGAGAAGCAUUUUACAAUGACAAAAGGGAAAAUUUAACAGGAAGAAAUAGAAAUCAUAAACAGAAAUCAUAAAGAAAUAAAAAUUUAUAACAGCUAAAAACACAGCCCUAAAGUAUAUGAAAUAAAACUGUCAGAACUGAAGAGAGAAACAGACAAUUGAACAAUAAUAGACAACUCAACAAUAAUAGUACUAACUCUUGUUGAUUUUCUGUCUUGUUGUUCUAUCAAUUAUUCAGAGUGGGUUAUUGAACUAUUACCCAACUACUAUUGUUGGAUGAAAUGGUGGGAGGUGAGGCUAUGUGGCACUCUGCUUAAUACCCUCCCCUGUUCUGGUGUCAGGGAGACAAAUGUGGAGCUGACUUUUCGUCAGAAACAGUGGUACCCAGAAAGUAGUGGGGUAACAGAUGCAAAGUGCUCAAAGUAAAAAAAGAAAGUCAACCAAGAAUACUGUGUCCAGAAAAGUUUCUUUCAAAAAGAAGGCAAAAUAAAAGCAUUCCCAGAUAAACAAAAACAGAAUUCCUUGUUAGCAGACCAGUUUUGUAAGAACUACUAGAGGAAGUUCUUCAGGCAAAAAGCAAGUGCUCCCAGUAAGUUCACAUAUAUCCAAAAGCAAAGAGCAAGGAGGUAAAUAGGAGCAAAGCUGUUCUAGAGUAAGGAAAUACCACCAGUUGGUAACUCAAAUCCAUAAAAACCAAAAAAGUGGAUCAAAUAUGUGAUAUAAGGAGGUUAAUAAAACAGAAACUAGAAAUAUAUACUUGCUCUCCUUUCAGCUUCUUUAAAGAUAGAUCAUUAUAUAAUAUGAUCAUUAUAAUAGUGCAUAAUAAAGAUGUAAUAUAUGUAACAAUAAUACCACAAAAAGUGGUAAAACUGAAUAAACACACACAGGAAUAACUUCUGUAUCUCACCAGGAUUAAUAUAAAUAUGAAGUAAAUUUUGAGACGAUACAUAAGGUAAGCCCUAGAGCAAACACUAAUAACAAAUAGAAUAUUGAAGAAUCAUAAAAGAAAUGAAAAUUUAUAUUAGAAAAUAGUCACUAGAUGGAAAAGAAAGCAGCAAAGGAGAAAUAGAGGAACAAGAAAUAGUACAUAGAAAAUACCAAAAGUAAAACUGUGGAUAUAAAUCUAAUUAUAUCAAUAAUAACAUUAAAUGUGAAUGGAUUAAACAAUCUAAUCAAAGGCAGGAAUUGUCAGACCAGAUUUGAAAAACAGGAUCCAUCUGUAUUCCGUCUAUAUGAGGCACACUUUAGAUGAUAAAUGCCAACUGAAAGUAAAAGGAUGGAAAAAGAUAUAUCAUGUUAAGCAGCAACCAUAAGUAACCUGAAGUGCUAUAAUAAAGUCAAAGGAGACUUAAUUAAGAAUGUUACUGAAGUUAAACAUGAAUAUCUCAUAAUGACAAAAUGUCAAUUCAUGAGAAGAUACAAUGAUUAUAAACAUAUAUUCACCUAACAAUAGAGAACUAAAACAUAUGAAGCAAAAACUGACAGAACUGAACAGAGAAAUAGCCAAUUCAACAAUAGUAGUUGGAGACUUCAACACUCCACUUUCAAUAAUGUGUAGUACAAGAAAGAAGAUCAAUAAAGAAACAGAAGAUGAGCAACACCAUAAACCAACUAGACUCAAAAGGUAAUUAUAGAACACUUCGCCCAACAACCAACAUUGAAUAUACAGUAUUUUCAAGUGCACAUGAGACAUUCUCCAAGAAGGACCAUAUGCUAAGUCACGAAACAAACCUGCAUAAAUUUAAAAGGAUUGAAAUAAUACAAGGUAUUUUUUUCUGAAUAUAAUGGAAUAAAAGUAGAACUCAGUAGCAAAGAAAUUAGGGAAACAUACACAUGUGGAAAUUAAACAACACUACAUUCUUAAGUAAUCAAUGGGUGAAAGAAUUCACAAGGGAAAUGGAAUGUACUUUGAGAUUAAUGAAAAUGAAGAUACAACAUAACAGAACUUAUGGGAUACAUUUAAAGCAGUGUAAAAAUGGAAUUUUAUAGCUGUGAAGGCCUAUAUCAAAAAAUAAGGCUUCAGAUCAAUAAGCCAACUCUCCACCUCAGGAAACUAGAAAAAGAAGAGCAAACUAAACCUAAAGCAAGUAGAAAAAAACAAAAUAAUAAAUAUUAGAGUAGAAAUAAAAUAUAGAAUAUAAAAAUAAUAAAGUCAACAAAUCCAAAAUUUGGUUCUUUGAAAUUAACAAACCUUUGAUAGAUUGGUAAGAGAGAGGGAGAGGGAGAAGAAAAGAAGGGGAGGAAGAAACGGGAGGAGGAAAGACAGAGAGGGAAGUGCAUGAGGCAAAGGGGGAGAGAGAAAACUCAAAUUACUAAAAUCAGAAAUGAAUGACAGUUUUACAAAUUAAAGGAAAAAAAAGAGGCUAGCUGCAGGGGCUCACACCUGUAAUCCCAGCACUUUGGGAGACCAAGGCAGGAGAAUUGCUUGUGGCCAGGAGUUCAAGAAUAGCAUGUGCAACAAAGCAAGACCCUAUCUCUACAAAAUAUUUUUUGAAAAACAGCUGGUGUUGUGGUGCACACCUGUCGUAGGCUAAGGGGCAAGGAUCACCUGAGACUAGGAGAUCGAGGUUACAGUGAGCUAUGAUCACACCACUCUAUUCCAGCCUGGGCAACAGAGAGAGACUCUGUUUCUCAAAAAGAAAAGGAAAAAGGAAUGAAUGAGGGAAGUAUACUACCAACCUGACAGAAAUAAAAAGGAUUAUGAAGGAACACGAUGAACAAUUUUGUGCCAAUAAAUUAUACAACUUAGAUGAAAUUGACAAAUUCCUAGAAAGAUGAAAACUAUGAAAACUGACUA
rnacentral:antisense_RNA from 1 species